UGUGCCCAGGUUAACCGCUGAUAAUGAAAUCUGCACAACAGCAUGAUUUGCAGUAUGAACGAUGCAAUUCUUUACCGGAGCAAUGCCUUUCCCGUUGACUCAUCAUAACUCUGCCCGUUUGAAGUCGAGUUUCUAUCUCUUCAAGUUUAUGUUGGGUCUAUCCUGAUUAAAGAGGAAGAUCCAAAGUUUUUUGUCGUAGUUGCGCCCUAAAAGGAUUAGAUCAAAAAAAAGAAGAAAAAAGAAAAAAAUCAAAAUCAAAGUAAAAAAAAUGAAAAUGAAAAAUCAAUCAAAAUCAAAAACAAAAAGAAGAAAAAAAGAAAAAUUAAAAUCAAGGUCAAAGAGAAAAAGAAAAAGGAGAAAAAAAAAGAGAGGCCAAGGCGAAAAACCCGCAAAAGGCGCUUUGUGACCAAAUGUGGUUUUGAGUUGAAAACCCGAAAAGGGUGACUCAAAUUUUGAGCAAAAUGGGGCAUGAACAUCACCAUUAUCAAAGACUCCUAAUGGGCAUUACUUCAUUUUAGAGAUCAUUAGAGGCUGCUUCAUACGCCAAUGUCAUCACAUGCUUAUUCCAGAGAAGAUGGUAUUGGAAAAUGUAUUGAACUUGGACAAUAGCACGAUAGCUGAAGUCUGAAAUCAAUUCAGAAGUAGACACCACGACUAGUCACUAAAUUGCCUGAAGGUGAACAUCAAAAAUUGAAGAAAAAUGACUGAGACUUACAAGGACUGGCAUGAGAAAUCACCAUUUGCCCUCCUUGCUUGCCGAACAUCCAUCAAGUUUUUUAUCAGAGCAAUGUUGUUCUCUUUGGGUUACGGGAUUGAGGUAGUUUUACCUAUUGAAAUCUCCUCUCUCUCCGGGUAUUAGAGUUGGAAGGAUCUAAUCGCGAUGUGAUCAGUUAGACCUAGGAAAAGGGUUAAAAGCUAUUCAUCAGGGUCGAAUGUACCAGAAACAAAUGAUACGAGCCCAUAAUGAACAGGGUCAUCUCAGCGAAUUCCAUGAGAGGGCUAGAUGUUGAAAAAAAUCCUUCGAAAAGAUUCUAGAGGGAAAUGAAUGCUAAGCUGGGGAUGUCCCUGUGUUGUAAAGAAGACCUUUUUCAGAGGAGCACUGAUUCUGAGCGAGAUUGCUAAUCCUAUAAACUCGGAUCCAGUCAAGAAAUACUUCGUCUAAAGAAGAAGAAAGGACCUAUUCAAAAAAAAAGAAAAUGAAAAAUGAAAAAAUAAAAAUGGAGAGGCUAAGGGGAAAACCCGCAAGGGGCACCUUAGGCCAAAGGGAAUUUGAGCUGAAAACCCAAAAAGGGCAGCUCAAAUACUGAUCGGAAUGGGGCAUGAGGUGAUUUAAGCUGCUCAAAUUUUGAUUGGGACAUUUGAUGAUCUUGCUAUAUCUGAAUUAACAGGAAAGAGUAUGCGACAUCUUGGAGUAUUGACAAAGCACUGUAGAUCUCCUAAACACAAGUCAAACUCAGAAUGGUCUUCAGAAAGUUUGUACAGAGAAGUUCAAGCUGCGAUAUCUGGGGCACCCAAUUUUCAUACUAUUCAUAUUGAAUUUGUUGUUCUUGGAAUAUUUCAUUCUUUUCCAAGAUACACAUUCCUAAUCAAUUUCUUUGUCAUCCUUCUUUACUAUUUUUGAUAAUUUAUUCUUUCGAGCUAUGUUCAGAACCAACUUUAUUCUUAUCCAUUGUUAUGACUCUUUUUGCAAGCAUAUUGCAUUGGAAUAACGAUUAAUGGACUAAUAAAAAUUUCACGAAGAAAUUUUUGCAUAUUACUCUGAAAAGUUUCUAAAUAAUAUAGGAGCCUGAAAUAGGACUAUUAUUUAGAACACACUAGAUUAAAGGAUGGAAAUUCGAGAAUGAAGAGUCUAAAUUUAGAUUUUCUCUUUGGGUUUUGUGUCAAGAUGCCAUAAACAAGCAAUGAUCACCAAGCAAUAGGAAGAGGUUACCUCGGAGAAGAGAGCCUUCAUUUGCGCAUAAGUCUUUGGUACGACACCCUGGGAAUGGUGUAAGGGACCAGAUAGACUUAGAUUUUGUAUCCUUGAAUUGUGAUAGGAAAUGACCGAGGAAAAGCCAUAUAUUUCUACCCUUGGGUUGCAGUGGGAGAAAAAUGGUACAGGUGUUGCGUCCUAGGAGAUUGAACUCUGAAGUUUACAGUGGGGGCAAUCUGACUAAGUGAUUCUUUGAAAAAGCCGGUCAAGCAAGAAGAAAUUGUAGCACAUCAGUGUUAAAGCCUUAAUAAACUUCGAGUAAUGACAACCUAAGCGGGAUCAUUCUCGAAAAAAUAAAAUUCUGCAUUCAUGCUAGCACCAUUCACACAUGUCUAGUUAGGAGCAUUUGAUUCAUUUUGAUCAUGCCAUCCUAACCAUUAUGCAUAAUUAGGUUCAUUAUACAGGUCAUGUUCCCCAGAGAACAGAUCAGUGAAAUUGCAGAUCUUGUCUCCCUAAGCAGUAGCGGAGCAGAUCAAAGACGGCGAAUCUUAUCUUCAACUGUAAGGAAGCAGAUUUAAGCCACAAGUCCUAUGUCCCUAACCAGCGGUAGAAUAGGUUGGAAAUUGUAGAUCUUGUCUCCCUAAGCAGUUGCGGAGCAGAUCGAAGACGGCGAAUCUUAUCUUCAAGUAUAAGGAAGUAGAUUUAAGCUACAAGUCCUAUGUCCCUGACCAGCAGUGGAAGAGGUUGGAAAUUGCAGAUCUUGUCUCUCUAAACAGUAGCGGAGCAGAUCGAAGACGGCGAAUCUUAUCUUUAAAUGUAAGAAAGCAUAUUGAAGCCGAUAAUCCUAUCUCCUUAAAGUUGUAGUGGAGCGGAUUAAAGUAAUAGAUCUUAUCUUUCUGAAGUUGAGUAGAGCAGAUCGCAUAAAGUCUUGCCGACUAGAGAUAGCAUAUUUUGUUCUUUUUAGAAGCUACGAGUUACAAAUCCUAUCUCCCUGACGUUGUAGUGGAGUGGAUCGAAGCACUAUUUCCUAUACCUAUGAAGAUGCAGUAGGAUGGAAUGGAGCCAUUUGAAGAAGAAGAGCACCAAGGUCCAAGCACGACCAGGCAAAAUUGGUCCUCUUUAGUCUUUGCUCUAUUCUCGUUACACAACAAUGAGCAAAGAGGGGCAGCUGUAAGAGCCCAUUUUUUCUCGGCCCGUUAAUAAAAUAAAACCAAAUGAAAAAACAAUUAAAUAGUCCAAUAAACAAAAAUUCACCAGACCUAAUUACAAUGGCCCAAACCAUUCUAACCUAAAAUACCCAAAACCCCAGGCCCAAUACAUUAUGGCCCGAUUUGAAUGAUUUUCAGAAACCCUAGGGUUUCCUAAAUGCCCCCAGGGCCGCAGCCACCAGGGCUUUCCCUCGGCCCCACGAGCUUUCACACGCCUCAGCCGCCGCUCCAGCAAAUCAAGCUGUAAUCAAUCUCUGGCCUCGCAUGCGCGCCACUGCCACUCGCGUGAGCCUCCGUAUGCACACGUCCACUGCUUCGUACGACACCUACAAAGGACAAAAACAAGCAACGCAACAGAAACAAACAGUACCCAGGGAAAAAACAAAAACGAAUAGCAAACAAAAGGCAAUAGAAAAAGAAAAAUAGGAAAAGAGCAGAGAAAAUAGAUGUAUUUCGAAUUUAUUUAUGUAUUUUCUUCUCUUUUUCGCUUUGGCUAUAAAAAGUCGAUUCAUCUUUUGUACCGGGGGGCUUUUUUACUUUUUUUUAACACACACAGAUCGAAUACAAAAAAAGAAAUAUUCAAAGAAAUUUUGAGAGGUGAUUCACCAUUUUCUUUCUUUCUCUGCGUUUCUUACUAUUUUUUUUUAUUUUUUUUAUAUACAAAGAAGAGAAAUAUAGAAAAAGAAGAGAGAAGAGGGGCGAACGUACCGGGUGGUCGAUCUUUCGCUCAUUCCAUCGCGAUCAAAAACGGGUGAGGAAUCGGGACCUCCAGGCGUUAGUCCGUCGAGCGGCACGCAGAGGGGGUUUCUAGCUUAGGGUUUGCAAGUCUGCUGAGUGGCUUAGUGCAUUGUUUUUUUGGGUUUUAUGCGUGAUAUAAAAACGGCGCCGUAUAAGGCCACCCGCGCGCAACCCGACCUGCUCCAGGGGGAUCCGCGCAUUUCCAUUAAAUGAGAUAUUUGUGCCAUUGGCCCCUCCGCAUUAUUGAUUUGUUUUGAUUUCACCCUUCCGCUUGUUUAUUUAUUUUUUAAUUUGGCCCCAUAAUUUUGUCUGGCUUUGAAUUGAGUCCUUGAUCCACUAAUACUCUGAAAGACGGACACGUGUUCGAAUUUGGGUUUUAUUACCCAUUUGGUCCCCUCUUGUUCCGCGCGUUUUCAGUGUAAUCCUUUGUUCACUUUUUUAAUUUCAUCCGUUUAAUUUCGUCCUAAUUUUAAUUUAGCCCCCUAAUUUGCCUUAUUUUAAUCCUUUAACUUGUUAUUUAUUAUUUCAUUUAAAUUUGAAUAUCUAUUAUUAUUAUUUAAACGAUUUACAUUUUAUUUAUAUUAUUCAUGUUGGGCUGUUUUAUGUAUAUGAUUUAGUUUAGAUUUUUUUUUACAUAUCAUUUCUUUUAAACUUUUUUGUGUAAUGUCUAUUUUAAAUUGCUUAAAAUUGUUUAUUUCAAACUAUUUUUAUAUUUUAUUUAUGUUAAAUUUUUACAUUGCUAAUUUUGAACCUUUUAUAUUUUUUUUUGAUCUUUUAUUUAUUUUAAAUUGUUGUUAUGUUAUUUCAUUCCAUUAGUUUUUAUUGUAUUUUUAGUUAGUUUUAAAGUAAUGUAUAUUGUGCAAUUAUUGCCAUCAUGGGUGUUGAAUUGUUAUUCGUAUUUUCAUAUUGUUGUCAUCCUUUAACGUAACCAUUUAUUCAUACAUCAAAUUGAACAUUACAUCAAUUUUUACCUAAAUUCGUAAAAAAGAAAAUUUUGGAAAUAAAGGCAAUACUCGAAAUUUGGAAUCCUCGAGAGAAUUGAGCCUAACAUAUUGGGUUUUAAUUUUUCUCGUUGAAUCUAAAUAAUCAAAUUUUCUUUAAUCAAAACACAUAAAUAAAAGCUCAUUCUCGGGAAUUCGAUACAUUGUGUCCUAAUGUGUUGGAUAUGACAUGUUAUUUUCUCGAGACGAGGAUUCUUCUAAAAAUAAAGGCAAUAUGCGAUAUUUAGGAAUUUUGGAAAAUUGAACCCUAACUUACUGGGUUUCGAUUUUCUCAUUUGACCCAAAUAAUCAAAUACCCUUCUCAAAAUGCAUAAGUUUUAAAGGUCAAGAGAUAAACUUAAUUUUGAGGAUUUAAAAUGUCGCACUCUAACUUACUGAAUGUAACAAUUUAUUUCUUCAAAAUAAGUGAUCCUUACCAUCCAAUUCAUUUUACUCAAAUUUUCUUUUCAAAGGAUCGUAUUUUAAAAUCUUUUCAAAAUUUUGACAUUAAGACAUUAAACAAUCAAUUCGGUACCAAUUUUGGGCGUCAUGAGGGUGCUAACCCUUCCUCGUAUGUAACCGACUCCCGAACCUGUUUUCUCAAAAUUCGCAGACCUAAAAUUAUUUUCAUGGUGAUCCGAUCACACCACAAUAAAAGAUCAGUGACGACUCCCAUUUUCAUUUUUAAUAAGUCGAUAACAAAAAUUUUGAUUUUUCAAAAAUGGUUUCGACAAACAUGUUACCACAAAUACCGAGUUUCUUUUCCCAAUUAAACUCUGCUAUCUGUUUCCAAUUAAACUCUAAUCAGUCUAGGAAUAUCUUAGUCAUAUUAAGACUUUAAUAUUAGCCUAUUUAAAGGGUCGUUGUACCCCUAUUUAAAGAGUUGACAAAUAUCUCUUAUGUGAGAUUUGAUGAAGAGUUUUUGGGGAGAGUUUUUUAGAGAGCCUUGUAUUCUGGUUUUGGGUUUUGCUCAUUUAGGUUAUUUUCUCUAUCUUGUACUCUUUGUUUAUUUUAUCAUCAAGUGAAGUCUCCUUUGCGCAUGGUUUUUAUCCUCUUCAGAGAAGUUUUCCACAUAAAAUAUUUAUGUUCAUCCUCCUCCACUUUAUUAUCUCGUUGUUUAUAUGAGUCGAUCCCUAAUACUAUGAGAUAAAUUUUUUUACCAAAAUAAAAAAAAACGAAUAUAAUUUAAAAGCUUAAUCAUAACAUGAGCCUAUUUUAUUUAUUCGAUACUGUAAAGAUAUUAUCCUAUUAGAAUUUGAAAAACCAGUGAUGAGGAUUUGUACUUAAUGAGCUUUAAAGAAUCACAUAUAACUAUUAUAAUUUCAUUUUUAACAUAUUUGAAUCUACUCAAUCCAUUAACUCGUAAUCUUUACAAGCCUUAAAUAGAGGUAAGCGUUCGAUAAAAUCGAGUAAAAAUUUUUCGAGUUAAUCGAGUUGAUGGGUUUCAUUUUAUCAUCCUUACUUGAUUUGAAUUUUUUUCAAAUUGAGUCGAAUCAAGUAAAAUUUUUCGAGUUAAAUUAAAAAAAUUAAAUAUGUCAAAUUAACAUCUUGUUACGAUAUAACUAAUUCUAUUUUAGAGUAUAUAAAUUUAAAACCAUAUAUAUUUGAAAACACUUUCAAAGCAAAAUAAGAGCAAAAAAUAAGACACUUUAGCAUGAUAAACUUGAAUUGUUAAUUUACUUAUUUAGGUCCCCAAGAUUAUUGUUUUAGAAUUUUUUUUAAGCUUUUCUAUAUAUUCUUUAGAAUUUUUAUUUUUCAAUUUUUAUAAUUCUUUUAAAAAAUAUAAAUUUUGAAAAUUUAUAAAUAUUUGAACUUUUAAAAUUUAUUUUGAAUUUUUUGGAGCUUUUUUUAAUUUUUUGUUGAGAGAGAGACUAAUUUGCUCAUUUUCAAAAGUGAGCAGGGAUCAAAGGGAUAUUUACACUAAUUUUUUAUUUAAGUUAUUUGAAUUGUAAAGUUUAACUCGACUCGAAUUCAAAACUCAAAUUACUUAUUCGAGUUGACUUGAAAAAUCGAAUAACUUGAUUCAAUUAACUUAAAAUUAGAUUUUUUUUUUAAAAAAAUUCAACUUGAAUCGACUUUUACUCACCUCUAAUAUUGAAUAAUAGCUAUAUUAAUUGAGUAGUAGUUUAAUCCUAAAACAAUAAUGAGUAAAACAAAAAGUUGAGCAAUUUUACAAAUAUUUCAUAACUUUAUUUUAGAAAAACUAAUUGGUGACAUUUUGUAAAUUUAUAAAAAAGAAGAAAGAGUUAAAACACAAUAAUAAUAAUGUAAAUAAAAGACAAAAGUAUGUACAAGUGAAGUGUUGUGGAACUUGUAUUCCGGCAGACGAGGGUGUGAGAAAGGGAAGGGAAUGGUCUGGUGAGGGUGAGGGUGAGGGACACGUUGGUGUUGUCGGGAGUUAGAAUUUAGGUUAUGGCGUUGAUUUUGGGUGGAGCGUGACGUAAGACAUGGUGGUUGGCUUUUGUAGAAAAUUCUUUUCAGCUUUCAACUACUUUUCUUCAUAUCCUCUCAGUGACUUAUGCAGUUAGGUCUGGUUAAACUAACCUAGUUACGUUACGGACAUGAACCAAACCUUAUUCAACAAAUUGUAAUAAAAUUCUAUAAGCACUACACAAUACAUGUGCUUGGCUCAAACUUGGAAGCCCCCAACACACUUUUCUUUUUCUGUUUAUAGGGAAAUGAUUUUGUGUUUGGUUUUGUAUUUUUAAUUUUGAAUGCUAUGAAAUUCAUUUCCCUAAGUUAACUUAACGAAAUUCAUUUACCAAAGUUAUUAAAAUGUAAAAAAGUAUUUACAUAUUUUUCAUUUUAAUUUAAUUUAGAGAUUAAUUGUUUUAUUGUUCUUAAGUAGUUAUUAUUUUAAUGUUGAAUAAUGUAUUUAAAAAAUUAGAUCGCAUUUCACAGGUUUGCUUUUCUUAUGAUCCAUUUUGUUGGUUUUUUCAUUGAGAUAGUUGCGAAAUUUUGUUCUGUUUGAUUUCACUUGAGAAAAAGAUGAUUCUUGCUUUUAAAAUUUUAAAAUGAUACAUAUUCACUUAAGAUUCAAUUUAACAAUUAUACUUUUUAUAGAAAUUUAAAAUUAAAUAAAUAAAAUUAUAGAUUUUAAUAAUUUCUUGCUAAAUUUUAUUAAAAUAGAUUUAGUGGUUUAACUAAUAGAGGUACUAACUUGGAAAAAAUAUUUAGAUACCAAAAUGAUAAAAUAAAAGCAUAGUUUAGGUACUAAUUUGUGGUUAAGUCUCUCUUUUUUUUAUUAAAUAGAUUUAAGUGACCAAUAGAUGUACCAACUUAGGAAAAAAAUAUUUAGGCACCAUUUAUGAUAAAAAAAAUUAAGUACUAAAAUAGGAAACAAAACUUAAGAAAAAUGAUAUAGUUUAAGUACCAGUAUGUUAAACCUAAAUAAAUUAUAUAAAAUAAAUUAUGAAAGCGCACAACGACGAACCUAAGCCGGAGAAAAUUCUAAUAAAGAUAAAAACAAAACUUAAGAACACAAAUUUUACAUGAUUUCGAAAUUUAUUUUGUUAUAACCAACACUUUUUGAGUAAUUGAAUAUCCCGGGCCACCUCAAAACAACAACAUCGUCACACCAUUAAAAACAAUUAGAUUAUAAUUAUUAUAAUGUGCUAGACAAGAAUCUAGUAAGUUAGACACGAAAAAUAUAAAAGAGUAAAAUCACUAUUAAUUAAUUUGAGCUAGGUUGGUUAGUCAUAUAUCGUUUAAAGUUUUAAAAUUGAUCUAAAAAAAUAAGGUUCAAUCUCGUUAUUAAAAUUUGAGUUCAGGAGUACAAUUACGUAUAGGGAAGGCUAGAGUGCCCCUACAACACCUAUUUAAAGAUAAUCCUACAAAAUUUAGAGGUUUCUAUUUUUGACUCCAACCUAAUCUUAAAGAUCUAAUUAAACUUAAAAAUCUAAAGCUUAUUUCUAACUUAAAAUUUAAGCGUAAUGUAACAAUUAAAAAAUUAGUAGUGUCAGAAAAUGCGAUUUUGGAAUCACAUUUUCAAUGUUUGAGUCCGUAAAUAUUAUUAUUUAAUAUUUACAAGGUUAGUAUAAAGGUUAAUUAAAGCUUGACCCUUAAUUUUGUCGUUCGGUUAGUUAAUUAAGGUACAAUGAUUAAAUUGUAAAAAUAGUAAAAGUUAAUCGCUUUGAGAGACCAACUGAGCAGUUGGACCAAUUUGAUUAUGACAAACGGUUAUGGAGGGUAGCUGUAAGUCAUCCACCUUGUUAAAUAUGUUUAAAGUUUAAUUAGGUUAAUAAUAAUUAGUUAUAAACUAUUAUAAGUAUAUAAGACAAAAGAAUUAAAAGAAAAUAAAAACAAGUGCAUUCAUCUUCUUCUUUCAUGAAGCUAAAGGAUUCAAGCUUUUUAACUUUCGUCCUUGGAUUUUCUUGUAAUUUUUAUAUUUUUGAGAUCGUAUGAACUUGACUUAAUUAACUCAUAUUCAAAUUUGUAAGACUGUUAAAGCUUAUAAAUGUUUCCACUAAUGAGUUCUUGAUGAAAUUGGUGCUAAAUGGUUAGAUUUUAGGUUUAGAUAUGAGAAAAAAAAAACUAGUUUAUAAAGUGAAAUAUGUUAGUUUUAAACAUAGGGUCUAAAGUGUAAAUAUUUCAAAAUUGGUAUAAAUUUUCUGUUAUUAUAGACAGUAAAGGGUCUUAAAAGGAUUUAAUUGAGAUCAGUUUCGAAACCACUGCUCAAAUUUGAAAGAUAUUGGAAUUUCAAUUUUAAGAACUAAAUUGAAUAAAAAAAUUAAAAAUUAAAAAUUCAAAAAAUUUAUAAAAUUCAUAAUAUUUUUUUUAUAAAACUAUAUAAACUCAAAAAACAUUUAAAAUAUAUAAAAAUGCUAAAUUAUAUAUAUUUAAAAAAUUCAAGAUAAAUAAAAGACUUUAAACAAGUAAAUUAUCAUAUUAAUUAUAUUGUUUUUUCUCUUAUUUUAUUUUAAAAGAGUUUUAAAAUAUAUAUGGUAUUUAUGUUUGUUAACUUAAAAUUUAGUCAUAUUUUUAACAAAAUUUUAAUAUGGUGAAUGUAAAUUUUUUAAUUUAACUCAAAUAAAUUUAUUCGACUAGAUUCAAAUUUUAUUUCAUUCAAUUUAAUUAAAAUAUAUAAAUUAAAUUAAAAUAAUAAAAUAAAAUUCAUUAACUCCAAAAUUUUUUAUUCGAAUUGAAUGCCAUCUCAAGGUUGAGUAAAAAGAAAUGGAAGUGGAUAAAAUUAAGACGACAGCAUGGAGUAAAUUUGAAAGGGUGCGUGCCAUGACGCGCCCCCAAAUUUUUGUUUCGCGCCAAAUAUCUCAACCAAGCUUCUCUGGCAAGCUUCACAGUGGAUAUUAUUAUCUCUAGGGUUUUCAAAAUCAAUGUCAUCUUUAUUAAUUUUGUUAUAUUUUUCUUCUUUAUGUGAAUGUCAUACAAAGGGUGUUCUUAUUUCUUCUUUCUGGUUUCUCUUAAAUUGAUUGAACCCCGUCGCGCUUCAACUGAGAAGGAAGAAAAAGGUCUACGAUGAGGAGAUCCACGAGGAGAUCUUCAAUCGGGAUUGGAUUAGGAGCUGAAGAACGCUUCAAUUCAAAGCCGGUACUUUCAUUUCCAUAAAAAGCUAAUGUUACUAUUAUUAUAUAUUAGAAGUUUUCUGCUAGGAAAUCCUUAUCAAAGACAUUCCUUAUAAUGGGUUGAGAUUCUUAAUUUUGAAAAAGAGGAAUUCUUUGUUAAGUAUUGUUUGACUUUAAGGUAGAGGAACUUUGCAAAGCUUAGCUGCUUUGUGUCUUACGUAUGUGUGUGUUUAUAUAAUAUCUUUGCAGUGUUUAACUUAUUAUUAGGACAAUUCCGAAAAGCUUGUACAGAAAUUGAAAUAACGGCACUAAUUAAAUGGAGCUUUUAUGCUUGACUUUCCUUAGCUUUAGUUUCUUUUUCCCCUUUUUUGAUAUCGAAAGAUGCAUGGUUGAGGGUUUGCAUAUUUAUAUAUAUACAGACCGGAAGUUUUAGUACAAGAUUUUCCUUGUCGUCAUUUGUUAAACGAGUGGAGAAACUCACUGAUGAUCAACGAACUGCGAUAAAGAAAGUUGGUUUCGGUAAUUUGCUUUUGAUACCUAACCAGAUGCUGAGCAAGAGUCUGCUAGUAGAGUUGAUGGACAGAUGGAAUUCUGAGGAAUGUGGUUUUAUGCUGCUUCCUGGUAUUGUCAAAAUUACACUGAUGGAUGUAGCUUUAAUUUUGGGGAUUCGCGUGAUUGGUGUCCCUAUACUGCUUAGGGAGGAUGAAGCCUUUUCUGAGCUGGAAACUGAUUAUGGAGCUGCUUUAUGGAAGAGAAAGAUCACAGUUGCGUCACUUGAAAGUAGACUUGAUUUGCUUGGACAAGUAGUUAAUGAAGACUUUGUUAGGACAUUCAUACUCUUUACAUUUGGCACUAUUCUUUUUCCCAAUGCAAAUGGAAAAGUGGAUUCCCGUUAUCUUUCCUUCCUUAAAAGUUUGGAUGAUAUCAGUCGCUUUGCGUGGGGUGCAGCUGUUCUAGAGGACAUAUUUAUGUGGUUGAACAAAAGAAAAGAGUCAAAUGUGCAGUAUGUUGGAGGUUGUCUUAUACUUCUUCAAGUAAGUUGAGAUUACUUAAGAUGCUAAUGAGUUGUAAAAAUCCAUAGUUUUUGUCUAAAUUCUUUAUUGUUAAAGAAUUCUGUCAAUUCAAACACUCUUUUCCCUCCUUCUGUUCUGUGAUUUAAAUGAAAAACAGUAAAGGGUAUGGGGACUAGUUCUAGAUAUUAGAACAUGAAGGGUUUCUGCUUAUGUAAGCAUAGUUGAUUUACACCAUCUCUGUUACAUUUUUGUGAAAGGUAUGGUGUUAUGAGCACAUUGACUUAGCCCGACCAGAGUUGAUGGAAUGCCAGUCAAUGUUUCCUCGUGCAUGCCGAUGGGAAAGUAGUAAGUCCCAUCAGAGACAAUGGUUUGCUGCAAAAUUCCGGGAAAUGCAGGAUUGUCAGGUGCAAAACUUAACCAUUUAUGUAUUUUACCUGUUUUCUAGCAUUUUUAUGCUAAUUUUAAAUAUUUAUAACAGAUAACGUGGCAUCUUCAACCAACUUCUGAGGAGUUACAAUUUGAUGUUAUCAACGAGUUAUUGGAGGUUGAGAGUUCCAGUAUAGACAACUCCUCAGAUGACGGUUCAACUAUUGGUGUGAGUUCCUUGCUUAGUCGUUCUUUUUCUGAAAUCCUCAAACAAUUAUCAAGCUCUAAUAUCCUUUUCUUAUUGUUAAAGGUUACUGGACUUGAAGUAGAAUCACUCGAGCAUAAUUCCUGUAAAGUACAAGGGGGAAAAGUGAUCAAUUUGAAGCGGUCAACAGUGCCACAAAGUAUACCAGAAGUGCAAACAAUGGGGUUUCCUUCAACUUCAGAUGCUUCGGUAGCACACGAGGACUGCAUGGAGAUACCAUCAGAGUGCCAGAACUUGCAGCAAUUGACUUCUAGCCAGGUGAGUUUUACCUCUUUCCCCAAAUAGUGUAGUUCAUUUAUUGUUAUGAGUUUCUUGCUUAGUGGUGCUUAAACGCUUAAACAGUUAGUUGAUAGUGCAGUUCUUUACUGUUAAAGGUUGUUGGUCUUCUUCAACUAGAAUCCGAUGCGAUUAAUACCAGUAAAGUACAAGUACAAAAGGAACAAGAGCAGUCAACAGCAUCUCAACAUGUACGGGAAGUGGAAACAGAGACCAUGGACUUCCAAUCAACAACACGUGCUUCCGAGUUACAUGAUGAGUUUGUGGAACUAUCAUCGAGGUACCAGAACUCAGAGAAACUGACUAAUUUUAAUGUGAGUGGGUUAUCAUCUUCUCUCGCACUAUAUUUAUGUCUCAGUGUGAUGGACUGAUUGGUUCGAGUUCCUUGCUUAAUUGUGUACUUGAACACUUACUAGAAGCUAUUAUGUUAAAGGUUGUUGGACUUCAUAUAGAAUCAGUGGAGAGUAGUACCAGUAAAGUAGAAGUACUAAAUGGACAAGAGGUUAAUUUGAAUCAGUCAACAACAUGGCAACAUUUAACAGAAGUGCAAAGAGAGGCCACGGCUUUUCCAUCGAUGCCAUGUGUUUCCAAAUUACACAUGGAGUGUGGAGAGCUAUCAUCACAGUCCCAUAAGGCAGAUAAAUUUAUGAGUGGUAAAGUAAGUUUUCCUCCUAUCUCUAAAUUAUUUAUUUAUUUGUUCCGUAGUUGGUUUAAAUGAACAUGGAUAUAUGAUGUUUGUUCUUCAGGAAGAUGAAUUGAUGAAGAGAAACCAGAUACUGGAAGUUGAAAAUAAAGAAUUGAGGAAAGAGGUAGAGGCUUUAAAAUUGGAAAUCAAACAAUUGAAAAUGCAUAUCUGUUGCACAAAUGAUCUGGUGACCCGUUUAGAGGGACUUGUAAUGGAUGACAUAUACUAAUCAUUAUUAUAUAGGAAUUACUUAUCAAAUGCCUUUUCUUUUCAUUUGCAAAUUUUAAUAUUGGUGACUCUGCUGCAUAUCUGAAAAUCCGUUUGUUUUGAUACAAAAGUGAUAUUAGGGAAGAGUUUACGGGUAUUGUAUGAACCAACGGAGCUAAGUUCAGGGUUAAAAAAAUCAGAUGAUCAAUUCUCAGCCUUGUCGACUCAAAAUGUUGAAGGAACCAUUUAAUCUGUCCUUGAUAUAGGUGGUGUUGGGUUGCCAACUUUGACAUUGAAUUGCAUGUAAUAAAACUCGUGUACCUAAGAAUUUGGAAUUACGAGUCUUUUCCAUAGAUAAAGGUCAGACUCGACGACCUUUUAUUACUUGAUCUCAUUUGCUAUGCUAUGAUUGUCUCAACUGUAUUCAUGCCUUACGGUAUACUUAAGAUUCAUACUUGACUUGAGGGUUGAGAUUUAAUUAAAUGUUUAAUUUAAGUUAUUAGAAAUUAAAUCUCAACGUUAUGACAAAUAUUUCAAAAAAUAUAAUUAUAAAAUUAUAAAAUUAGACUUUCUUCAUUUAUUUUCAAGAUUUUAAAAUAUAACUAUAUUAAAAUAAAAUAUUUAUAGCUAUUUAAAUUAAUUAAGUAUUUUAAUAAAUCUUCAGUUUUAUUUUUUAGGGAUAAUGUAAUUUUUUGUCAUUGAACUUAACAAUUAGGUUUAUUUUGGUACUUAUACGUUUUUUUCCCUCUUUUGGUGUUUAAAUUUGAUAAUUAUAUUUAUUUUGGUUCCUAAACUUAAAAAAUAUAAAAGUUUGAUUACGUGACACUUUGAGAAUGUACUACACCAUCACUUGAAAAUUUAAAAAUUUAUACAAAUUUCCAGGUAAUAAUGUAGUAUAAUCUCAAAGUGUUACAUUUAGUAUUUUAAUAGUCAGACCAAUAAUUGAACAAGUUAGUUCAUCGGUUCUCAAUUCAAUCAGUUUGACCGUUAGACCAAUAAUAAUUAAAUAAAUAUUUAAAAAUUCAUAAAAUCCAAAAAAUAUUAAAUUGGUUCAAUCUAUUUAACUGUUGAAUUUUGUCUCGGUUUUCAAUUUUUACCAAUUUCAAGUUGUUUUCGAGUCAACCGGUCUGUCCGAUUUGGUAUUGUUCUAGUAAUACUGGUCAUAUAAUCAAAUCUUGAUAGAAUCUAAGUUCAAAGACCAAAAUGGAAAAAAUACAAAUACCAAAACGAAUGAUUGUGAGGAAAAAAAAUAUAUGUUAUCCCUAUUUGUUGGGGAUCGGCGUGUAUAAACAACGAACAAGAAUGAAAAAGAGAAAAAGAAAAUUACGCACACAAAUUUUUACGUGGAAAACUCUUUUGAAGAGGACAAAAACCAUGGGCAAAGGAGUCUUCGACUUUUCACUAAAUGAGUAAACAAACGAGACUACAAUAUGGAGAAAAUAAGUCUAAAUGUACUCAACGUACAAACCAAAACCCCGAAUACAAAGUCUUAACUUAGGAACAAAAUUCUUUCCAUAGUUACCAUGAAACUCUCACAAAAACUCAUAUGCGAUUACAUCUUGUUGCUCUUAAAGAAAAGCCCUUACUGAUUGGCAUAUCUAAAUCAUGGUUACAAAAGCCCUUUAAAUAGGCUUAAAACUAAGGGUUAAAACGACUAAAAUAGCCUUGAAGUAAUUAGAGUCCAAUUGGGAGAAGAAGUCCUAUUGAGCUGUAAAAACAUGACUACAUAACAUCAGGAAUCGUCGUGACAUUGUGAUGUGCUGGCUUUCCUCGUUAUGAUGUCGUCGCCAUGUUCAUUGCCAAAAAUCGUCGCGUUGUCUUGACAACGGGGACCUCCUCGUCCCGAUGUCGAGCCUAUUUUGGCCUUUUUCGAUUGCUCGUCGAUUCUCAUCCAAAAUACCUAUAACGUGUCCGAUAAAUGUGAAGCACACCCUACAAUAUUCUUCUAAAUAAAAGUUUUACCAUAAGACUGGAUAGGGUAAGGAAAAAAAAGUGCAAAUAGGUUUUUGGAGAAACCGACCUUCUUGUUCAUUUCUAGACCUGAUUUAAUUGGUGUGUGCAAUUGAUUGACUAGUAAAAUGAUUGAUACAUGAAAGAUUAAAAAGUGAAGAUUGAUUUUCAAGAAGCUGAUUUCUUGAGUAUUUUACUAAAAUAGGCCCAUUUCCAACAUUAUUUAUGGAAAUGGGCCACUUAAAACAUUAUUUACCGGAAUGGGUCAAAAAACACAAAACGUUUCCACGUAGGCGCGUUUUAAGGAGAAAUUGCAGAAAAAGCUCUCUCGAGGGAGCUUUUUUGCCCGUGUUUUUUCUAAGAUUUUUGAGAUAUUUGUAUGUUAGGGUUUAGGGUUUUUGGAAAAAUAAAUUAGAGUUUAGGGUUUUUGAAAAAAUAAACAAUAAAUCUUAAAUCUUAAACCCUAAUUUAUUUUUUUAAACCCAUAUACCCUAAUUUAUUUUUCCAAAAACCCUAAACACUAACAUACAAAUAUCCCAAAAAACCCUAGAAAAAACACGGGCAAAAAAGCUCCCUCUCGUCAGCGCUUUUGCCAUGUCAGGAAAAGCGCUUCCAUGUUAGCGCGUUUUUGCUGACAUGGCAAAAUUGCUUAUUCGAGGGAGCUUUUUUAUGCAAUUUCUCCUUAAAACGCGCAUACGUGGAAGCGUUUUGUACUUUUUGGCCCAUUUCGGUAAAUAAUGUUUUAAUUGGCCCAUUUCAGUAAAUAAUGUUGGAAAAUGAGCCUUUUUUUAGUAAAAUACUCCGAUUUCUCUCCUUCAACAAAAAUUAUGCAAUUUCGAUAAUUAACUUAAAAAUUAUAUUAUAUUAUGAUUGCACGUUUUACAUUGAAUUAAUUAAUUAUUUGUGUAAAAUUAUAGAGUAAAAGUUUGAAUGUUAAAAUGUACUUUAAGUAUACACUUGGUACAUUUGAAAUUUAAUCCUUACUUUUAUUUUCAAAAAUUUAAUCCCACAACUUUUUAAAUUUAAAAAGUCCAAUUGUUAUUUCUAUUAAAAUUCUAAUUACAUUUUGAAAUUAAAAAAUAUAUAUUCACUUGAUAAUAAUGUAACAAUAAAAAUAAUGUUGAAAAUAUUGAUUAAGAUUUUUUCUUAAAAACACUCAUCAUGAUAAAAUAACUUUUUUGUUGUAGUGUUUUUAAGAAAAAAUGGCAUCCACAUUUGAUUGAAAUAAUUAACAAUAUUAACCAUGUAGAUUAACAAAUGUCAUUAUUCAAGUUUCAACAUAGGAGCCAAAAUUCAAAAUUGACUAUUAUCUUAUAAUGUAAAAGAAAAUGCAAAUUCAAAUGAAAUGAAAAGCCACUCGUCAAUUUCUAAGACUCUUAAGACAUUCAAAUUAUAUAUAACCACGUAAUAUUUUAAGAAAAAAAGUUAACAAUAUUAACUAUCUGGACUCAUUAAUAAAAUCAUAAAAAUAUAGAGAUCAAAAUACGUUAAAAAUUGAAGUUUAGAUAUUAAAUCACAAACUUAGUUAUAACAGAAAUUUAAUAACUAAUCUAUAAUGUAAAAGAAAAAAAGGGAGAACCGUAAAAUGUCAUGUAUGAAUAGAAGAAAGGUAAAUGUAGUAGUAAAUAAUUUAUUUCUUGUUAUAUUAGGAAAAAUACCAACAAGGUGUUUGAACUUGAGAUUUUUGACGAAGACGAAAAUUUCAUCCCAUCUAUGAUAUAUGAUUGCACAUAGUCUAGUUGAGGCUGCCUUCGAUGAAUAGUUUGGUUUUCAUUCAUUUAUAUGUUUGAAGAACAUGAACAACAGCAUUGAUCAUCUGAAUUAAAUUUCACAAAAUGAGUUUUAACGGAGUUGGCUUCCUUGUAUUUCAAAUAAUCUCACAUAUUUUAGACAUCUAUUAAAUGAUGGUUAUAUAGUGUUUGAUUUACUAUAGGCCAACAAGAGUCAAAAUAAGAAGAGGGGGUAUGUGAGGCUUGAGCUUGAUAGCUUAAUUUAGUGCACACAAGUUGAUAUCUUUCUUCCCUGUGAUUCAAUGUUUGGGAUGUUGAGAAAUUGUGCCCUAACGUAUUGGACUGCGGUUUCGUCAUAAAUCUUAAACAAUUGAAUAUUCUUUUAAAUUUUAUCACACAAAUCUUUUGGACAAACUCAUUUUGAAAAAAUAAAAUAUCGUGCCCUAACGUAUUGGGUGUGAUGUUUUCUGUUUCAAAAUGAGCGCGUCUUAAUAAAUAAUUUAAUUUAAUUAAGGAUUGUAUUUUUCAACUCUCGACAUUAAGACAUUAAUUAAUCAACUUGGUACCAAUUUUUUGGCGUUACGGGGGUGCUAAUCCUUCCUCGUACGUAACUGACUCCCGAACCCAUUUUUUUAAAACUCAUAGACCAAAGUCGUUUUUAGGUGGUCCAAUCACACCUUAAUAAAAGAUUGGUGGCGACUCCAAUUUUCAUCGACAACUUUCGACAGCUUGGCAACUCCACUGGGGACUUUUUUUUUUUAAAAUAAGAGAGUCGAGCCACAAAGUUGAUUAAUUCUUGUCUUAUGGUCGAAAAUUUCGUUUUUUUUAAAAAAAUUCAUGGUAUCUUGUUGCAUUCAUUAUUUCUUGCUUAAUGGAUUUAAGUAUUGUUCGCAUUACACAUUACAUGAGUUGAAUAAUUUUACCCUUUUAAGUGGGAGCGAGAAACUAGUCCUUCGUGAGGUUUUCACCUCCGUGUAGGGUAGUGGACCGCUUUCGGGAUACAUCCGUACCUAUGUCUUCGUGAGAUUUUCAUCUCCGUGCAGCCAUAGGGAAAUGUAUUCCCCUGAAUCGAACUUGAUCUAUAUGAGCAUAUAAUGGGUGAGGAUUAAGGAAUCUGCUGGUUCAGGUACCUUUACCUUAGAAGCCAAACCACAUAUAGUGAACUUUAGGAACUUGCCCUAGGUAGAACUAUGCCAAACCCUAGUAGAUACCCGAAUAGGUGUUCUAUUAUUUGUUGAUUGUAUUGGAUUCUAUGUUUAUACAUGAUACUGACUUUUUGUGUUUUACUUUGAUUGCAUGGCAUUCCAACUACAUGGCAUUUCAUUCCAAAAGGCGCCGAUUCAUAUUUGGUUGCUAGAUAGAAAGCUUAUUAUGGAAAAAGGGUUUCUUGAUAAAGUGGAAGAAAUACGUCUGCCCGAAUAUAUUCCAAGAAACACAACAAAAGAAGGGUGAUGAAGAAGUAUACGACUUUACUUCAUGGCCCGAGAAUUCAAGUUGAUUAUUCAAGAGCUGCCGACAUUUAAAGAAACAGAUGAGCAUUACGAAGAUGGGCAGAUAAUGGAUCACGCGAAAGGAGUUAGUAGUGGCGUCCAUUGGAAACUCGCGUGAUUUGUCUUAAACAUCCAGAUGAAGGAAAGAUGGACAUUGUUUCUUAGAGUAUGAGGGCGAGGCCGUACAUGCAUCCGUUUUAUGUAAAGAAAUUUACUUUCUAGUAAAGUUUUCUAAAUGAAAUUGAAUUAGAAUCGACGCCUUUUUGCAUUCAUUUCAUGCAUCACAUCAUAUGCAUUAAAGAUCAUUAAAAGACUCUAAUUGAGUAAAGUUAUUUCAGCUAGUCUGGAAAACUAACACCCUUACGGCACCAAAGCAAAGACUAGAGAAAUGGACCAAAGGUUGAAGAAAUUAAAGCGAAUGCAAAUGCAGAUGCAGAUGCAGGAGCAACUGACCAAAUUUCAACAGGAAAUGAGAGAUCAGAUGCUAGAAUUACAGAGAACUAUGAUGAGCCAGUUCAACCGAUUACUAGCUGGAGAGUUAGAAGAAGUGAAUGACUCAGUGGUCUACUUUGGGGAGGAUAAUGAAGACCCUGUUUAUCCCUUAGGUUUUACCCCGAUAAGUAUCCAGCCAGAUAUGUGUCCACAAGGGGCACCCCUUACAAUCAAAUCCCAACAAUAUCAGACCGGUACCUUAACACUAAUGAAUUGCUCGAUAGGCUUAAGAUCCAAUCUGAGGAACAAUCUAGUCAAUCCUAUUGCUCUUGAUAAUCCAACAGAAAUAAAACAGGUAGGGGUAGAGUACCCUGAUACUAUAAAGGCCUAAAAGAGGAAGGGGAAUAAAGAAGAUAAUGCAGGCAGAAAUAACAAGGGCCACUAAAAACCAGUCGCUGUGGGCCGGCCAAAGACAGAAACCACCAGCCAUCAGAGCCCUUUGAAGCGAGAAUCUUGCACGAAGACAAAUAUAGAAAAGCCUCAGUUCAUGCCUAUACCAAUGUCAUAUAGCGAGCUAUAUCAAAGCCUAUUUAAUGCACAUGUGGUGUCCCCUUUCUACCAGAAACCAAUGUUGCCUCCAUUUCCUAAAUGGUAUAACGUAAAUGCUCAGUGUGAAUACCAUGCAGGAAUUGCGGGGCACUCGAUAGAAAAUUGCAUUGCAUUAAAAAAGAUAGUUGAAAGAUUCAUUAAUAUAGGCAUUGUCAAGUUCGAUGAAGCCUUCAGUGCAGAAAAUCUGCUACUCAACCACAUUGAUAAUGGGGAGAAUGCAAUGAAUGAAUAAGUGUUGGGAAUCGUUUACAUCAACGCCGUACAUGAAGAUGCAAGUGAAAAAGGAUAUUGUUAGAUAUCCGCCCUUAUAAAUCUGGGAGUGUUCUAAAUAACUAGACUGCGGAAGAAAUCCCUGUAGUUUUUAGAGCUUAUUUUGAGUAAUGUUCAGAACAUUUUUGUUGUUUUUGCCUAAAAAUGAUAGAAAUUCCUUUGUGAAAUAGGCUCAUGUCUGAACGUCAUGAUUCUAAUGAAAUACAUCUUUGCAUUCAUUUUUGAGCCAAUAUUUUUUCAUUCUUUUCGAAUAAUUAUUCUUUCAUUCUUUUGGAUUUUCUUUUACAAUCAUUCUUUUAUUCAUUCAUAAUCAUAUUGUAUAAAUAAUUGCUCAUAAAUUCACACAUUCUUUUGUAAAUUCUUUGGUAUUUACUAUGGUUCCCCAGAUAUCAAUGAUAUGAGUGACACUGCUAUAGAUUUCGAACCUCCUUUUGAGCAAGACAGGUGUUUAGAGGGAUAUCAUGACUUUGAAAAUGGCAUAGAUUGUAGCAUAUUUCCAGACUUUUUAAGGAUGGGAUAGACAAAACCUACCUCAUAAGGAAUUAUUAGAAAUUGUAAGCUGGGUGAAGAUUAAAAUUGACCUAACUGCCAAGACGAAGCAAGACUUUGUUGAGUUAUUUCUAGAGUUCAAAGAUGUCUUUGUAUGAUCAUACCAGGAUAUGCCCAGGUCAACCGCUGAUAAUGAAAUCUAUACAAUAGCACGAUGUCAGAAAUUCGCAGUGUGAACGAUGCAAUGAAAAUUCUUUGCCGGGGUAAUGCCUUUCUUGUUGACUCAGCAUAACUUUGCCCAGUUGAAGAUGAGUUUCCAUCUCUUCAAGUUUUGUUGGAUUUUAUCCUGAUUGAAAAGGAAAAUCCAAAGUUUUCUAUCAUAGUUUCUCCCCAGAAGGCUCUAUGAAAGAAAUUUGAUCACAAAGAAGAUCUUACGCAUACAUGAUGAAAGUGGAAGAUCUUAUGUGGAAGACUUUAUCUAGAAAAAAUAUUAGUUCUGAUCGAAAGAGAUAACAAGGACUUGCCUAAUCCUAUGAGUUCAAGAUUAAAAAAAAAAAGGGGGUCAAAAUCAAAAUAAAAAAUGAAAGUGAUAAAAAAAGAAAAAGAAAAAGAAAAAGAAAAAGAAAAAGAAAAAGAAAAAGAAAAAGAAAAAGAAAAAGAAAAAGAAAAGAAAAAUGAGAGGCCAAGGUGAAAACCCGCAAAGGAUGCCUUGAGACCAAAGAGGAUUUAAGUUGAAAACCCGAAAAGGGCGGCUCAAAUAUUUGAUUAGAUUAUGGCAUAUGAUGAUCUUGCUAUACUUGAAUCAACAGGAAAGGGUAAGCGACAUCUUGGGGAAUUGACAAAGAACUGUAGAUCCCCUAAACACAUGUCAAAUUCAGAAUGGUCUUCAGAAGGUUUGUAUAGAGAAGCUCAAGCUGCGAUAUCUAGGGCACCCAAUUUUUUAUACUAUUGAAUUUGUUGUUCUUGGAAUACUUCAUUCUUUUCCAAGAUAAACAUUCCCAAUCAAUUUCUUUCUUAACCUUAUUCACUAUUUUUCAUAAUUUAUUCCUUUCGAGCUAUGCUCAGAACUAACUUUAUUCUUAUCCAUUGAUAUGACCUUUUUGCAAGCGUGUUGCAUUGGGAUAAUGAUUAAUGGACUAAUAAAACUUUCACAAUGGAGGUUUUGCAUAUUACUCUAGAAGUUUCUAAAUAAUACAGGAACCUGAAACAGGACUAUGGUUUAGAACGCACCAAGUUUAGAGGUUGGAAAUCUGAGAAGGAAGAGUCUAAAUUGAGACUAUCCCUUCAGAUAUCCUUUCAGAUUUUGUUAAAGCAUUGAUUGAACAAAAUGACAAAAUAUCGUGUUGGUGACAAAACUUUAAUGGACAAACAAAUAAUGAUCACCGAAUAAGAAGCUAUUAUUGGAGAAGAGAAUCCUUCAUUUGUGCAUAAGCAUUUGGUAUGACACCCUGGGAAUGGUGUAAAGAACCAAAGAGUUUCACAUUCUGUAUUCUUGAAUUACAAUAAGAGUGGAUUGAGAAAAAGUUAGAUUCUUCUACCCUUGGGUCACAGCGGGAGAAAGAUGAUACAAAUUUUUGCCUCCCAGUAGAUUGAACUUUGAGGUUUACGGUGGAGGGCAAUCUGACUAAGUGUUUCUUUGAAAAGCCAGCCAAGCAAGAAGGCAUUGUAGCACGUCAGAGUUAAAGCCUUAAUAAACUUCGAGCGAUGACAACCUAGGUGGGAUCAUUCUCGAAAAAGAAAGAAAGGAAAAUAUAUAUAUUAUGCAUUCAUGUAAACACCAUUCACACAUGUCUAGUUAGGAGCAUUUGAUUCAUUUUAUGCCAUCUUAACCAUUAGGCAUAAUUAGGUUCAUUAUACAGGUCAUGUUCCCCAUAAAACAGAUUAGUGAAGAUAACAGAUCUUGCCUUCCUGCACCGAUAGCGAAGCAGAUCGAAGACACCAGCCUUGCCUCCCUAGGUUGCAGCGGAGCAGGUUAAAGAUAACAGAUCUUGCCUUCCUGCACCAAUACCGAAGCAGAUCGAAGACACCAACCUUGCCUCACUGGGUUGUAAUGGAGCAGGUUAAAGAUAACAGAUCUUGCCUUCCUGCACCAACAGCGAAGCAGAUCGAAGACACCAGCCUUACCUCCCUGGGUUGCAGUGGAGCAAGUUAAAAAUAGCAGAUCUUGCCUUCCUGCACCGACAGCGAAGCAGAUCGAAGACACCAGCCUUGCCUCCCUGGGUUGCAGAUAUGAUUUUGUAAUCUUAGAGAUUUAAUUUGUAGAUACCCUUUAAUCUUAGCCGUUGAUGUAAUUGAUCUGUACCGUUGGAUUUGGGGAGGCUCAACUAUAAAUAGAGGCCUUUCCCUUCAUUGUAAAAUGACGGAGGAGUUAGGAGUAAUAAUAAUUCUUAAGGGUAUUCACUCAAAUUUCUCUCUCUCUUGCAUUCUUAUUUUCUGUGGCUCGUUCUUAUUUUGUUGAUUUGUGUACAUAUUUAUAUUUUUUUAUUCUAACGAAUUUUUUUUAUAUUUAUAUAUAUACGUAUAUAUAUAUUUUUUAAAAAUGCUCAAAAAGAUAUUUUUUUAACUCAUGUUUUAUAAUUUAUAUAUAUAUGUUUAUAUAUUUUUCUUUGCAUUAUAUUUUUUGUUAUAUAAAUUCUAUAGUCCAAAAUUUUAUAUGUAGAUCCAUGUGUAUGUUUUUAUCCUUCAUGAUUUCAAUAUAUAUUAUGUACCUUUUAUUCUUUAUAUUUUUGUUUCCUUCAUUUGUUUAUUGAUUUAUGUUUUCAUUUACAUUUUAAAAGAAUGCUUUUUUUUGCUCAUUUAUUUGAUACUUGGCAUGUCAUCGUUUAUUCUUUUUUCCCCUUAUUUAUGUUUAUAUUAUUUCUAUACCACGGUUGUAUUUAUUAUUGAUAUUUGUUAAAGAGGCAUUUAUUCAUACAUUCAAUAUAACAUUACAUCAUCUUUUUACUCAAAUUUAAAAAAUGGAACUUUUCAAAAUAGAGAUAAUACUCGUAUUUAAGAUUUUCAAGAAAAUUGAGCCCUAACGUAUUGGGUUCCGAUUUUCUUCGUUAAAUCUAACAAUCGUGAAUUAUUCUUUGAUAAAAAAUAAAAUAGCUUGUUGUUGGAAAUUUAAUAUGUUGUGUCCUAACACAUUGGAUGUGACGUAUUGAUUUCUCGAGACAAAGAUUUUUUUAAAAAAAGUAUAUAUAUUAAUAAAGGAAAUAUUCAAUGUUUGGGAUCUUGAGAAAUUGUGCCCUAACGUAUUGGGCUGCGGUUUCGUCAUAAAUCUUAAACAAUUGAAUAUUCUUUUAAAAUUUAUCACACAAAUCUUUUGGACAAACUCAUUUUGAAAAAAUAAAAUAUCGUGCCCUAACGUAUUGGGUGUGAUGUUUUCUGUUUCAAAAUGAGCGCGUCUUAAUAAAUAAUUUAAUUUAAUUAAGGAUUGUAUUUUUCAACUCUCGACAUUAAGACAUUAAUUAAUCAACUUGGUACCAAUUUUUGGCGUUACGGGGGUGCUAAUCCUUCCUCGUACGUAACUGACUCUCGAACCUAUUUUUCUAAAACUCGUAGACCAAAGUCGUUUUUAGCUGGUCCAAUCACACCUUAAUAAAAGAUUGGUGGCGACUCCAAUUUUCAUCGACAAUUAAUUUUUGUUUUUUUCCAAAAAUAAAAAUGGUUUCGAUAGGGUCCAAUUAUAAAUGUUUCUUAAACUUUUAACCCAACACUUUAUAAUUCAAUCUAACCCAAUACAUGUUUUUCUAUUUUCCAAAAUAAAUAUCAUAAAUUAAUUUCCUAAUUAAAUAAUUUUCUCAACCUGAUUCUUAUUUUGUUAAAAUCAUGGUAACUUUAUCGUAAUAGAAUUUAUGAGAAAAUAUAUUUUAUUUUCUACAUUCAACAGAUUUACAAUGACCAAUUAAUUUAAUUUCAUUUUCGAACUUCAACUAUAAUAAUUUGAAAAACCAUAAAUUAAUUCUCAGGUCAUUUCCAUACUUGGUGAGAAAACCACAUUCAUUUCCGAAUCUUUUCCAUUUCUCUAACUUUACCACUUCCAUCCAUUCCUAUUCAUUUUAUUCAACAUGCAAUUCAUUUCCAGUUUCAACGAGCUAGCGGAGGGACUGAUUAGACAUAUGUGUUUAAGGCUCAAAUGAUUUAUAAUUAAGUUCCAGUUUUUCGCCUAUUAAUUAAAAACUCAUUUAGUCAUGAAGUCAUUCUACUACAGUAUCGUGACUCAGCUCUCCUUAAUGACAUAGCAUUACGAAAGCUACUUGAUCAAUGCUCAUCCAAUAACCUUGUCAUAAAUGUGUUACCCUUGUAGGAUAUCCUUAAUCUCUUUGGGACAACUUCGCUUUCCCAAUAUGAUCUUAUUUUAUCUCAUGGUAACCAUUAUAUCUCCUUCAUGAAAAGUCAAUUACUAUCAAAUGAUAAUUAAAUCAUUCAUAAAAAAGAUGAACAACCCAUGAUCACGUUUACUUUUUAUAUAUCAUCUAAUGUCAAUGAGAGGAUAUUGUUUACCCAUGUCUUGGGUUAUGAAUUCUACUAUUAUGAAUGAUGCUACAUAUUGCAGAAGUCAUAUACCUAACGCAUCAUCUCGACUCCUUAUCUAUUUGAACUUAGGCUUUUACUUACAUCAAAGUAUAUGAACCAAGCAUAUAUAGUCCAUCAUCCACUUAGGAUAAUGUAUGUCACACUAUGAACGUCAAGUGAAUAAAUCCACAAAUGGAUUCAGGAUCUAUUUAACUUGGUCCCAGUCCAAUGUAUUGUUUGUCCAGUUAAUCACAUCUAUGUCUCUAUCUUUUGAGAGUCAUUCGCUCUGAUGCGCAAAACAAAUCAUCUCCCCAAUUGGACUUGAUAGACGACAUAUUAGUCUUUCAAUUGGUUUGCUCAUUUUUGAUUAAACUAAGGACAUGUUUAGGUUCAUGUACUAAUAUGAGUUGUCUUUCCGUAUUACGCUCCAAUCAUGCAACACUGCUUAGCAUUAGUUAAACAUUAGACAAUCAAUGAGUUAAUAUUUGCUUCUAUUUUGCUUCACAUGCAAAAACCAUAUGAGAACAUUAUACAAAGAAUAUUAAUGUGAUUCAUGAAUAAUUUUAUUAACCAAUCUGUUCAAAAAAAUUAGAAGUAUACAAAGGAAUAUCCUACACUUAGGGCACCAAGUCGAACAAUAUCAAUAUACAAAUUUAUUAAAGAAUAAACAAAAAGUAAAAAAAGAAGAAGAAAAAAUCAAGAUAUAAUUAUAAUUUAUAAUAGUUUUUUAAAAGAAAAAAAAACAUACAACUAAUGAGACAUUAGCUUAGUGGCAUAGUUUAAGUGUUGGAAAAAUAUGGACAUUACAUAUAUAAUAACAAUAAUUACAUAUUAUUAUUUACUAUCAUCAAAGGUUAGCUCAAAUUAAAUAAUCUAAUUUGGUUAAAGCUUAUUGGGCUUCUGUUAUUAAAUAAAGUAUGGACCAAAUAUGUGUUAAUUUUGAAGAUUAAAACCACAAGAUUUCAAGAUAUUAAGAUAUCAAUAAAUUUAGGUAUGCUUCCACAUCUAGUUUUGUUCUUAAUUUGUUCUUGAUGAUUUGAGAUGACAGAUCCUAGUUUAUUAAGUUUUACAGUUCUAACAUUAAGGUCCUAAGAAAUUUAGGAUUUUGGGUUUAACACUCACUCUGUAUAAGCCAUGUUAAGUUCUUAGUUCAUAUUUAUUUUGGUUUAUGCCCAACCAUAUUUGGGUCCUCUAUAAAUUUAUUUUGGUCUAGGUCUAGAUAUGUUCUAGUCAUCGGUUUGAUUUUUCUUUAUAAUGAUUAAUUUUGGUUAUAGUUAUUAAAAUGUAUUUUUUUGUAAUUGCAAUGUGAUUGUGCUUAUAACUUAAAAAAAAUACAUAUAUUAAUUGAAAAAUAUAUUAUGUUUAACAUAUGAUUAUAUUAAAAUAUAAUGUCAUUUAUAAUUUAUUUUAAUAAUUAUUAAAGUAUGUAACACCCCUCACCCGUCUCUGUCACCGAAAUCGAAUUACGGGAUGCUACAGUAAAUAACAGAAUAAGAACAUGUGAAUUUAAUUCAAAAAUUCAACAAAACAUUCAUCAUAUCUCAAUCAUUCAAACAAACGUGUUUUGCAUACAGUUUUGAGCUUAAAUCGAGCUUACAAAAGCUCCCAAACCAUCCAUAAUCAAAUAGGGUCUUAAUUGAAAACUUAACAAAAAGUAGAGAAAUUCAGAAAAUAAGGGUCACACGACUGUGUAUCCAGGGUGUAUGACAGACAAUGACCGUGUGUGCAUGAGUCACAUAAUCAUGUCACCAGCCCGUGUAACUAACUGCAACCGUGUAAAACUAGAGUCGCACGACUGUGUAUCUAGACCAUGUAACUCACUGAAGCCGUGUGAACCUAAAUGCAAAAACUUACAAACAUUUACAUGGUUGUGCAACUUGGCCGUGUGAGAGACUGAGACCGUAUUAAAAAUCUAAUGACCAAAUCAAUAGUACCACACGGGCGUGUGGCCAGCCCGUGUAAUAAACUGUAACCUUGUUUACCCAAAGCUUCCCAAUCAAUAUAGAGCACAUGGCUGUAUCAUUUACCCGUGUGUGACACAUGGUCGUGUGUUAGCCCGUGUGUGUCAAUAAGUGCCUUACUAUGCAAGCUACCAUUCAAAAAUUUCACUUAGGUCAUGAAUAUAUAUUUAACCAUUCUUUAAACCUAUUCAAAAUGUAUAAAAAUAUGCCAAAACAUAUCAUUUCCUAAAUCAAACCAAUAUGCCUCAAGACACCAUCACACAACAUGAUUUAACACCAAGUACAUUUCAUUUCAUUGCUAGAAUAGAUAAUGACCAAAUAUAUGCCUUAUACAUGACCAAAAUACCAACUUUCAAUCACAUAUUAUUAACCAAAAAAUGCCAAAUCCAUAACUUAUAAGAUUAACACCAUAAUUAUCCUACAACUCAUGCUUUUAACAUCCAAAUUAGACAUUAAGCUAUUGAAUCUUGUUUACCAACAAACCUCACCUAUUUGAACAUCACAUACCAUAACCAAACAUGCCAAACAUCCAUGAAAGUCUAUCACAUUUUCCGUACUUAUCAACCAACUUCAAAGUUACCAUUUCAAGCCAUAAUCAAACAUAUCAAAAUGUCAUCAAACAAACAUACUUUAUAAACACCAUACACACUUUGCUAUUACAAAACACCUAUAUACAAUUCAACCCCUAUUACAUGAUACAUAACCGAAAUGAACAAUUAAAAGUCCACCAAAAGUGGUUGGAUAGUGUGAUUCUCAAGUUGAUCUGAUCGCCGAUUUUUGUAAAAUGAUAACUACAGAAAAUAGAAAACGAAACACAAUAAGCUUCAAUUAAGCUUAGUAACUUCAUAGGUUGGAAACAAUAUAACAUACCUUAAUUUCCAUGUCUAAAUAGCAAAAAAGUUAACUGAAAAUUUUACCUCGUUACCACAAUUCAUAUUAAUAGGUGUGUUUAUCACACUGAAGUCACAUAACCUUCCAUAUUAGACAAGUAGAUCUAAAACCAUGUCAAGUCAUUAUAUCAAUAAACAUAAGAAUAUUCUUAAAUCAUUUAUUUAUGCUUUACUGCAUUAUACCUAUUUACCAAUCAUCCAAUCUAUUAACAAUAAUUCAGCUUGACGAAACUAUUAUGAAUAGAUACAGAUAUUUGGUUAUCCAAUCAAAACAUAUCUGAAUGCUCAAAAGAGCUAAACCAUUCAAGAACAUGCCUUAGAAUUGAGUGCCAAGCUCGUAAGCUAAACAUCCCUCAGAAAACACGCCUAGGAACUAAGUUCCAAGCCCGUAGGCUACACAUCCUCCCCUAGAAACACGCCUAAAUCACUGUAAAUAUUACUCGGUAAUCCGCAACAAAUGCUAGAUUCCGAUACAUUCAGUGAACAUAUGUACAUAUCAUCUAUCAUCAUCUCAUCUCACAUAAAACCUGUACAGUGCGGAAAUAACCUAUUAGGAUGCCAAUUGUAUCCAAUCUCAUGUUCAUUUGGGCUCAAUACAUGUAAUAAUAUGUCACUUUUCAAUCAAGUUCUUUUUCUCACCUUUGUAUCAAUUACAACAUUUGAGUUUACAUUUAAACAUUCCAAUUAUAUAAUACAAACAUAAAUAUUAAAAAAAUACCUAGAACUAUACCAUAUGAACUUACCAAGGAAUAGCAACAAUAGAAGAAGUAUUAGGGACUAAUAUGCUAUUUUUCCACUUCCUCGGUUAUCUACUGGUUGAUUAAUUUAUUGAUCUAUACGGUAAUUCAUUUCAAAUUAUUUGUUCUAAAUACCUUAUAACAUCUUACUUAAUGAAUAUGACCUCCUAUUAUCAUUUUCACACUUUUUCUAAAGUUUUACAUUUUAUUCAAUUUAAUCCCUAAAAACGUAACAAGCAUAUUUUCCAUAGUUAAGCCCCAAAAUUUAAAAUUGAACUCAUUCUCAUCCCUUUACAGCUCUCCAGCAUCUAAAUUUAUAAGAAUUUCAUGCCAAUUUUAAUAAAUUAUCAUUUUAGUCCCUAAACUCAAAACUAAUCAAAUUCACUUAACAAAAUAGUCUUAUUUCAUAACAAAGCUUCAAACCCAACCAUUAACAUCAAAAUAGCUUUAAAAAAAACAAUGAAAUCUUUUCAAAACUUUAACAAUAUUACGACAUAGUCCCUGGGCUAACUAGAUUAAAUUACAACAUUAUAAAAAACAUAAAAUGAUCUAAAAACGAGCUUCGAAUUCACGUACCUGCAAAGACUUAAGCUUGACCGAACUUUCAAAGUUCAACAAUGGUGUUUUGGUAGGAAAGAACAAGUAAAUGAAGAAGAUAACUUUAAAAUCCUAUGUUUUAAAUUUUAUUAUUAACAUUAUUUUAUGUAUAAAUUAAUCAAAAUACACCUAAUAACCAUCCACUAUAAAAAAAUAUGGCAUAAUUGCCAUUUUAAAACCAUCAAAUUAUUCUUUUAAACUCAUUUAGUCCAUAUAAAUUAAGAGCGAUUAACUUUUAUAGUUUUUAUGAUUCAGUCCUUGCACCUCAAUAACUAAUUGAUCAAAAAAAUUACUAGACCAAAAAUCAUUAUAACACUAUAAAUGACCCGUAAAUGCCCACUCAUUAGAAUUGUGGUCUCGAAACCACUAUUUUUGACACCAUUAAAAAUAGGCUCUUACAAAAUAUUUUUAUAAUUUAUUUAUUUUUAUUAUUUUUAAUUGAAAAAUUUUGAAUAUAAAAAUAAAUAGAAUAAUAAAUAAUUAAUAAAAGGUAAAGUUGUCCUUUUAUUCAAAAUUCAUUUAGUAAAUAAAACUUGGUGGGUUAGUUUUUUCUAUCAAACCUGGGGGGUGGGGAGACUUCAAGGGGUUCCAAUACUUUUCUCUAUCAUUUUUAAGAAAAAAAAUGAGUUAUUUGGUAGGUAAAGCAAGGUUUGAGCUUGACCUGGAAUUUUCUUUGGAAUUGGGUUUAGGCCUAACUUGACUCAGCCGAUGAGCACCUCUAUCAUAAACAAGUUUAUUUAGUUCAAAUGAAUGAACAUGAAUGCAUGUAAUUUUAAAUAAACAAACAUGAAUUAAACACAAAUAAGAUUAAAAAUUUAAAUAAAAACAUAAAUUUGUUUAUAAACAUAGAGGAUUAAAAUUUUAAAUAAACUAAUCUUAAAUAAACUAAUUUAUGUUUCUAUUUAUUCAUUUGAGUAAACCUUGACCAUUCACGGUUGGACCUAAUACACGAACCUUAGAAAAAAAAAUUGUUUAUAGAUGUCAAGAGUGAAGCUUUACCUAAAUGUCAAAAGUUUUAAAAGUCUCUCAAAUAAAUGUUUGAAAACAAUUCUAGUUAUAAAGAUAUUAAUGGUUUGUUAAAAAGAAUUAUGUUAUGGAUAAUGGUGAUAAUGAACAAAAGUUCAUUACGUUUAUGAAAGGAAAAGGGAAUCAUUCAAUAUUAUAGGAAAAUGUUAAGAGAGAACCCCAUAACUACUUGUAUAUAUGUUCCACCAACGUAUGCUUUCUAAAAUAUCCAAACAGUGAAGCUCCAUGAACCUUGUCAUAAUUUUGGAUUAAUUUCACUUUUUCUACUUUGCUAAAGUAAUAUCGAGUGAAACAUUUGCUACGGAAUACUUCUUGGAGAUGACACUUUACAUGGCAAUCUUGUUCUAUAAGUGAGUUAUUUCAUGAUAGUAUUAUUCUUAGAUGAAGUUGCUCUAAACAAUUAUUAUUCUUGAGCAAACAACUAUUUAGAAGAAGACUUGUUUUGGAAAAAAUUGUUCUAAACAUAGUUGUUCUUGGUAGAGGUUCUAAACAUCAACUAUUUUAAAUAUAAUAGGUUUUUGGUUGAGGCUUCUAUCAUGUUCAUCAAUUCUUGAAUAAAGGUAAGAAUAAGAGUAUUUUGAUUUUUAGUAGAUUAUCCAUGUCUUCUAAUAAGUUUAGCGUUGAAGAUUUUAGUCAUCUAAUGCUAUCACUCCUUCAGAACAAAAUUGUCAAAAUGUAAAGGGUUUUUGGUUUAGAGAGAAAAAGUUGCAAACAAGGAAAACAUAAUGUACCAAGACAUCACAAAGAAAGAUUGAAGCAAACCAACAACUAGUGGUUCGUAAGGUGGAGAAUUGUUGAAGUAGACUACUUGUGGAUAAGAAUAAACUUGAGAAAAGGAACAUGUUGAUAGAACUUUAAAAAGUUUUUAAUGGAAUAUGAAUUGCUAAAAUGCUAAAAUCCCCUUACAAGUUGUGAAGGGCUUUUAAUUAUAGAUGUAAAAAUAAUAGUUAUAUAGUUAUACAUUAAAUAAGAUAAAGAGAAAGAUUUUCAAUUACAAAAGACAUUAAUAUGUUUUAUUAAUAAAGUUUAACCACCUUUUGAUAAUAACUGCAUAGUAAACAAAAGUUCACCACAAUUCCAAAGACAAGGAAAAUCACUUGAUGCUACAUGAAGGGAAAUCACUUGGUUCACACUAAUCUCUAAACUUGAUAAAAUUUUCUAUUUUUGGUCUAUAUGAUGAUGUGGCACUUUGAGAUUGUGUCAUGUCAUUAGUUAUAUUUUAGAAAAAAUAUAAAUUUUGAUGUAAUGAUGUGACAUAAUAUAAGUGUAACACCCUACGCUUGAACUGGUUGUCGGAUUCGGGUAUGGAUCAUUAUAGGUUGACCGGAUUCGAAAAACACACCUAUGUACUUUUCUUUAAAGAAAAGCUCAUUAUCCUUAUGGUGGGUACCUCCUUCAUCAGAGUGGUAUUCCUUUAGUUCAAGACCAUUUUUGUAACAACCCUAACCCGUAUCUGUCUCCAGAAUAAGGUUAUGAAGCAUUAUCAAACUUUUCACAUAAACAAUCAUACAUUUUCAUAUUCAUUUCUCAUAUCCAAGCAAUAGUCAUUCAAAUUCAAUCAUAUAGUCCCUAACACAAGCCCUCAAGGCCCAAAAAAAGCAUUAAAAACAAAUUGAGACUAAAUUGAAAACUCAUAGAAGUUUUGGAAAAACAUUGAAAAUUUACAAAGUGCUGGGGACACAUGCCCGUGUGGCCAGGUCAUGUGUCUCACACAGUCAAGAGACACGUCCAUGACUCAGUCCAUGUGGGCAUUCGAAAUGGGAUCGCAUGGCCGUAUCCUAGCUAGUGUCCAACCCCAUGUAACUCACUGACUUGGGUCACACGGCCAACCACACGCCUGUUUGACUAGCCCGUGUAGCUCAUUGACUUACUUUCAUUAGAAAUUUUAGGGGACACACGGUCGUGUCUCCUGACCGUGUGUCACACAGGCCUGCGUUUCUGCCCGUGUGGACAAAAAUAAGCUAUUUUCUAAGCCAGAUUUCUCACCCAAAUAGGUACCAACCUAAGCUCAAUAAUGCAUAUACAACCAUGGCAUAAAUAAGCAUUCAAAACUAACCAAUACCAAGUUUAUAACAUGUAAUAUCCACACAUACAACAUGAUAUCCAUAAGCACAUUCAUUUGACCACUUUAAAGCAUACCAAAUAUACUUCCAAAGUCUAGUUAAAUGGUUAAUUACAUAUAUGAGACAUUGAACCUAAAACUUAGAAUGCAAGCUUAUCUCAAUUCCAACCAUUUGGUUCCAAAACACAAUUUCACAAGCAAGGCAUUCAUAUAGCAACUAUACACCACAUAUCACAAGGCCAUUUAUACAUAUAUACAUAUCAAAAUAUAUGACCACUUUUCAAGCCAAUUCAAAUGGCCUAAACUCAUCAAGACAUAUAGGCUAAAUUAGCCAAAAUACCUAUACAUGUCAUUUAACCAAAAUAUAGAGAUUCAAAAGUACCAAAACGAGAGCUUGAUAGUGAGACACAAUCUCCGAUAACUUUCAAUUCGAAUGAGCUUCCGAUUCAGUAUUAAAACACGAAAAAUUAAACAGAGUAAGCAAUUAAGCUGUAACAUAAAACUCAGCUUACCAUUUAAUCAUAAUUUAAGUAAUUAAACAUAGCAUAAUGCAACUCAAUUUGAUCCAUAAGCCUAACACAUGUUCAUCCACAAGAUUAGACAUGAAAUAACAAACCUCAUAGAUUCAAUUCUCACAUGAUUGACAUACAUACCUAUACUAGUUCAUAUCGAACUCAUACACUUUCGUAAUAACACUGUGCCCGUUGAACUAUUUGGAAUAAUAUCGGAUACUCAGGUAUCUCGCACACUUAGUGCUAAUACAUGGUCGAAACCAUCUCUAUCUCAUAUAGAUGCUCACUCUCGAGCCAUCACUAGGUCUGCUCACACAAGCUGACGGUCAAGACGUAGCUACACGGUGCUACUCACACAAGCUAUCGGGUAACCGCAACACAUGCUAGAAAACUUAGCCAUCGGUAGAACGUAUGGGAUCAACACCCAAAACACGAUUAUUCCUAAUGACAUGUCAUUUGUACCUAUCUAUUCCUAACGUUCGAUCGGGAUCCAUACACUUGCCGAUAUCUUGUCGAGAAUUUAUGUAGUAUCGUAUCAACUAAUAUUUCAAUUAAUCAUGUAAACAUAUAUAUAAUUUAAAGCUUAUUAAUAUAUGAACUUACCUUGAUCUCGUACGAUGAAAAUUUAUCGUUUAAUCGAUAACUUUAUCUUUCCCUCGAUCUAAUUCCGUACUUCGCUUUUCUUGAUCUAUGUAAUCAAAUUUAACUCAUUUAAUCAUUAAUCUAUUAAAUUCAAUCCAAAGUUCAUGUUAUGACAAAAUUACUAUUUUGGCCCUAAACUUUUGGCUUCUUUAUAAUUUAGUCCUAAACUCAUAAAAAUGCAAAUUCAUGCAAUUCAAUUUCAGCCCAUGCUAGCUGAAUAUCAUAUAGGUCCCUAGCAAGCCUUAUAUUUCAUUUAUUUCACAAUUUCACCAUGUAUAUUACAUAUUUUAAUUAAAUCCCUAUUUGACAAUUUUACUAAAAAUCACUUAACAAAUGUUGUUUAACUAACAACAAAGAUUCAUUUUCUUCCAUCAAACAUCAAAACACAUACACAUUCGUCAAUGGUGAAACCCUAACUCUUUAACACUUUUGCAAAUUAGUCCCUGGGCUAGCUAGAUUAAGCUACAACGACUUCAAAACCAUAAAAAUCAUUAAAAACCGAGCAAAAUUGCACUUACAUGCAAGGGAGAAAGAUGGUUGAAUGUUCAAUCUCCUUCCAUGGAGUUUCCUAGGUCUAAUUUCAGUGGUGGAUGAUGGAAAAAGAUGAUAGCCAUAUUUUAUUUUACUUAAUUUAUCAUUAUUUACCUAUUUACUAAUUUAACCUUUAAAAACAUUAAAAUUUAUACAAAUGCCAAGCCAUUAUCAUCCACUAAAAUUUUAAUUGUAUAAUUGCCAUAUAAGGACCUCUACAUUAAAGUUCAAUAGCUAUUAAACACUUUUAGCUAUUAGAACCUAACUUUUACACUUUACGCGAUUUAGUCCUUUUCAUCAAAUAAAACAUGUAAAUGAUAACAUUUCUUAACGAAAUUUUCAUAUGACUCUAAUAACAUUGUGUAACCAUUAAAAUAAUAAUAAAAUAAAUAUUUUCACUUCGGAUUUGUGGUCCCAAAACCACUGUUCCAAUUUCACUAAAAACGAGCUGUUAUAAUUUUAGUUUGGAAGCGCAAUUUAAAUAAAAACUCACUGCGUUAAGGAUGCAUGGAAUAACCCUUUGGUGGCCACUUAAUUAACAUUAAUAAGUCAUAAUAGCAUUUGAUCAUCAAAGCUUCCAUUCAACAUUCAACGUUUUCAAAGUAUUGUUCAAUAAAUAUUAAAAUUUCAAAUUGGCGGUUUCUAAGAAUUGGCCUAAUAGCCCCAGUAAAUGCAUGUUAACUUUGAAAUUAAGAAGGCUCAUAAAUGGUCGUAGAUCUAGCUGUAUCCCUUCGAUCACCUCGCUUAACCUAAGAACUUGAAAGGAAGAAGAAACUGGGUAAGUUCGUAAGAACUUAGUGAGUUCUUGGGAAAAAAAAUCCCACCUUAGUUAGUAUCAGACAUUAAGACAAAAAGACUUGACUAGAUCACCCUAUUUGGCAGAUACAUUACCUUGUCUUGUAGAUCAACUGGCGAAUGAUACCGCAAAUCAACUCAGCUUAUUGGUGAACAACACUGGUUUCUAUAAUCAUAUAUGAUAAUCACGGGCACAUAUUUUCCGCGAAUUUGCCACUUGUGUGGACUACCAUUUUUGAUAGAUAAGCUUACUGUUCAUGCUUUCAUGCAACAUGCAAUACCACAUACACUGUUUUUCUACGUCCUCUCUUUUUUAUGCUAGGUUCUGAUCCCUAUUCCUGAAGAACCAAAAUUUUCCUGUAUCUUCAAAUUCACUUGUUUGAGCCCUAACUUUUUUCCUUGUAUGAACACAUAAGUAUUCUACCGCAAGGUCGAGUUUUCACCAAUCAUGAUUUGUAUCUAAGUGUCAUCCAAAGGCAAAACAUAAUUUCAUGUAUCUUCGUUAUCAUUAUAUACAACAUUCCUCCGAUACCUUCUUACACCCAUCUAGAUGCGAAGCUUGUGCACCAAGGAAUGAGUACUUAUACUGUGUAUAUACCAGGUUUUUUGGGCCUGUUUAACCAUGCAUGCAUUGACUCUUUGAAUGAUACUCUUCAGACAUGAACUUCAAAAAUAAAUAACUAAGUCACUUACCUAGCUUAAUGAAGUUUAGAGGUAAAUAAACUAAUGCAGAUACCAGACAUAAAGUGCAAAGGAACUCACCAGAAUACUUUAUUCAGAGCUUUAUCUACUUUACUAGUUCUUUUCCUUUAGCACACAUGAACUUCAGAAAUAAAUAACUAAGUCACUUACCUGGCUUAAUAAAGUUUAGAGGUAAAUGAACUAAUGCAAAUACCAGACACAAAGUACAAAGGAACUCACCAAAAUACUUUUCUCAGAACAUUAUCUACUUUACUGGUUCUUUUCCUUUAGCACUGGGACCUUUUCCCGUUUCUUUAUCUAAACAAUAAAACAACUUUUUUAACUAUCAAAUAUAACCAAAAACUUAUGAUACAACAAAAGUCUAUAGACAUGCAAACGAUUUUUGGAUAAGAGUUUCCUUCCUACCCUAGAUUCAAAGAAAUCCUAUCAAUCAUUUCUCAAGUUAGUUUCUACCUAUUUGGUAAAACUUCAAGGAAGGUUUAAGAAUUUACCAGCAAACAACUAGCAUAGAAGUUCUCCUAAACUUUUACAAUUAACACCCUUGUUAGCAAAGAAGAACUCUUCUGGUUUCUUCGAUGAUAACAAAUUCUAUGUUCGAUCUGGUGCCUUGAGUACAAUAUAUUUGUCUAAUGAAAUUUGUAAUGUCACACCCCAAAUUUGACAGACCUAGUUAGAAGACAUGUAGAUGUGAAGUUAUCUGUUUGGCGUAGUGUAGUUUGCACAUUUGUAAUCUUUUGGUGAAUAACUGUAACAGCCCGGUUUUCAGUGGUGAUAGAAAUAGUGGUUUUGAGACCAUAAAUUUCACUGUGCCGACUUGUAAAUAUUAUUUUUAGAAUAUUUAUAGUCAUUAUAGUCAUAUUAAAAUUUGGUUAAGAAAUAUUAAUGUUUAGUUAGUUAAUUAAGAUAAAAGUAACAAAUUGAAAAAGGUGCAAAACUUGUUAAUUAAUACAUUUAGGUGAUUAGAUGGUUUAAUUAAUAAAUGAGGAAGGGAUUAAGUGAUAAUUAAGCUAUAAAUAAUGAGUGGGACGACAAUUAAAGUUAAAAAUGAAAGAAAAUUUAAUGAUAAUGGCAUAAUUGUAAAUUUCUUGAAAGUAAAACAAAAUUAAAAGAAGAAAAAGACAUUUUCUCUUCAUCUUUCUAUUUUUCAUUGUCAAAACACCAUGGGAGCUUAACUUGGAGGUUCGUCCACUUUAUACUCUUGCAUGUGAGUUUAAUUCCUAUCUGUUUCUUGUAAUUUUUAUGUUUUUGAGAUCGUUGCAACUAGGUCCAGCUAACCCGUACCUUUGAUUUUUAAACUGUUAAAGAUUUUGAAUGUUGCCAUUGAUAAAUAUACUAAUUUUUUAUGUUAAGUUGGUAUUUAAAAGUAUUUUGUUAAGGGAUUUUUGAUAAAUUUUUUAUUAGGGACUAAAUUGUUGAAAUAGUAAAAAUACAAGGGUUUGUUGUGAAAUUAUUGAAAAAAUGGGCUGUAAUGAAUGCCAUGAAUAUUUGGUUAGCAUGGGUUUGCAUUAAAAAUGGUUAAUUUGCAUGUUUUAGGCUCAAGGACGAAAUUGAAUAAAAGUAAAAUGUUAGGGGCAAAUUUGUAAAAAUGUAAAAAAUAAAUUCCAUAAAAUAAAUUUUUUUAUUUUCUAAAUUAAUAAAUUUAAUGAAAUUGUUAAUUUAAAUCAAGAUCGAGGGGAAGAUCGAGGAGAAUGGAAAAUUACCAAAAUGCCCUUAUACUUUUACAUUUCUACAAUUUAGCCAGGUAAGUUCGUACGGUUAAAAUUUAACAUUUGUGUAAACUGAUGAUUGAUAUUAUAUAUAUGUUCUAUUGUUGGAAUUGAAUUAUUGCUAGAAAUAUAUUAUCAAAUUUAAUACUUUGUUUGGAUUGAACGCGAGAUUUGAGUACAUUUGUGAUUUGGUGUAUGAUGGGGGUUUGGAGUGGAGAUGUUAUUGGAGGGUGUUAAGUUCAAUUUUUAGCUUAACUUAUUCCAUUAAUUACCUAAAUUAUUGACAAAUUCUUGAUCAAUUAGUUUCAAUUAGCUCAAUUUGCAUUAAGAAUAUACUAUGCUUUGUUAAUUUAUUUUUGCUCCAAUCCGAUGAUUUAAUGGUAUUUUAAGACAUGUUGCAAGGUAGGUACAUUGGGAAGGUUCGAAUGAACCCAAAUGUGGAAUUCACUUGCCCCGAAUAGAGUUGAUGGAAGGGGCUGGGCGAAUGCUGAAUUCUUUAAAGUCGGCGAAGUCAAAAUACAAAUUUGAAGUAAUUGAGUCGACCGCAAAAGACCUUGACAGCAAAAGCAAGAUUCGGUCCAACUUGAAGGUGCCAUAGACCGACAUUGUGUGACCAGCCAGCAAGGGAAUCAAAUUUAAAUUCGAAUUCCCCUCUUUCCAGCUAUGACCGAUUCUAGUGUACAAUGAACAAACCAACUCAGACUUGAGAAGUUAAGUUGGAGUGAAAGUCUAAUUGGUUUGAGCUAACCUUAUGCGAUAGGCGAGGAAAAAAUCAACGGAGAGAUCAGAUUUUUAUUUUCUAUAUUUAGAGGCUGAGUUUUAUUUUUGAAAAAGGGGAGAGGAGAAGAAAUUGAAAAACAAGAAUGAGGGACUCAGGAAGAACACCGUCUCCAAUCGACCUAGUAGGUGCGAAUCAAGGAGCUAGAACCGGUCUUAGAGUCCAGCAACUUCAGGAGGAGGGAAGCUCGAUGACCUUAGCAGUGUUGUUAAGCAAGAGUGAUUCUAAACUCGACUUGAUUUUAAUUAAUUGUUGUUUAGCCAUGAGGAGCUAAAGUCCCUUUGCUUAGUUAGGCAUUAUUGAAGCCGAACACAAGUUGAAGUAAAGACUCAUUUUAUCUGGAAUUAAAACUCGGUAAUUUGUAGUUGAUUGUUUUUCUCAAAGGGGUUUAUUUUCUAAGUCAAGCUAAAAUGAUCACCUAAUUAAUUUAGGAAUUCUCCUAUCAUCACCUAAGUAAAUUUAAGAAAUCCUAUUUCCUAAGUAGACUUAGAAUCGAUGAACACUAUUAAACAGCUACGGGUUUAAUUUAAUGGGAGCCGUUAGAGGUUUUCCAUGGUUAAUGCAAGGCAAAGCCUCUUUAGCACCUUACGCAUGUUUAAUCGAUUAAACAAAGAGGGAUUAAAUAUAAUUUUCAAUUAAGAACGUUUCAUAAUUGAACUAACAUUGGAAGAGGUAGGGAGUCACUUCGUAAGGGAUUUUCCAGCCUUACUAUCGAGUAGAUUUCCUAGGAUAAGUUGAGUCUCAGUUAGUUGUGUUUGGUGGAUUAGUCGAUAACUAAGCAUCUUUUUCCAUUUGAUUCUAGAAUAUAAGCAUUUUCAUCUCAAACUACUUUCUUUCGUUUUUAGAAGCAACAUUCAUAUAAAACCCCCCACACGCGUAUGUGUGUGUAUUUCAUUUAAUUCUUUUCAAAUAGAUUUAAUACGAGCUUCCUCGUGGGAUCGAUACCCCAUUUUCCCUAUAUUACUAGUUAAUAUUGGUUGAAUAGUGGAUUUAAUUCGGUGAACGUAACGACUUCUCACCAGAGGGAUAUAUCGACAUUUUACCCAAGUAAAUUGGGGUUCAACAUUUAUUGUGAACUCUCGGCUUUUACUUUCUCUUUGGCAUGAUUCGGGUGGAUUAGCUCUUACGAGCUUCUGUUCAGCUCUUUUGAGUUUCUAUUAAGCUCUUAUGAGCUUCUGUUGACGAUGUACUCUUACUCGUAAGUCGUUCUUCAUAUGAAAAAUCUCGAUAAGGUAAUUUGUUUAAUGAAUUUGAAAGUUUUGUUAUUUAUUGAAUAUUGACCUGAACAUAAAUGAAUUCAUCAGUUGAGAUUGUGGAUAAUGCUUAGGUUUGUGCUAAGCUGUUGGUUGCAUUAUAUCAUGUUGAAUAUUAAUUAUAUGAAUUGACAUGGUAAUUGGUUAAAUGGAAAUAUGCUUAUGUUUAUAAGAAGGUGGUAAGAUUCAAAAUGUGUAAUUUCUUAUAAAAUGGUUUAUCAUGUGAUUGACCCCGAAUGAGUUAUAUACAUAAAUGCACUAACUUGUUUAUUGAUGAUGGUGAUUAGGCUUAUGUCAAGCUUCAGAUUAUGAUUGAUGUAUAUGCUUAUGUUUGGUAUUAUACAAAUGAAACGGUAAGUUCAUAAUUGAAAUGUGAUAUGAUGAAAAAGGGAUUGAUGAGUUGAAUAAUGUACUUAUAUAUGAGAAAUUACGUGUGUUAUGGUUGAAAUUACCUAUGUUAUGAAUAAAUAUACUAAUUAGUUAAUUGAUGUUGUUAUUUAAGUUUAUGUUUAGUAAAUGGAAUGGAAAGUAGGUAAAGAAAGUUAUUCGUAGUUUUAUGAAAAUGUUAAUGAUGGUGUAAAAUGUUUUAUAAAAUCUUAUUAUGUUAGGAAUGAAUAUAUAUAUGAUGUUGAUAGACUUACUCAUUUAUGAGUUAGUGGUUAUGUAGUUGAUAAAUCUUGAGGCAUUGGUAUAGCUUUAUAUUUAUCAUAUAAAGUUUAUGAUUAAAUUAGAAUAUUAUGUUUAAAGUUUGUAUGAGCUUGCUAAGCAUUCAUUGCUUAGGUAGUUGUUGAUCCCUUACUUUAUAGAUUAUUAGAAGCUUGAUCGGGUUGGAAGCUUGUCAGAGAUCUAUCAAACUAUCCAACGAUUAUAUCAGUAGAUUUUGAUGUCUUGGUUAAAGUUAUAAUGGCAUGUAUAGUUGGAUUAUGUCUAAUGCUUAAUUGAUGAGUUUGGUAUAUAUAUGUCAUUUUGGUUGAUAAUUAUGGCAUGAAAUGUUGCCUUGAAUUUGAGGUACUUAAGGUACUAUUGAUAUCUUGUUGGUUAUGGUUAAUAUGGUUAAUUUGAUGCAUGUUUAGAAAUAACCAAAUUUGGUAUAUGUUGUAUCAAUCUCAAUAUGGCCAAGACAUGGUAUGUUUUGGACAAGUCUUGAAUAUAUGUGCAUGAUUGAAAUAUGGUAUGCCUAAUAUGGUAAGGUUAGUAUGUGUCAAUUGUGUUAUGCAUUGGUAUGGAAACAAGUCAGUUGGUAAAUGGUAUCAAUGUGGUCAAAUGUGGUGAGAUUAUUUUUGAUAUAGCAUGGAAAUAGUAUUGAGAUUAUUUAGGUAUGUAUGGUUAAGGUUUGUACAAAUAUGCUUAUGUAUAUAUAUAAGUUUGAUGCUUGAUGAUUAAGGUGCCUUUUGGCAUAUUGGUUAAAGUUGUAUGAGCAUUUGGUAUGGAGAUUAGUCAUUUUUUGCAUAAUUUGAGUAUUUUUAAAGGCCUUGUAUACAUGUACAAAUUUUUUGUAGGUUUAUGCUUGAAAGAGGUGAAAGAAAUGGCUUGGAAAUGGUCAUUUUCUUGUUACACUACCUAAGACACGGGCGUGUGUCUCAGCUGUGUGAGUCACAAGGCUUGGCCACACGACUGUAUGAACCCUAUAGUUUGAAAAAAAUUCUAUCUUUUUUUUAUGAAAUUAUAAAUGUUUCUGAUUUUGUCCCGAAUUGUUUCUAAAGUGAUUCGAAGGCCCCGAGGGCUCGAAUAAGGGACGUUAUGCAUGUGUUUGAAUGAAUUAUGCUAUGAUAUAUGAAAUGUUUAAGAAUGAAAGUUUUUAAGUUAUGAUUUCCCGGUAAUGCUCAGUAACCCUAUUCUGACGACGGAUACAGGUUAGGGGUGUUACAAUAAUAGUUGGCUUAGAGUAUCUACCGUGUAAGUAAUUAAAGAUUUUAUCUUAUGUUAUUCUGCUAUUUAAGAAAAGAAUAUGACAAGGGAACAGUAAUACUAGUGAGAGUUAGCGCCAAAAGUAUAGUACCUCCAGUUUGCCUAAGCACUGUGGUUAUUAGGUUUUGUAACAUGAUCUAGUUAAAAUCCAACUGAAUUGGCUGGUCAAAUAAUAUUUGUACAGGAUCCUCAUUUAUAUUUAUCUCAGAUUUUGUAGGCAAUUUAUUAGGAAAAAUUCUGGAUACAAUUGACACUUGUCAAGUUCCACUAAGGGAACUAGAGAGAUAUAUAUGGUGAGAAGGGUUCGCAUGAAGGGUUUUCUUCUUUUAAUACUAUUAUCUAGUUCUUCUACUUAAACUUAUUUGUUUUUUUCUCCUUUAUUAAGUUAGAAGCUAAGGUUCUUGAAUUAAUGAGCGGAUGUUCUAUCUCAUGGUAAGUUUGAUAGCUCUGCAUGCUAAGUUUUUGAAAGAAGGGUAUUAAGAAACAUAUGAAUAGUGAGUUGUGAAUAAGAGACCCCGUAUAGGGGUCGUCUGUGAUUGAGAUAUUAUCCAUUUGUCUAUGAAUGGGUUUUAAUGGUGGUUCCAUGUUCUUUAAGAAAUUGCUGCUGCUGGUUCGAGAGGGAUGUUCAAGUUUCGAACUCCAAGCUAUAGUUUAGGUGAGUAUCAUGUGAGUUUCUAUCUUAGCUCCUGUAUGUGCACUGUUCAAAUAGGGUUAUAUAUAAUGAUAACGUCUCAAAAAACUGGUAAGUGUGUUUUGCAGUAAUGUAAAGAUUUUACUUGGUUUAGGAUGAUAUGUGUGAGGUAUUGUGUGCGUAAUAAGUAAAAUGGUAAGUAUGCCUCUGAUAUCGGAUAUGAGUAAAUAAGAAUCAAUCAGGUAUGUGAAUAAUCUAGGUAACUAACUUCUGUGUAAACAUCUAUUGUGAUGCCUUUGGUUGGGCAAUUAUAGUUCUAACCAGACUGGAAUAUCAUGAUAUGAUGAAACAUGUAAGUUCAUGUGGUAGAGACCCGUGUCAUUAUAUGAUAAGUAAGACAUUCAUGGUGGUGCCUCUAGUGAAAUGAAGAAUGGACUGGAAAAUCACGACAUGAAUAUGUGUAAGUCCAUGAGUCUGAGAAUCAUGACGUAAUAUGAUAAUAAGAAUGUUCAUGGUGAUGCCUUCGGUAAGAUGUAAAUCAGACUGACAGAUCCCAACAUGGAGAUAUGAAUAAGUCUAUGAGAGAGAAACCCAUGAUACCUUUUGUGGAAGUCCGUCGGGCCAGUAAAUAUGUGAUUCAGUGUGUUGCCUGUGUGGCGUGAUCUGCUAAGCCUUGGUGGUGUAUUCUAUGUUGCCAUUGUAGCGAAUUAUAGAAUGCCUAUGUGGCGUAUUCAGGGGUGCUUAUGUGGCAGAAUUUGAUUAUCCACCUUUGUGGUAAGUUCUAAGAUCUCUUUGAUAAAUGAUUCUAUGAUAAUGGUCUGAUACGUCUGAAGUUAGCUUGGUUUGGUUAGGCUUGUGAGGAAAUUGGUUGAGUUUUAAAGAAAGAAUCAGCCAUAGUAGUCUACUAGUAUAGGAUAUGGGCGUAUUCAUAAUUAUGAAGGGUAGAAGUGUUCGUUGGUAAGAAUUCAUCUACACUAUGAAGGGCUGAAAUAUAAAUAAUCAGGUAUCUGCCAUAUCUGAAUGGUAUCAUGUCUCGUUCUGGGGUUAUUUGGAAUCUGAACCAUUUGUCAAUUUUGACAUUCUUGUGUUAUGUAAUAUAGACGUAUGGAAUUCUUCUGAAUGAUCCAGAAUGUUUCAUCAUUAGUAUGAGUUUGUUUUGGGUUUAAUUCAAGAUACGAUCUGAUUGGUGGACUGGCAGCUGCUAAACACAGUAUGGGAAUCUGCCAAGUGUAAGGUUAAUUAGUAAUUAUCCACUAAAGAAUAGUGUCUAUGAAUAACCAUUUUGGGAAAAAUGUGAAGUGUUGUUUGAAGAGGAAAUUCGAUGAAAGUGAGUUCUGUAUAGAUAUUCUUCUUAGAAGUAUCUUGUGUUCUAUGAAUGAUUAAGAUCUAUAGUGACUGGUACAAUUUGGAAUCGGUCUAGGAGUGAAAUGAGAGUGACACAUUAAGUAUAGAAGCUGACAUAUAGGUAUAUAUAUGAUAUUAUGAAUGUAUUAGCCAAAGAUAGAGUGAUAAUCCAAAAUCUUCAAUAUGAAGAAUUCAACUAUAAAGGCUCCAAGGUAUUUUGUAUUUAAACUGACUAGGUUCGCAUGAACUUACAAACAUUUUGUUCGUGUUUCAAGAGUUCACUAGGAGAGACCAAGCCAGGGAUGCACUAGAGAAAUUGGUGAGGGGAUAUUAUGCGCACAAAUGAGAUCUUAGUAGUAUGACAUAUAGUUCUCUAUGCCAAUGAGAGUAUGUCUUUAAUGAACUUCUGUGUUUAAUGUAUUAUAUUGUUUUUAAGGGUCUGUUUGUAUUCUUGAACGUUUUCUUUAUCUCUUUUAUUUAGAAGACCUUUAUUAAAAUAAUAUGAAGUAAGUUGAAAAAGGAUUAUACACAGAUGGUUUAAAAUUUAUGCUAAGUGUUCGUAUGUGUAAACAUCCGUUAUCCAGAUCUGGUGAUUCGGGUUUGGUAAAAGGUGUUACAUAUAAUUUUUUUGAGAAAAUUAGUUAAUAAAAUUAUUAAUUAAUUACAUUAAUACUUUGUAUAUUGUCCUCACCUGGUUUUUGCACGCAAAGAAAAAUAGAAGAAAAUGUUGCUCAUUGGUUGUCUAAUGUUUAAAUAAUACUAAGCGGUAUUACGUGGUCGGAUCAUAGUAUGGAAAGAAAACUAUCAGUAGAAGAACCUAAAAAUGUCCGUAGUGUAAUUGGGGAUGAGCAAACCGAUUGAAAGACUAAUAUGUCGUCUAUCAAGUCUAAUUAGGGAGAUAUCUUAUCAUGGGCAUCGGAGCAGAUUACUUUCAGAAGAUAGAGACAUAUAUGUGACUGACAUGACUGACAGUACAUUAGAUAGGACCCAAGAAUAAUAGAUCCUAAAUCUGUUUAUGGAUUUAUUCACUUGUGAUGUUCAUAGGGUAGCAUACCUAAAUCCUGAGUGGAUGGCAGAUUAUGUAUGCGUGACUCGUACACUUUGAUGUAAUUAAAAGCCCGAGUUCAAAUAGAUACAGAACCGAAAGCUGGUGCGUUGGGUGUACGACUUUUGUAGUAUGUAAUGUCAUUGAAAAUAGUGGAUUUCAUAGCCCAAAACAUGGGUAAAUGAUAUCUUCUCAUUAGCAUUACUUGAUCACUAUUUGAUGGUGAUUGAAUUUUCAUGAAGAAAGAUGUAAUGAUUAUCGUAAGAUAAAAUAGGAUCAUAUUGGGAGAACAAAUAUUAUCCCAAAGAGAUCAAGGAUUUCCUAUGAGGGUAACACACUAAUGACAAGGUCAUUAGACGAUUACUGAGUAGUUGCUUUCGUAAUGGUAUGUCGUCGGAGAGAGUUCAACCAUGAUACUAUAGUGGAUUGACUUUAUGACUAAAUGAGCCUAUAAUUAAUAGGCAAAAAGUCAAAGCUUAAUUAUAAAACAUUUGAGCGUCAACUACAUAUGUCCAAUCAGUCCCUCCGCUAGCUCGUUGAAAUAAAAAAAUAAUUUCAUGUUUGAAUAGAAAUGAAUGAAAUGAAUAGAAGAAGUGAAAUUGGGAACAUUCGAGAAUGAUUAUGGUUUUCUUUAAAAUGGAGAAAUGGAAUCAUUUGAAAAUGAAUGUAGGUUUCCAAAAAUGGAAAUGAAAAUGGAAAUUUGCAAUCCUAUAUGGAUUACUUAAAAAAUGAUGGGAAUAAUGAGUUCAUGUUUUUAGACUAUUUUGAAGCCCGAAAAGGAGAACAAACUAUUCAACAAAAAAAUAUACACUAUUUUGAUCUCCUACUCUAUUUAGACUGAAUAGUUUGUUUUCAUUUUCUAUUUGAAAUGUCAACCGCUCUCCUACUCUAAGUAGGAAGUGAUUUUUCUAUUUGAAAUAAACCACUACAACCCAAGAAGGGUUCUAUAUUCUCUUCCUAUAAAUAGAUGACACUGAUAGAGCUAUUUACAUAAUUGUUAUUCUGCCAAAAAUAGAGAGAAUUUAUUCUCAACUAUUACAUAUAUUUAUCCGGAGUAAUAAUUCUAACAAUUACUAUUAAAUAAUAGAGAAUUUUUGUUUUCACCCCAAAAAGAAAAGAAAGCUUUUUCUAGUUCCGUGUUUUGUUUCAAUUGGUUCAAGCCUAUACUUGAAGUAGUUUGUGGUACGAGAAUAGUGAAGAAUAUCUUUUCAUUGAAAGCCAGAAAAUAUCAAGAAUUUGCUUAUCUGAAAAGACAUGUAUGAUUGUUCAAGGUUUAAUGCUAUAAAUACCACAUAUAUAGUCAGUUUUCAAAAUUUUAAUUUUCUGCUAUGCAAGAAAACUGUUUUCAAAAUAAGUUUUUUUCCAACAGUUUUGUGGAGAAGGUGAAUCAUAAAUCUUCUCUCCACUAUCGUUCUAUCCUAUUUAUAGAUAACCAAUGUACAAAUCCCAAUUAGGAUUAUCUCUAAUCAUUACUUAUUCUCGCAUGCUUCCACUAAUUAAUAACAUCUGACGAGGCUCUAUAAGUGUCCUAAUUAUUGACUCGUUCCCUCCACUAGGAUGUCAGAUGACUUAAACAUGUCUUACAAGCCAUAGGACUUACUUAAGGAAUGAUAUUGAAACACGAGUGAUUAUCUUAUUAGUCGGAAAGUCUACCUAAUAAGGUGUUCGUCCUAACUAUAUCCUCAUUUAUUGCUCAAAUUGACACUCCGCAGCGUUGGCGAAGUUCUUUGUAGUGCUCCACCACAAAGUUACCAACCUUAUCCGAUCUAAGUCUUGCAACUUAGGUGGCCUCCGCUAGUGUAGUCUCCCAAACCAAACCGAUUUGCCAAACCAGGAUUUGACAAAAAAAUUCAAGUACUAAGUUAAUAAAAAUUGACCAAUUCGAAGACUAAAUGUUACCUUAUAAUAAAACAAUAAAGAGGUUUAAUUAGAAAUGUUUAAGGUAAAUUACUCAGUUGGCAACCCAACUUUUAGGGCGCUUUCAUAUUAGUUACCCAAGUGUCAAAUCCGUAAUAAUGACAAACUGUAUACGCCGAAUCAUGUCCACAUCGUGUUUACACUUUCAUUUUGAUCACCCAAGUUCUAGGUCACUUUCAUUUUGGUCAUUGAAUUUUUUUAAAAUUUUUGAUCUAGGUAAAACCAUUAAGGAUUAAAGUGAAAAAGUGGUAGAAACUAAAAUGAUUGAUUAAAAAUUUGUCAAAUUGUACAAUUAAAUAAAUUGUUGAAACUUUUAUCCCUUGAAAAUGUCAACCGAUUUGUUACCAUAACAUUGAAAUUAAUUUAAUUAAUUAAUUUAAUCUCCUAAAUUUUAAAAUUUUGUUUUAUGUUUCCAAAUUAUCCUUAAUGAAAUCAACUCCAAUAAAUCAUAUUUAUUAAUUUUCUAUGAAACUUAAAUCUAUUUUGAUUAUAUAAUAUCGAAUCUUCCAUGUUAAACUAAAAGAUAAGGAAAAAAAUCAUUGCAAUUAAUUAAGUUAAUUGUUUGUUCUUCGUUUGGGUAAAGAAAUGAAAAUAAUUUUGGAUUUGUUUGGCAUGUAAGAAAGUUAGUUAAUAUAAGAGAAAAAAAUUAUUUAUUUUUUUUCUUAACAUUGAAUAUUCAAGAUCAUAUAAAAAAAAUUAAGUUCGGUAGACAAUUAUUAAAAAUAAGUGAUUUUAUUUGAUUUUAAUUUGGAAACAUAAAAUAAAAUUUUAAAAUUUAAAAUGAGGCUAAAUUAGUUAAUUUCAAAAUUAUAGUACCAAAUCGACUGACACUAUCAAGGGAAGACAAAAUUUCAGUAAUUUAUUUAAUUGAUUGUAAUGUUUUAAAAUUUAAAAUUUAAAAUUUCAGUAUUGAAAAAAAAAUUAGAACUUUGGGCAAGGGGGUAAACAAAGAUAAUAUGACAGUUUUUUAACUCAUUAUUUUAGUUGUUAUCGCUUUUUUACUUUAAUGUUUAAUGUUUUUACCCCCAUAAAUAUUUUAAAAAAUAUUUUUUGUGGUGACGAAAAUAAAAGCGGCCUAGAAGUUGAGUGACUAAAAUAAAAGUUUAAACAUGAUGUGGUAUGUACAGUCAACCAUUGUUAGAGAUUUAACGUUUGGAUGACUAAAAUGAAAACGCUUUAAAAGUUGAGUGACUACCACAAUAGUUUAUCCAAAAAUUUAAGAAUAAAGCUAAAAGUUGCAUUGAAAGAUUUAGUUGAAUUGCCCUUUUUCAGGGAAAAGUUAAGUAUGUUAUGGGGUACUUUGAUUUGACACUACUUUAAAGGCCUGAUUGAACUUUGAGACGACGAAACUGUCAUGUAUGGUGAAUCAGCUAGUUAUAAAAUCAAUUUUUUUACUCAAUUAACCCCCACAAUUAAUAUUUACGAAAAUGAUCGAAGUUGAAAACUUAUAACGAAAAUGACUUAAAAUCUAUAGUGUCGAGUGGUGCCGACACUCCGAUGGCCGACACCAAAGUCAAUCAUCGUGUAUUGAUUGCUUGUUAAUUGGGUUGGGGUUUAAAAAACUAAUUUUUUGAUAUAAGUUUUUCAAAAAUACAAGUAUUUGCCAGUUAAAAAGUAUUUUUUAUUAGGUUACGGCAUCUAGGUGGCUGACACGCCGACACCAGGAAAAAUAAUCCAAAAUUUAUGUUUUGGCAUUUUUUAGUUUUGGCAUUGCGAUGGCUGGCACUCGUGUCGAAUGGAUUUUUUUUGGUGCUGCCACCGGUGUGGUUUUUAAUUUUUUUGCCGGCGUUCUCUGGUUUUUAGGAACGGUGACUGUUUGGUUUUUCUUCAUUAAGCUUUGGACAAUGCGACUCCUAAACUUUCAAUUGCAUGAGAAGUGAUAUUUGAAGAAAAUAACACAAUAUCAGUAGAGAAGAGCACUGGAUAUUUGAGAAGAAAAAUAAAAUGAUUUUGAGUCCAGUUUACUGAUGAUAGUACUUAGUAUGUAAAAUAAACAAGAGAACAAGAAGAUGAAAAGAAAAAUGGAGAGUUGUAUAAAAAAAAGAAGAGUGGAAGAGAAGAAAGCAAGACAAAUUUAAAUUUGACAUUUAUGGUUUUAAUAGAAAAAAAAAUUUGUAUAUGGAAUUACAUUCACAAAUUUAAGUAAUGGAAUUACAUUAAAAAAUUUGUUUAUGGUUUUGAUGAUGGACUUUUGUAAACUUGUCAGUCGGAGGCCCGGGUCACAAAAGAGAUGCAUUUUAAAGGAAAGGAGGGAGGUAAAGGCAUGGAUAUAGUGGUUGAUUCAUCACCAGUGAGGGCUCUUUCUUGGAAUGAAAAACUUUUGGGGAGAGGUGCUACUAGAUCUCGAGACUCAUCGGGUGUUCCUGAUAGGGACUUGAGGAGGACUUCGACUUUCUAGAAUGAGGUAUAUUAGAUCUAUAGUUAAUGGGAUUCUGUCGAUUGAAUUUUCCAAUAGGGUACAACAAAUGCUGGAAAAGUAAAUGGCAACUACGAUGGUAGUCAAGCUAUUGGGGAGAAAUAUUGGAUAUAAUACUUUUCAAAACAAGAAUUUCAACUUGUGGAAGCCGCCUAGGCCAUUUCAACUAAUGGACGUUGAACAUGGAUAUUAUUUGGUAAAAUUUCAAAGUAAUGACGACUUUGAAAAAGUGUAAACUCAAGGACCGUGGGUAGUGUUUGGACAGUACCUAACUGUUUAGCCAUAAACACUGGAUUUUAACCCUCUCCAACCAUACCCAAGCAUUGUAAUGACAUGGAUCAGAUUGUCAAGUUUGCCUGGUUUUUUAUACAAAAGGAAAAUAUCUGAGGAGAUCGACAAUUUGGUCGGCGGAGUAGCAAAACUCGACUACAAUAUUGACAGUAAAUCGAGAGGAAGAUUUUCCUGAAUGACGAUUUUCGUGAACCUUGACAAGCCAUUGAUCCCUCAAGUUUUGGUGAAUGGUAAGGCUCAACUCAUGGAAUAUGAGGCUUUGCCGUCGAUUUGCUUUGGAUGUGGUAGGUACGGCCAUACGAAAAAUCUAUGCCCUCACAUUUUUGGUAACUAUAAUUCCACCAUAUAGAAGGGCGAGACGACAGAUCCAUCAAUAGGAGAAAAUACGUCGACCAAGGUGGCGGGGGCAUUUGGGUCGUGGAUGGUGUUGGAGAGAAAAAUACGACAGAAUUUUAGGGAGAAUCAGAAUCAAAAUGCUAGAAAUCAAGAGGAUUUUUUUGGAUCAAGAUUCGAUAUCUUGAACCCUCUGGAAGAUGGAAACGACGCUAUUAAUGGAGAUUUAGCAGAUCUAUAGGGCAUCACUAUUUAGAAAGGUGAUUUUAUUAAGAGUAAUGUUAGGGUUGAGGGAUAUGAUGAUGUUAGAAGUGGGCCAGGUAAGAAAGGUGUAAAUUAGAUUUCUAUAGAUAGCCUGGUAGGUGAUCGUGAGCCAAAUGGAAAUGAAAACCUUUAUGGGUUAGUAAAGAAAGGGCCUAGACUAAAAAAAAUGGUGUUACAUGUGAUUUUAGGUAGAUUGGGGAAACUAGGCCAAUGGUAGAAAAAGCAAAUUUAAUUCGGGCUAGCAAAUUAUAAGGGUGGGCGAAAAUUGGAAAGUGUCAUAUCUUUGCAUAACUUUAAUAAUUCAAAAAAUAAUUAUGGUAUAGUGGAUGCUAAUUCUGGAAAUUCUCACGAUAAUGAUCUUUUAAUGAAGGAGAUGUAUAUUGAUAAUGGGGCGAAAUUAUCAUUUAGUCCCUGUUUGGCUACGACAUCGCACUUUAAUCCUACCUUUGAGGGACUAGUUGAAACCACAGUAUCACUUAGUGGUAGUGUUUUGGAUCUAGGAACGCAUUCUGUUGUUACCUUCAAAGAAAAUUCUAACCUAGUUACUAAUAAGCAAUAAGAUGAAGUUAGACUCAGUGAUUCUAGUAAAAGCAUUCUAGUUCCUAAAGGGCAUAGUCUUGGGACAAAAGAGGGAUAUGUCUGAUGUAACACCAUAAACCCGGCCUAGACGUCCAGCCCAAGUUUAUAGAGUUACCUCAUCGAUUAUAAAACGUCACGCAACAACACAAAUAAGCUAAACCAUGUUUCAUAUCACAUUUAUCAUAAAACAAAUUAAUUAUAUAAUCUUCUAAAUUUCAUACUGUUAUAGUUUACCGAAAUUCCUCAUACUACUUAUAGAAAGAUAACGCUUGACAGAGCAUCCGUUGCGCCGACCCAUUCAAGACUGGGAACCACAUGAAAUCCAAUAAAAAACAAAAUGAGUUGUAAACUCAGUUCGUAAAAGAAGUUUAUUCAGUUAAUGUCCACUUAUAAGGUAGUUCCAAAUUCAGAGAAUUAGUUCGAUACAAAAUUAAUUACAGUUUAGAUUCACGACAGAUCAGUUACCUAUAGAUAUGCAAUUUCAGUUCAUAUACAAUGCAGGUAAGAUUUAGAUGCAGAUAUUCCUAACCCUAUCUGCUACACACCAUCUUCAACCAUCCCAACACACCGUUAAGUGCAUCCAAUACCCAAUCAACCUUACACACCACAAAGUGUUUCUCUGACACAUUUAUAGAAACACAUAUUAGCUGCUGGAUCAUAAUGUGACGAAGUGCCAGAAUCAGAACUAUACACAUGGUGGCUUAACCACUGAUUCAGAGUGGAUUACUUCCUUCAUCAUACAUCCCAACCCAUACAAAUACAGAGUAUAAUUAUCUACAAUACACUUACAAUUAUGAUAUUCAUACGUCCGUUACAGAGUAUCAGAGAGUUCUCGUUCAGUUAAAUUCAAAUCAUUCAUACAAUAAGGAAUCAAUAUCAGCCAUAAACAACAUUUACGACCUCAAAAAGGGUUUCAGGCCCCUUUUACGAUGCCAUACGGCUUGGACACACGCUCAUAUCCUUGCCCGUGUGGCUCAAACGACUUGGACACAUGCCCAUGUCCUUUACCCGUGUGGUUCUAAAACGUAAACAGAGAGUUACACGACUCGGACACACGACCAUGUCCUUGCCUGUGUGACUCACACGGCCUGGGCACACAGCCGUGUGCUUGCCCAUAUGGUUCUAAGUCACAAAUAGUGAGUUACACGGACUAGACACACGCCCGUAUGCCAUGCUUGUGUGGCCUCAAAUCGAUGAAUAGUAAGUUACACGGCCACCCACACAUCCUAGCGAUCCACACGGCCUAGAAACACGCUCAUGUGCUUGGCCGUGUGGCGUCGACAGCCACCAUUUUCGGUGAACAAAACUUGCAAAAGCUAAGGAUUUUGAUACGCGCUUAGUUUCUCUUUGAUGGGAAAUAAGACAGAGAUUACUUGAAAACUAAUUGAUCAUUCAGUAAUCAAUCAAUUGACUAAAUGACCAAUUAACACAACAAUAAUACACAAUCAACUAUGCCGAAUAAAUUGACACGAGGGAACUUCAACGACUAACGCUUAUCGAUGAUUUAACUCGAAUUUUUUGCGAGUACAAUAGAGAAUUUAAGCUUGAUAUCGUGGGAUUGUUAAGGACUAGAGUAAAUGGAAGUAAAGCAGAUUGUAUCAUUGCUAAAUUAGGUUUUCAGUUCUCUUAUCGGAUAGAAGCUAUUGGUUUUUCUGUUGGUAUUUGGGUUGGUUGGAAGGAUUUUAUACAAGUUGAGAUUAUCCAGAAUCAUUCACAAUUUCUUUUGGUUUGGGUCAUUUCCAAUGUUGUGAAAUCUCCUGUUUUUAUCUCCUUCAUUUAUGUGAGUCUUGAUAGAUAGAAGAGAAGGCUUUUUUGAGAGGGUUUAAAAUUGACUGUGUCUGAUGUUUCUAUGCCCUAGAUGGUUUUUGCUAAUUUUAAUGUCAUUAUAUCUUUCUGUGAAAAGAAAUGUGGACAUAUUCAUGAAAGAAUAUUCAUGAAAGAAGGUGUCCUUAUUUUAGGGAUUUUAUGGAGUCACCUGACCUUCAUGAUUUGGGAUAUAAAGGUCCCUCAUUUACUUGGCAUAGAGGUGGGGUUCAUGAGCGCCUUGAUAAAGCCAUAGGUAAUAAUGCUUGGAUUGAAGCCUUUCUGCAUUAUUUGGUGUCCCACCUUCCGAGAAUUAAGCCUGAUCACAGGCCUCUACUCAUGUCUCUAAGAUCAGAUGUUAUCCCAUCUAGAGGUAGACCUUUCAGGUUUUUUACUAGAUAGACUGAACAUCCAGAAUUCUCAGAGUUGGCUAAUAAUAAUUGGAGUUAUAAUGGGGAUAUGACUACUUCUAUUGCUAAAUUAACUUCCGAUAUUAAAAAUUGGAAUAAGUCUGUCUACAGUCAUAUUUGAUAUCGUAAAAGAUAGUUGUUAUAGAAACUUACUGGCAUUCAAAAGGUUAUGUGAAGGUCAGAUUCUAAUUUGUUAAUUUAGCAAGAAAUAGAGGUGCAUGAACACUUGGAGAGUGUCCAGCAUGAGGAACUUCUUUGGAGCUAAAAAACAAGAUGUGAUUGGUUAGUCUUGAAGGAUCAAAACAUUAAUUUUUUCCAUAGACGAAUAAUUCAUAGGAGAAAGCAUAAUAGGAUUACUGCUCUGAGGAAUGAGAACGAAGAGUGGGUUUUCGAUAACGCUCUGUAGGUUGAGGUGAUUAAGUUUUUUCUGAGUUUAUAUGGAGAGGUUCUUGAACCUUUGAGUGGAAUUCCAUCUAGUGCGUUUCCUAAACUUGAGAAUGCGGAGGUUCAUUUUUGAGCAAUGAAGGUACAGAUGAGGAAAUUAGAACUACCCUAUUUGAUAUGGCUUUGCUUAAAGCUCCAAGAAGCGGAGGGUUUCAUGCCUUAUUCUUUCAGACUCAAUGGGACCACAUUAGUACAAUUAUUUGUAAUUGGGUUAGGUUAGUGUUUUUCGAGAAAGCUAUUAAUUCAGAUUUGAAAUAACACUUUAAUUAUUCUUAUUCCCAAGGUUCAUAAUCCUGAAAGCUUUUCUUAGUUUUGGCCAAUCAGUUUAUGUUCAGUCCUCUACAAACUGGUAAUAAAAAUCAUCGCUAAUCGAUUUAAAGUAAUUUUUCCUAAGAUUAUUGCAUAAGAACAAGCAUGAUUCAUUUCUGAAAGAAACAUCAUGAAUAAUAUUAUUAUAGAUUAAGAAGUUAUUCAUUCCAUGAAAAACAAGCAGAAGAACAGAAACUGGAUGGUUAUUAAAGUUGAUUUGGAAAAAGCUUAUGAUUGGUUGAGAUGAGAGUUUAUCGAUACUUCUCUCCAUGCUACAGAUAUCCUUGAUUUUCUUCGUAAUGUUAUUAUGUCUACUAUUACGAACUCUAAUUUGCAGAUCAUGAUAAAUAGAGUCCCAAUUGAGAAGGUUCGACCUAUUAGGGGCAUCCAAUAGGGGCGUUCGCUUCCUCUAUACCUCUUCAUUUUGAGCAUGGAUUGGUUAGGACAUGGUAUUAAGUUUUCCAUUACCAUGGAUCAGUGGAAGCCUACCAAGUUUUCGCGCAUAGGGCCUACCCUUUCUCACAUCUUUUUUGCAGAUGAUCUCAUUUUUUCGAGUGAGUGGAGGUGUAGCAAGCCAAAAUCAUAAAAGGUAUGAUGGAAAGUUUUUGUGGUUAUUCCAGCCACAAGUUAAUUCUCGAAAGACGAACAUCUUCUUUUCUAAGGUGUUAACAAGGAGUUGGGGGAGCAGAUCAGUAGUAUUUUUUGUUAUCAUAAGGUUCAAAACCUCGGUACGUAUUUAGGGUACCCCCUUUUGAUGAUAAAGUUACUAAUAGUACUUUAACGUUUGUUAUGGAUAGGGUUUGGAGUAAGCUGUAUAGUUUGGAUGUGAGACAUUUGUCUCUGGUAGGAAGGUUCAUUUUGGCUCAAUCUGUCUUAUUGUCGAUUCCAAGCUAUUUCAUAUAGUCCAUGAUGGUCCCUAAAGAUAUUUGUGUAGAAAUAGAAAUCAUAGUUAGACAAUUUAUCUAGUGAUCCUCAGUUGGGGGAAGGAAAAUAACAAUGGUUAGAUGAGAAGAUAUUUGCCAACCCCGAUCUUGUAAGGGGCUGGGCAUUAGGCAUCUGCAGGAUCAGAAGACUUCCUUUAUGGCUAAGAUUGGUGAUGAUGAAUGCAAAUUCUCUUUGGGUAAGUUUCCUGAAGUCGAAGUACAAAGUACAAAGUUCAAGAUGAGACUCCAAAGGAUAUAUUGAGGGGAAGAUGCUCGUUUCUUUGGAGGGCCCUUUCAAAGACCUGGCCUCUAAUCUGUGAAAACUUAAUAUGGUCUGUGGGAAAUGGUUGCAGUGUUAAAUGCUGGUUGGAUCCCUGGCUUCCAAAUGUUUGGCCGUUUGUAGAAAAAAUCCAUUCAAAUUCUAAUCUUGAGAGGGAUUGUUUACUUUUGGAUAUGGUUAUAGAAGAUGGCAGAUAGAAUUUGGAUCUCUUUCAUCUCUGGUUAUUGAAGGAUAUAUUUAGAAAGAUUGUGGGGAUCCCCUCCACAUCCUUCUGCACGUCAAUAUAGAAUUAUAUGGGCUAGGUCUACUAUUGGGGCCUUUUCUGUUAAAAAUGCUUAUAGGAAACUUCGUGAGAUGACGUGGAAUCCAAAAAAUGGAUUAUGGCAGAUUCCGUGGAAAUUUCAUGGUCUAUAAAGAGUUAGAUUCUUCAUUUGGAUGAUGAUUAAAGAACGUCUUCUAACUAAUAUCGAGCGUGUAAGGAGGGGGAGAAGGAGCAACAGUUUAUGUGGAUUUUAUGACCAUGACUCUGAGGAUGGCUUACAUGUUAUCAGAGAUUGUAGAGCAACUAAAGAUAUUUGGUUACAUGUGAUUCUUGAAGAUAAGUGCAAAUGGUUUUUCUUUGGGGACUUGAAAGCAUAGCUAGUGGCUAACUUGCAGAAUCAGCCACAAAUUUUGUUUGGGGAGGUGGAAUGGUCAUGCCUUUUUGGGUUAAUCGCUUGGCGUAUUUGGAAAAUUGAAAUUUACAUAUGUUUCAAAGAGUAUCGUGGAGUGUUGAUGAAGUGAUUAAAGAAUCAUAUAGUUGGGCUAAACAAUAUGCUUCUACAUGCAAGGUGUAUGUGUCCAAAAGGAAUACAACAAAUUCCUGUCUGAUAUUGACAGGUAAUUGGAUUAAGUUAAACACGAAUGGUGCCGUCUGGGUGGAUUCUAGUUUUACUACUGCAGGAGGGGUUAUGCAUGACAUGAAAGGGAAUUGGAUCUUAGGAUUCAAUAGGUGUUUGGAAGUAUGUAUGUUCAAUGCUGGAGGCUGAGUUAUGGGGUAUUUUUAAGGGUUGCGAUUUGACAGAGUGUUGAUUAAUAUAGAUAGCUUGGAAGCAGUUUAGGUUAUUCAAGACAACAACUUAAGGAACUCAAGUUCAACUUUGGCGAGGCGUAUACAUCAACUAUUGGGAAGGACAACUCAAUGGCAUAUCCAACAUGUAUCUAGAGAAGAUAAUAAAGAUGCGGAUUUUCUUGCAAAAUGAAUCGUAGUAAUGAAGACGUUUUACUUCUGUUUGAACAACCUCUUUUAGGUGUUUUAGCUUAAGUCCUUGUGAACACUUUGAUUUGUUUUAUAUUCACCAAAAAAAAAUAAUGGUUUUUUUAUGGUUUCAAAGUAAGAAAAAAUUUAAUGUCAUUUUAUGGUUUCAUUAUGAAAAAAAGUUCUGUAUAGAAAAAAAUUUCUUCCCUCUGUCUAUUAUCACCUUUCUUAAAGUGUAUUAAUUAACUUUUAAUCCCCAUGUACAACUUUUUUUCUCUUAAAAAAGUUAAUUAAUAACCUUAAAAAACUUUGUUUAAGAUUUUUAAACUUAAUAAAAAAUUGUAAUACAUUAUUUAGAAAAUUUCAAAUCAUAUCAUUUAAAAAUAAUAAUGCAGUUAUAUUAUAUAUGUUUAAAAGACAUUAUCAAAUUAUAAUCAUAUAUCCCGUUUAUGCUUGUGAAAUAAAAUAUUUGAGCCAUUUUAAAGGAUUUAUGCAGGGUUAAAAUAGUAAAAUUUUGUAUUUUAAGAGUUAUUAAAUCAUAAAAGGAUAUUAAUUAACUUUUUUAAGAGAGAAAAAGUUGCACAUGAUUAAAAGUUAAUUAAUGCACUCUAAGAAAGGUGAUAAUGAAGAGGGGGAAAUUUUCUUUCCAUCUACAACUUUUUUACUAUUGAAACCAUAGAAUUGCAUUAAAUUUUUUCUUGCCUUGAAAUCAUAAAAAAUUAUUAAUGUAAUUUCAUAUACAACUUUUUUUUUUCCGUUGAAACCAUAGAUGUCAAAUUUAAAUUUGUCUUGCCUUCUUCUCUUCCACUUUUUUUUUUUACAGCUCUCCAUUUUUUUUUCAUCUUCUUCUUUUGUUUCCUUUGCCUACUAAGUACUAUUAGGAGUGUUCAGUCGGUUAACUGACCCGAAAUUGUAAUAACCGAAUUAACCGACCUCCCAAAUUUUUUAAUCGUUAACCGAACCGAAUUUUUUUAAAAAUAAUUAAUCGAACCGAAAUUUUUUUCGGUUAAUAAGGUCGGUUAACCAAUUUAACCGAAAAAUAUGUGUUGGUCAUUUUUGGUUAAAAAUUACCCGAAUUACCUGAAUUACCCGAAAAUUAUCCAAAUUACCCGAAUUACCCGAAAAUUACCCAAAUUACCCGAAUUACCCGAAGAUUACCUAAAUUACCCGAAUUACCCGAAUUAAAUCACUACAUAAUUAAAAACAUUACAUAAAUAUUUGAAUCACUACAUAAUUAAAAAUAUUACAUAAGUCUUUGAAUCACUACAUAAUUAAAAACAUUACAUAAGUCUUGAAUUAACACAUAAUUGAAAUGUAAGUUUUUAAUAUUCUCGAUUUAUAUCCAUUUCAUCUCUCCAAAAUAUAUUCAUUUCAUCUCUCCAAAAUAUCUCCAUUUGCAUUAAACCUAAAAAAAAAAAACAUGAGCAAAAAUUUAGCAUAUAAUAGAAAUAUACGCAUUUAAAAAAACUUAAAUAAUAUAAACAAACGAAUAGAUUAUAAAUUAACAAGAAUAAGAUAGUAGUAAGCAUACCCUUCAACUCACGAAAGCUCAUGAAUCUAGGGUAGGCUCUAAUGCAUUCCAAGAAAUGUCUAAACAUUGAAUCAAUUAAAUAAAUAAGGGUGAUAUGGUAAAAAAAUUGAAACUAUUAAAAUAAAACAAUAAACAUACCAUUUUCAAUCUUGUCAAGCUCUUGGAUUUGUUCUUCAAUCUUUUUUAUGUCUUCUCGUGAUGAUGAUCUUCGAAUCCAAUCUUGAGUACACACAAGAGCUUGUACAAUUUUAGGAGUUAAAGAACUCUGAUAUUGAUCAAGCACACGUCCCCCGGUGCUAAAUGCAGACUCUGAAGCAAUCGUAGAAACCGGUAUAGCUAACACAUCUCUGGCAAUUUUUGAAAGAGUGGGAAAUCUAGGGCUGUUCACUUUCCACCACAAUAAAAUAUCAAAAUCUUCAACAAAUUCUUCAUUAGCCUCAGCUAGAUAUUUAUCCAACUCAGAUGUUUUAUCCUCACCACAAAUUUCCAACUCACGCUUUUUAUACAAAGCUUGCAUUCGCCUUUUCAUUUUUUGUUGUGGUUCACCAAUAGAAACAUGUGUUGACACACUCGAUUGGCUACAAGUACUAUGAAGUGGAGGCUUAUACUCAUCAAACAAUUCAUACAAAGAUUCCUUCAACUUUUGCAUCAUUUCACAAGCUUUUUCAAAACUAGACAUUUCACUAAGUGCAAAUUCAAGAUACUUUAGUUUUUGUCUAGGAUCUAAAACACAAGCAACAAACAUAAGCAAAUUCAUCUUAUCAAUACCACCCCAAUACUUAUCAUACUUCUCUUUCAUCUUGAUGGCCAUAACAUUGAAAUCAAUAUUACUAUUUAACUGAGCAUCUCGUAAAAGAAUAUCAAUUUCGGAAAGAUCAUCAAAAAAUUAUUGGACGUGACAUAUGAAGUGCCAGAUAUACGCAAAGUGACUUCAUAAAAGUGUUCCAAGAAAUCCCUCAAGUUUCUAACAUUAUCCCAAUCAUCCACACUAGGCCAACCCUCUCCCUUUUCAAGUUUAGCCCUAAAGUUUGUAUCUUGCUCCUGAAAUCUCUCAAAAGCUCUCUCAAAGUUCUGAGCAGUGUCUAACAUUAAGUAGGUCGAGUUCCACCUAGUACAAACAUCAAGACACAACAUCUUCUUGCACUCUAUCUUUUCCACCACAACACACUCCUUAAACUUUUGUAAUCUAGUUGGAGAUUGUCUCACAUAUCUAACAGCCCCCUAACACGUUCAACAGAUUUAUUCAUUUCCUUUAAGCCUGCAACAAUAAUCAAAUUCACAAUGUGUGCCAUGCAUCUCAUAUGAAGAUAUUUACCAUUUUGAACUAAACCCCCUCGAGGGUUAAAUUUCUUUCUCAAAUAACCAAUAGCAACAUCAUUUGAACUUGCAUUAUCAACAGUAAUAGUAAACAACUUAUCAAUCCCCCAAUUCAACAAGCAUUUCUUAAUCACCAUCCCAAUCGACUCACCCUUAUGACUAGAAAUUGGACAAAAGUUUAAAAUCUUUUUAUUCAAUUUCCAAUCAUUAUCAAUAAAGUGAGCAGUGAUACACAAAUAAUUAACUCUUUGCAAAGAUGUCCAUGUGUCAGUAGUUAAGCAAACUCUAGAACAAGAACUUCUCAAAAUUUGUUUUGGCUUGACCCUUUCAUCUAGAUACAAUUGAUAAACAUCCCUAGUCAUAGUAGUUCGUGAAGGAAUAUGAAACCUAGGACACGCCACAAACAUAAAUUUCUUAAAACCUUCACUUUCAAUAAACUUGAAAGGUAAUUCAUCAAUCAGAAUCAUUUGUGCUAAUCCUUUCCUACAUGCUUCUUGAUCAAAUCUCCAAGUUGAAAGAUUCCCUUCCCCCGCCCCCUUCAACUCCCUUGCUAGGUAAAACUAGUUGUCCUUGACUAGUGUCAACUACAUUACUAGGAUUUUUCUUACAUGAACCAAUAUGAUAUUUCAAUGACCUUGCACCUUUUUUUUCAUAUCACAACAAAAUUCCUUUUCACAAUAAUUACAUUUAGCCUUACUUGCACCCUCACUAUUAAUAAACUUAGUGAAGUGAGACCAAACUUCUGACCUUUGAGGAGGAGCUUUUCUUUUCCUGGACGUAGUCCCCUUCGUUUGGAUUGAAGCUCCAACCCUCGAAUUUUCAGAAUCUAUCGAAGUAGGAGGUGUAACACUACCCUCAAUAGAUGUUGGUUCGGUUGACAUUCUGCAAGAAAAAAAGUAUAUAAUAAAUUAAAAUAAUACGACAAACUUGGGGUCAACUGUCAAGGACAAUAUUAUUUACAAAAUCCAAAAACUUAAUAAAUUGAUGCAAUAUUAUUUAGAUCAUUUACAUUUUUUAAUUUCUCCAAUAAUUAUUCUAAAAUAUAGCAUUUUAAACCAAGUGAAAUCAUUAGAUAAACCACCAAAGAAAUAGUUUAACAGAUAAGAAUAAACCUUAUGGAAGAAGGCAUGACGAUCUUAUGGGUCCUUCAUUCAUCCAAAUUCGACCACAAUUAUUUGAUACGAAAUAAAAUAUGUUCUGAGACUUAUUUAUUUAUGGAAAAAACACUUAUGAAGUCCCAAGUUAAAAAAAACCUAAUAAAUGAAACUAACUAAAUUAUUCCAAAAUCUUGAUUGAUUAAGUGUUUAAAUAGGUGAAGAUAAUGAUUAGACAUCGAAUCUUUAAUGCUAAACAAUUUUAUUCUUAACAAAAAGAUCUGAAAUAAUUAAUUAACCAAAUAAUUAAAAAAAGAGAAAAGAAGGCCACAAAGAUUAUAAUAUGAUGAUAUAAAUAAAGAAAACAGUUGUACUGAUUAUGAUAAUAAUUCUAGUCUGAUUAUAUAUACUUUUUUAUGAAAUAAUCUGAUUAUCAUUAUUAACAAAUAAAUAAAGUCAUGACGGAUUUUAAAAAAAAAAUACAAAGAUAAAGAAAGAUGGCAAGAAAAGCAACGUUUAAGAUAAGAACAAAAGAAAUAAAUGUGUUUCCCCAAUUGAAUAUUAAAUCGUCAUAAAAUAGUAACACAAUUUCUUAGACGUAUAAAUAUAAUAUUCUACAUGUAUAAAAAAUGUAAAUUCUCCGGAUAGGAUUUGCUAUAGCCUUUGGCUUUAAUCUAUGGAAAGGAUUAAGUUUAGUAUGAAAAUUUGUUACUAUUUUUAGUGGUUUCUCCUUAUGUUUAGAUAAUUAGUUGUGGUGUAUUACUUGAAAUAACUUUUGGAGAAUAAUCAUGAAAAGAGGGUAAGCUUCCAAUUCCUUCCAAACAAAAACUUUAUUCCAUUUAAUACACUACAUAGUUACAACCUUGUGCCAAAUGUUAAAUGUAUUUCAUUUGAACUUAAUCAGCAUCAUGUAUCAAACAGACAAACACUCAGUAUUUUUUAAAAAUUAUAAAUUCCAACACUCAAUAUUUAAUAAGUAUCCAUGCAUCAUGCACGUUUAACCAAUCACUAAUUAUUAUAAUUAAGUAAUUAAUUCCUUUUAGAACCUAAUAAUGAUGCAGAAUACACUUAAAAGGGAUCUAUAUUGUAAUUCUCACAUCCCCCAUGAUAGUUUAAGUGCGCUUUCAGCCUAACCCAUUAUUUUUCAUCAAUAAAAAUAACUGAAAAUGUCAGGCUCUUCAACCCUUAGCCUAUCAACCUCCUCCGUCAAACCUGGAUAAAUUUUCCCUAUAAAUAACAGUUUUGCGUGGCCCUAAGGUUUAAACAAAUAAGCUACAUUACAUACAAUCUUUGCAAUGUCUUAUUCAAGAGUUGCCUAUUAGCCCUUACUUUCAUUGUCCAAACAGCUUUUGGAGCUGACCCUCUUUUCCAUUUUUUUCCAUUAGAAAAAAAAAACGAAUACUAUCUAUAUCAGUCAACUACAGAGUACAAACCCAUUCAAGAAAUUGGAAAAAAAAAAGAAAGGGAAAGUAGAAGAAAGCAAACCUAGCUAUUGGUGUGGUGGUCCGACACUCUGACUCGGCGACUCUGGCGGAAGAGAAAUAGUGUGUGAGUGAAAGUUUAAGUGUGUGAUUUAGGGUGGGAUUCGACUGAGAUUGAGAAUAUUAGGGUGGGAUUUAGGGCUAGAGGGGUUGGGUGUUAACUGUUAAGUGUGUGAGUGAAAAGUGAAAACUGAAAGUGAAAGGGAGGGGGUAGAGACGUAGUAGUCGGGCUGCUGCAGUGCUGCUGAGAAAUGGGCAUUGGACAGUAGGUUUAAAUUUGGGCUGGGUUUAAAUUUAAUUGGUGUAGGCCCAACCCUGUUAAUUUUGGUUUACCCGAAUUUUAUUGGUUAACCGGUCCGUUUCGAACCGAUUUAACCGUUAACCGAACAAACCAAAAAAAUUUAACUGACCCUCGACCGAAGUUUUUCGGUUCACCGACCGAUUAACUGAACUCGGUCGGUUAACCAAAAAAUUUCAAUUUUAACCGACUAAUGCACAGCCCUAAGUACUAUAGUCAGUAAAUUGAACUCAAAAUCUUUUUUUUUCUUCUCAAAUAUUCAGCGCUUCUUCUCUACUGAUAUUGUGUUAUUUUUUUUCAAAUCUCUCUUCUCAUGUAAUUGAAGGCUUAAGAGUCACAUUUCCAAAGCUUUAAAAAGAAUCAAACGGUCACCGAUCAUGGCAACCAGAGCAUGCCAUAAAAAAAAAACCACGCCGGCGCUAGUGGAGAGAAGGUCGGCACCAAAAAAAAUAAUUUAAUCUGACACGAGUGUUAGCACCAAAAAAUACUGAAAAGUAAAAUUUCAUUAUUUCCCGAUGCCGACUACCUAGAUGCUGACACCUAAUAAAAAAUAUUUUUUGAACCAGAAAAUACCCAUAUUUUUCAAAAAAGUACACAAAAAUACAUACGCGUGUUAGCCAUUGCAGUGUCAGCACCAAAAAAAUUAUUUUUUAAAACCCUGACCCAAUCAACAAGCAAUCAUUAUACGCUGAUUGACAUUGGUGACGACCAUCGGAGUGCCGACACUGCCCGACACUGUAGAUUUCAGGUAAUUUUCGUUAUAGUUUUUCAACCUGGGUCAAUGUCAUAAAUUUUUUUUUGGUUAGUUGGGUAAAAAAGCUUAUAAAAUCACUACAAAUAUAAUAUUUUAAAUGGUAAAAGUAUGAUAAAGGCUCUUAUUUUAAGAGUAGAUUACAUUUUUCUCUUUUUACUUAAAAAAUAAGUAAAUUAGUCUUUUUUAUAUUAAAGGUACACGUGACAUUCUAUAUGUAAUUGUCUGAUUAUUCUAUCAAUCAAGUCAAUUUUUAUCAAUAGAAAUAGAAACUUUUUAAUAGAAAGAACUAAUUUACUUUUUAAUCCAAUGUACAAGAAUUAAUUUAUUAAUUUAAUUUUGCUCUUAAUACACAGAUUUUUUAUUUUAUUUUAAGCAUGAUCCAAUAAAUUAACUAAACUAAAAUCUGGUGUUUUUUUUCAAAAUUGAUCCAAAAAAUAGAUUAUUUAUGAAAAUGACCCAGGUGAAAAAUCUUUGAUGGAAAUGACUUGGUUCUAUAGUGCAUGUUGGUGCCAGCCAUCUCACCGUCGGCACCACCCUCCAUGAUCUCUUAAUCAUUACCCGAUGAUUGCCCGGUCAAAUAAAAAAUAAUUUUUUUGUGUUGGCACUGUGUUUGUUGACACCAAUAUGUUUUUUUUCAAAUACACUUAAAAAAUACAGUAUUCUAAGAUUAAAAAAAAAGAAAAAAUAAUAAUAUUUUAAUAGGUGUCGGUGUUCACGUUGCCAACAUAGGUUCAAAUUUAAAAAACAAUGUUUUUUAGUGUUGGUACUAACGUUCUCAUUGUCAGCAUCAGUGUGGUUUUGAUUUUUUUUUGUCGGUGUGCUCUAAUUACUAGGACCGGUGACUGCUUUUUAAAAAAAAAAGCCAAAGGCAUUUUAUCAUUGACAAAAGACUACGGCGUUGUCAUAUUUGUUGCCGUUAACUGCAUGUCCUCCACCGCCAAUGUCUUCUUCCUCUAUUUGCUGCUAUCAUCACACGACACUCUCCUCCGCCUGCUUCUUGUUCUUGAAGCGACCAUCAUCGACUUAUUCAACAUUAUGACUUUUUAUUGAUUGGGCAAUCAUCAGAUAAUAAUUAAAGGAUGAUGGAGGAUGGUACCGACGAUGAGAUAACCGACACCAACAUGUACUAUAAAAAAAUAGUUCAUUUUCAUUGUCGAAACCAUUUUUAUUUUGAAAAAUGGGGUCGACUUUUAAAACGAAAAUGGAGUCGCCACCAAUCUUUUUUCGAGGUGUGAUCUGAGAUUAAUUAUUUUAAUAAAACAUUUUGAUUUAUUAAAAUAAUGAUUUUGGUCUACAAAAUUCGAGAAAACGGGCUCGGAAGUUGGUUAUGCACGAGGAAGGAUUAGCACCCUCGUAACGCCCAAAAAUUGGUACCUAAUUGAUUAAUUAAUGUCUCAAAGUCGAAUGUCGAAAAUUUGAAAAGUUUAGAAACGAUUCCCCUUUUUAUUAAUGCCAUAUUUUAAAACAAUGCUUGGAUAGAUUUGAACGAAUGUAAAAUGAUUUCUCAUCCCGAGGCAACAAGAUGUCGUAUCCCCUAAGUUAGGAUGCAACGUUUGAAUUCCCGAGCAUAAGUUAACCUUUUAAAAAUAUUUAUUGAAACCUUGUGCAUUUGAAAACUAAAAUGUUUAGUCAUUUUAGUUCAAUGAGAAAAUCGAAACCCCGUAAGUUAGAGCACGAUUUCUCAUCGUUCCAAAGACGACAUAUUGCAAACUUCAUUUUCCCUUUUUUACGAAAUUGGAUCAAAGCGAAGGUUUAAUGCAAUAUUAACAAUGAUAUAAAUUUGAUUUAUUCGAAAUGAAAAGAAAUGAAAUAAUCAAAUUUUGGCAAAUAAAUCGAAAAUUUUAACUAUGAUGUAAUGUUCUCAUUUAAUAAAUUGUUUAAAACAACUAAUAAAACACAAUAUAUAAAAAUAUUGAAGCAAAUGAAGUAUGAAGAAAAAUUAGAAUAUCCAUUAUAUAGAAAAAAAAAGUAAUAUUUAUAAUUCAAAAUAAAUAGUAUGUAUAUGGAUGAAGUUUAAAACAAUACAUGAAUUAAAACAAAUAAUAUAUAUGAAUGUACAAUUUAAUACCAAUAAUAUCUACAAUUUGAAAUGAAUUGGAUAAUUUACAAUAAAUAAUAUAUAAUAAAUUUGAAAUAAUAAUACAUAUAAAAUUUAAAAAUUUUAUGAUAAUUCUAGAAUAAUCAUACGUGAUAAAUCCAAAAUAAUAGUAUAUAAUAAAUUUAAAAAUAUUAAUGAUAAAUUUGAAAUAGAUAUACAUGAUAAAUUUAAAAUAAUGUUAACAAUGAAUUUAAAAUAAUAAUAUUGAUAAAUUACAAAUAAUAAAACAUGAUAAAUCUAAAAUAAUAAUAUACAGUACACUUAGAUAAUAUUAAUGAUUAAUUUAAUAAUAAUAAGCAUAAACAUUCAAAUAAUAUCAGAUUUAAUUUUUUUAAAAAAAUAGCAUAAUAAUCGAUACUUAAAUAAAUAAAACACAAGCAAAUUAAAUCAAACUAAUGAGGAUUAAAUUGAAUUUAAAGCAAAAUUAAAAGGAAUAAAUGAGAAUAAAACAAAACUGAGGGCCAAAAUAUGGAAAAAAAUAGAUAGUAUAAAAAAAUAAAUUGCAAUUGAUAAUAUAUGGAAAAAAAAUUAAAGCAAAUAAUCAAACAAUUUAAAAUGGACGAUUUAUAACAUGAGUUUUAAAAAAAUAACAUGUGUGACAUAAUAUUAAAAACAAAUAGAGUAUAUAAUUAAUGGAAAAAAAAUAAAAGAAUGAUAAGAAUGGUUAAAUGAAUGAACAAUAUAUAAAUAAGAAAGUUGAUGGAUAAAUAAACAAAUAAAAAUAAAAGAAUAAUUAAUGAUUAAACAAUUAAAUGGAUAAAUAAAAAGGUUAAAAAACGCUUAAGUCAGUUUAACUCUUACAAUAUGAAGAUUCAAAGAAAUUCCUCCAUCAAAAUCCAACUCAAAUGAAAGCAACUUAAAAAGAAACAAAGAUGAACGAAGAACAAGAUAAGAACAAGCCACAGAAAAUAAGAACGCAAGAGAGGGAGAAAUUUGAGUGAAUGCUUUUAAGAAUUAUUAUUGCUCCAAACUUCAGUGUUUUACAAUGAAGGGAGAGGCCUCUAUUUAUAGUUGAGCCUCCCCAAAUCUAACGAUAUAGAUCAAUUACAUCAACGGCUAAGAUUAAAGGGUAUCUACAAAUUAAAUCUCUAAGAUUACAAAAUCUUAUCUUCUAAGAGUGCAUAUCAUAUCUUAGAUUGCAUAUUCUGGACCUUCAACCCACUACACCAAAACAAGUCUUUAGCGGCGUUUUUUUAGGCCUUUAGCGGCAAACAUCGCUAACGUUUGCAGCGUUUACAAAAAAAACCGCCGCUAAAGAUCAUAUUCUUUAGCGGCGUUUUUUUUAAGCGCCGCUAAAGAACCUGCUCUUUAACGGCGCUUUGUAAAAAACGCCGCUAGAGAUCAUAAUUUUUAGCGGCGCUUUUUUUACAAACGCCGCGAAAAGAAAUGUUCUUUAGCGGCGCUUUUAUACAAAAACGCCACUAUUUUUGGGAUUUUUUUAUAUUAAAAUUUUCAUUUUUUUAGCCCUCCUGUAGCAACAAAUCAAAAGCAACCAGAUCUAAACCAGCCAAAAACAAUAAUUUUAUAUAAUAUUUCAAAUUAAAUGAAUAAAAUAAUAUUAAUAUCAAUAAAUAAAAGUAAAUUCAUAUUAUUUUUGCAAAAAUGUUAAAAGUUAAAAUGAUAGAAAUAUUUAUGCAAUACACUAUGACGGCAGAAGUUGCGACUGAAACAUCUUCAUCAUACUCUAAAGCUGCUGCUGGAGUUCGUCGUACUUUUUGCUUUGCUCUGCUUCUCUCGCUGCAGCCUCUGCUUUAAGUUGUAGCUGGAGUUCUUCAUAUUUUCUUUGAACCUCUGCUUCCCUCGCUGUCGCCUCUGCUUUAAGUUGUAGCUGGAGUUCUUCAUAUUUCCUUUGAACCUCAACUAUGGUCGCUUGCAUCUGAGUCAUCUGAUCUUUUAACCUCUGAACUUCAGCUUGAGCCUGACUCCUCGAAGCCAUGUAUUGCUGCGAGCUGGAUCCAAAAUAUUAGGUUGGGCUAACAAAAGAUCCUUGAAAUCGAACCCGACCAUACCUUUCAGGACCUAAAACUUCAGUAAUAAUCCGGUUAUCAAUGUCUUCAGGAUGAACAGAACUAUCACUAGAAGCAAUCGCUUCGUACUCCGCCUUUUUAUCCUUUAGUUUUUCCUAAUAAAUAAAUCACAUAGUUAGGAACGCAAUAUAUAUUAAAAAACAUAUGCAACAUAACAAUAGUCGCAUUACAAGCAAUGAAUUAAACCAUUAGAAAAUAAACACUAUAAAUAACUAAAAGAAGUCAAAUCGUAUUAAGUAAACGUACCAUUAUUUCACCAGCUUCAGGAGUCAUGGGAGAUCCAUCUUUCUUCCUAUGUGUAAUUUCAAAAAGUUGAAGGCAUCAAACUUUUUGACCGGACGACAGUUCCUACAAUAUAGUAGUAAAAAUAUUAUUUAAUGGAAAGUUAUACAUAUUUGACAAUAUUAAAAAAUUAAAAAUACCUCCGCCUCAGCUACACAUGCAAAACUUCUCGACCUGGCUGUGUGAGUGAAUUUUUGUUUCUGCCUACUGCUUUUUCCAACUCGUUCACGAUCCUACGUUAUGAAAUUUUUAGUACGUAAAUAGUAAAUACUAUAAACCAAAAUAAUUACAAUAGUUUGGAAGUACGUCAUACCUUGCCUUUCUUCGAAUGCCAAAAUCUAACCGCAUCUUCCCAUUGGUACCUCAACAUACCCGGCAGGACAUUUUGCAAUUUCUCAUCGAGGGUUAUUUUUGUCUUAUAAUAAUUUUUCUUCAAAGUACUUUUAUGGUCUCUCCAUCUUUUUCCCAAUGCCUUCUUUACAUAAGCAUCCGAGACCUCCAAAGCAAACCUCGCCUACAAAAAACACAAGUUAAUAAAGUAAAUAUAAAUGAAACUAUUUCCCAAGCAUUACAGAUGACAUUAACAUUUUGUUACCUUAAUAUUAUCGAGGGCUUGGUUUUUGUUGCUAUCGGGCAUUUGAUGCCAUGACUUAUAGUUGAUAGGCAACAUAUUCGCAUUUUGUGCUAAAAUGCCCAUGUAUCCUGCUAAAAGUUGAGCUUCUGGUCCAACAGGCUGACCAAAACUAUUUCGUCCAACCUUGACACGCUCGACUGGAUCUAACUCGUAUAACUCUCUAAGCAGCGUACGUCCUCGACCUCUGCACGUCCCACCAUUUUCAGCUACAAAUGGUAUAUUAUAAUAUAAGAAUUUGAAAAAUAAAUCAAUUAUAAGUCAACACGCAUGUAAAUUAAAUGUAAAAUUACUUUGAACUUCUGUAGGAUCCUCAGAUGUAAUCGGAACAUUCGAAGAUCCAAUUGCUGUCUGUUGUUCAAUACUAUUUGUUUCUGUCGAGUUUGGAUUAUUUUGAACCAUGCUUCCCCUUAGAAUUUUUCUUCUAGGCAUUUUAUCUGCAAUACACAUAAAAUAGUUGAAAACUUAAUAACUAAUUACAACAAUAACAACACAUAUAAAAUAAUUGAAAUAUAUAAUAAGACCAAGAUUUAAAUUAUUAUAUUACAUAUAAUUAAACAAUCGUAAAAUCUUACUCCAUCAUUAUUCGUAAAUAUCUUCAUCCGUAUCUUGACGAACCCAUUGAAAUUGUGCACUAGUACUAGGGAUAUUAUCGUUUAAGUUUUGUUUUGGAAAGGGCAAAGUUUCUGAUCUGUCGUCGAUGUUAUCUCUACUUCCACUGCCCAUGUCAAACAAGUCUCUAGGGAUGUUACGAAGUAUAACGUACUAACCCUCAUCAGUUGGAUAUUUUGAGUAAAAAACUUGUUUGACUUGAGAUGAGAAUACAUACGGCUCAUCUAUCACUUGUUGUCCUAUAUAAAUCAAUCGGGCGAAGUUCACCACUGUAAAACCAAAUUGAUCUUGCUUAAUUCCACGAGCAGUAUUAACAUCAGCCCAAUCACCUCGCAAUAAGACAACUUUCCAUUUGCCGUAGUUAUCCAACUCAAUUAUGUCAGUAAGAAGUCCGAAAUAUUCCACAUUUCCCUCAACAAGAUUAUUGUCCCUAGCACUAGCAUAACUUGUAAUUGAGGAAUUAACAACUAUUCCACAAUCUUGCUUUCUCCUCAACCUCUUGCGAUAUUUUGUAUGAAAUCUGAAUCCGUUGAUGAGGAACGCACUAUAUCUUUUAACCACUCGAUCUGGACCUUGGGAGAGCCAUUUAACUUCGUCGUUUACGUUCUUCCCACUCCGAACCUAUUGAAUGGAAAGUAAACCGAGUAAUUAAAAAUUAUUCAAUGUAGACAAUAUUUCAUAGCACACACCUCAAAAAUUUUCACAAACAAAAAGAAAAACAAUUAAAAAAAAGAAAAAGAAAACCCUGAACUACUAGAAUUAAAGAAACCUAUAGCAGGCAGAAAAAUGUAAAGCAACCUUCUUUGUAGCAGGCAUGGCCUCAAGUAUUAUAACCACAAAGAAUAUCUGACAACAAUUGCCUACACCAAACCAACAUGGACUUGUAAAACAAUUCCCACAAGAAGUUGGGUUAAUUUUAUAUGAAAUAGUUUCCCCGCAAAAAUCUAGCUUUUUGGACUUGUAAAACAACAAAUCCAAGUGAAAUGACUUUAGUUUAAAAUUUAAAUUACGGCACUCUCCGCCAUUCAGCCAAUAGUGCUUUUUAAAGAUAUACAAGUAAAGAAAAACAAACUGAAUGAACAAGAUAGGGAAUGACAAGGCCCAUGAGGAAAAUAAUGAAAAAAAUAAAAAUUCAGAUAAUAGUUGAAACAGAACUAACGGUUCUAGGAGAAACUUGGACAAGCCCAGAUACAGAUUUAUACACUUAAGGUAGCCAAAAUUUUCAAUGGCAGCAAAAAUGAAAAAAAAAUGUAUAUAUAUACAGAAAAAGGAACUGAAAUCUUGUAGAAAGAGAAGAGGUGGCUCACUUCUCGGACGUGGAUAAGCAGACGGAGAAACAACGAAAAUGAAGCACAGAUUCAAAAGAGAUGAUUUAAGAGAAAAAGUUUUAUAUUUAUUUAUUCAUUUGCCUUACUAAUAAUAUCAAAUUCCAAGCAGGAAAGAAAGGUUGAAUUCCAAGCAUUGAUUUUAAAUGUCAAAGGAACGAUGACACCUUCGCCGAAGAUCUCCGGUGUGUCAACAUCGUCGACUUCCAUGGCUGAACCUUGGUCGUCUGGGUCCGUCACGAAUUCCAUCGGCUUCUAAGCUUCUAGGGAUUUCUUUCCCCCUUUUUCUUUAGGCUUCUAGGGAUUUCUUUCGUUGUUUUAAUUUUAAUUAUUUCUGUUGAAAUAUCUUUCCCCUCUUUUCCUUACAAUAAAUUAUGGAUUUUGUGGCGUUUUUAGAAAAAACGAAGCUAAAAAAAUUAAAUUUUUGUAGUGAAACGGCACGUUUUGGAAAAAUUUAAUAAAUAUUUGCGGCGUUUUUUGUCCAAACGCCGCUAUUGCUUACCUUUUGCGGCGUUUUUCUCAUAAAUGCCGCUAAUGGUUGAUUUUUUUUAUAAUUUUGUAUUUAAUUAUUAUAUAAUUCAUAAUCCAUAAUUCCUAAUUAUUUAAAUUAUUUAAAAAAAAAGAAAAUCAAGAAUUGUAGAUUUAAUGUUGAUAUUAUAAAUUACUGGUAAAUUCAAAUAAAAAUCUAUCUUAUCUAAACAUUUUAAAUAUAUAUAUAUUUUCAAAUUGUUAAAUUUCAGUCCUAUAUAAAUGAAUCACCAUCCUGUUUCAACAUUCGGCUUUCGAAAUUUCAAUGGAAUUUACAGAAAAUAUUUUGUUAUUUUAUUUAAUAAUUAGGUGUUUUGUGAGAUAAUAAGUAAGAAAUUUAAUUGACAUAUUAUCUUAAUAUGUUAUAAAAAUACUGUUAUUAUCUUAAUUAUAUUACUUACAUUCUAAUGAUUUAUCGGACCUAUUCCAUACACGUGUCAAAUCAGAAAAAUAAUACAACAAUUCUGUAAAAAAAAAUUCGGUGUUUACUUCAAAUAAAUAAGGAAAAUAAUAAUUUGAAUGUUUCAAAAUUCAAUUUUAAACCGAAAAAUCAAAAUUUAGAGGCAAAAAAGGAUCUUUUUCGACGAAAACUGCGGCAAACUGCCUUCGGCAAUUUGUCAGGGCGUAGAUCUCGAAAAGUUAUUCGAGAUAAAAAAAAUGGCCUCAAUUGGACAACCGAGCCAAAAGUUAUGGCCUUUCAAAAUUUUCCAAGCUAAAAAACAUAAACUGUUCAUGAAUUAUUACUUCAAAACUCACCGUUUCGUUUCCAUUGAUUUCAUCGUGCACCAUUUCAAUUGAUUUCACAAAUCCCGCCUCUAAUCCUCCCAAAAUUUGACAUCCCUCCAACUCUACACAACGAUUCAAAAUGCUUUCUUUUUCAGGCAAAAUACCAAAAAAGCCCUAUAUUUUUAAAAUUUAUCGAAAUGGGCCCGGUAUUUUAUUAUUUACCGAAAUGGGCCAUUUUUCCCGAAAUCGCGUCCACGUCAGCGCGAUACCAGGGGACGUGUUGAAACUCUAAACCCCAAAUCCCUAACCUAAUUAUUGAAACCUUAAACCCCAAAUCCCUAAACCCUAACCCCUAAAUCCCAUAACCCAUAAAUCUCUCUAACCUCUAAAGCAUAACACUGAACCCCUAAACCUUAAUUCACAAACCCAAAAUCCAUACCUCGGCCUACUCCUUAAACUCUAAACCAUAUAAUAUAGUGAUAAUUAAUUCAAUAUUUUUAAAUUAAUACUAUCUCUUUUACGAUUAUAUAAGAAAUUAUUUAAUAUAUAAGCUAAAAAAAUCAGUAAUGUAUCCAAAAAGCUUUAAAAUUAUUUUAAAUAAUAGUAUUUUAAUUUUUCCAUUUUUAACAAAUAUUUUAAAUUAUUUUAAAUCCCUGAGCAUUAGCGGCGCUUUUGUAAAAACGCUGCUAAAUCCCCGAAAGCUCAGAAAACGGCAUCGUUGGGUUUAGGUUUUUUUGCGGCGCUUUCCCAAAAACGCCGCUAAAGCCCUGAGCAUUAGCGGCGCUUUCUUAAAAACGCCGCUAAAUCCUCAAAAGCUUAGAAAACGGCGUCGUUGGGUUUAGCUUUCCCAAAAACGCCGCUAAAGCCCUAAGCAUUAGCUGCCCUUUCUUAAAAAUGCCGCUAAAUCCCCGAAAGCUCAGAAAACGACGCCGUUGGGCUUAGUUUUUUUUACGGCUUUUUCCCAAAAACACCGCUAAAGCCCUGAGCAUUAGCGGCGCUUUCUUAAAAACGCCGCUAAAUCCACGAAAGCUCAGAAAACGACGCCGUUGGGCUUAGUUUUUUUUGCGGCGCUUUCCCAGAAACGCCGCUAAUGCCCUGAGCAUUAGCGGCGCUUUCUUAAAAACGCCGCUAAAUCCACGAAAGCUCAGAAAACGGCGUUGUUGGGCUUAGUUUUUUUUUGCGGCGCUUUCCCAAAAAUGCCGCUAAUCCCCGAAAGCUCAGAAAACGGUGUCGUUGGGCUUAGGUUUAUUUGUGGCUUUUGAGCAAAAACGCAAGUAAAGUCCUGGGUAUUAGCGGCGCUUCUCGAAAAACACUGCUAAAUCCUCGAAAGCUCAGAAAACGACGUCGUUGGACUUAGAUUUUUUUGUGGGGCUUUAGCAAAAAUGCCGCUAAAGUCCUGGGUAUUAGCGGCGCCUCCCGAAAAACGCCGCUAAAUCCCCGAAAGCUCAGAAAACGGCGUCGUUAGGCUUUGGUUUUUUGUGGCGCUUCGGCAAAAACGCUGCUAAAUCCGCUAAAGCUCAAAAAAUGGCGUCGUUGGUCUUAGGGUUUUUUGUGGCGCUUUGUCAAAAACGCCGCUAAUGCCCCGAAAGCUCAGAAAACGACGUCGUUGGGAUUAAGUAUUUUGUGGCGCUUUCGCAAAAUCGCCGCUAAUGCUUAUUUCAUCGGCGUUUUCCAUGGAACGCUGCUAAUGGUCGAUCUUUAGCGGCGUUUUUUAUCCAACCGCCGCUAAAAACGCCGCUAAAAGUCUGUUUUGGUGUAGUGACCUUUUCAAGUAAUGAGUCAUUCCGAUCGGACCAAAUGAUAUAAUUUUGGACUGGAGUUAGACUUUAUUUUAUUAUUUUAAGUUUUUUUGUAAACUCGGGCUAAAUUGACCUAUUACAUUCAUAAAUAAAAUUUAUAUUUAAAUCAUUUUUGUAAAUAAUCAAAUUUAAAACCCACAUUUUACAGUGUUGUGCUUCUGGAUUCAUCGUAGGCCUAAGAGUUGGCAAGAUCAUGAGUGACAUAGUGGGUAGUUGUUGUGUAAUGUCAAUCUACAGAAGACACGUAAUUAGAAAGUGACAAAAUUAUUGUCCUUCAGUUGUAGGACAUCCCAUGCAUUUACACUUUGAAAAAUAAUGCAAAGAGCUGACGCGUAAGGACAGCAAUUAAUGGUACGGUAUUCAUCUGUCUCAUAAUUAAUUAAUAUGGCCACAACCACAAGGCUUGUGCCAAAUCACCCCCUACUUCAUUUGACCCCAAUCUGAACUGAAAACCAUGCCUCCAACUUCUUUGCUCCUUAGCUGGGACUGAAUUAUGUUAUUUUACAUUUCCUAUUUGCUUUAAUAUUAUAGAUGUAUAUUUAUUUUAUUUACCCUAUACAAAUUUACAUUAUCCUCUAUCAUUUUAUUAAAUAUAUAUAUAAUAACACCCUUAAACAAUUAAAUUAGGAUUCAACUUUUUAUGGGUUACUUAUUUAAUGAUUUAACCUUUCAAAAUGGUCACAUGAGCGUUACUUUUAUAUACGUAUUUAAAUAAGAGUUUUUCAUACGCUUCAAUUAAGUUCAUAUUAAAAAUUAGUUAAAUGAUAAUAUGUUUAGAAUAAAAUAAAUAACAACUAAAUAAAAUAUUAUUUAAAAAGAAAAGAAAAGAAUAAUAACAUAAUUUGAAACCCAAUAUACGAUAUCUAAGAAGCCAUUAUUUUUGUAGUUUUGAAAUGGUUUGGCUAUUAUUUAAGCACUUUCGAAAAGGUUCGGCCAUUGUUUGAACAUUUUGAAAAGUUUAGCCUUCUUUUGAGCACUUUUGUAAAGAUUAGGCCUUAUAUGACAAUUUUGAAAGAUUUGAUCCUUAUACGAGCUACCCUAAAAGGUUAGACCUCAAAUUGAGCAUUUUUAGCUUUUGAUUUAUUAUUAUUAUUGUUAUAACAUUAAUGUUAUAUAAAAUGUUGAAUAAUACAAUGAGUGUGAUUCACACUAUAAGGGGGUGUGAAGAGCCUCUAGAAUGGGGCAAUUUACACCAUAGAUGAUGCGAUUGGAUUUUAAGUUGUAACACCUUGAAUAAUUUAAGUCUGUUUUUGUGAAAUUUAGGGUCUGUCUGAUUGCCAGUAAAAUGUUUUCCGUAAAAUAAUUUUUGGAAAAUGUUUUACUUUUCUAUAAAAUGAUUUACUGGAAAAUAUUUUUUGGUGUUUGAUUGAAUCCGUGUAAAAUAUUUUCUGCUGUUUGGCAGAUUUCCUGAAAAUAUUUUUCGAAAAAGUUAUUUUUACAUAUAUUAAUAUAUAUUAAUAAAUUUUUAUAUUUUAUUGCAAUGAUUUAUUUAUAAUAAUACUCAAUUAUUAAGCUACAAUAUUAAUCGUUAAAUUAAAAAAAACUAAAUUAAAUAUAUAAUAAUACUCAAUUAUUAAAAUAUAAAAGCAUUGCAAACUACUUCCGAAAUUUACUAAUUAGUAGUGAAUCAAUUGUAGUGAUCUCCUGAUGAAAUUACGCUCAGCAUAAAAGCAAUUUUUUUGUUGUCUUACAAACAACACAGAUAGCAUCAUUAUCAAAUUUCAGCCACUCUCAAGUAUAACCAAUUCCUUAGCCAACCAAUCUACAUUGUAACACAAAGCUAACUCCUAUAAAAAUUAUCCCAAUGCACACAUUUACAGAAAUAAAUAUGUAUAUAUGUAUGCAUUCAACAAAUACAUAACCAUAUGCAUGCAAUCAGCUAUGUUCUUUGAAAGCUACUACUAGAUCAAGCAUUGCCCCAAUACCAUAGGUUGCCAUCCAAUAGAGAGGAAAAAAUACAAGCAAAGAACCCAACUUUUUACUUAGACAUAUGGCGAAACGUGCUCAUGCAACUGGUAAGAAAAAAUCACUCAUGGCCCAAAAAAGAAUUUCAUAAAACUGAUAGUAAAAUCAAAAUGAAUGAUACAUACAAUCAAAAUUUUCAACUGACACCUAUUGAUUUAAUACAACCAGGUAAAGAGGCCGACAACCAUCUGAUAUCUAUGAAGCAAAUGAACUAGCAAUAUACUAGAAAUAUCAGCAAUUGCAAUCAACAAAGGCAACAGGCUCCAUUGAAGUCCCCAAUUUAAAUCUAUUGAUUUAAUACAUGCUCUCAUUGAAGUCCCCAACUCUAGGAAUAUUGUUCUGCCAGAAGCUAGUCAGUUAAGCAAAAUCAAUAAAAAUUCAAGAAACAUAAACCCAAACCUAGAUAAACUACUGCAUUUAUCUUACGGUGCUUGCCAAUUACGUUGCCAUGAUUUCCAAUUAUAACAGAAAUGGAGUUCUGAAAAAGACCGACCCGUACCCGGGGUUCUCUUAACAACUCUUUGUCAGCAGAAAAUUUGAAAGCCUGGAAUGAUUUGAAAUGGAAAAGCACUUAUAACUGCCUUCUACAAUAUACUUGUAUUGAAAUGACAAAAAUUGAGGCACAAGGUGAUAAGAGCUAGAAAGGGGUGCAAGUGAUAAUAGACAUUAACAUGUCCUUACCUUCCAAUAAAUUUAAAAUGGCAUAUCCAUCGCAAGAAUUUUUAUGAUUUGUACCCUCGACAACAUUGGUGAAGAACAACACAACCUAUAAAAUUGUUAUAAGUAUCCUAAAUUGAGAUCUACCUUGAUCAUUAGAGACAAGAUUAGUGCUUUGUUGUAGCACAAUUUAAAAUAAUUGUUUAUGAAAGCAAGACAAUGUGCAAGUACACAAGCAUGAGAGCAACGGAGCUUUCAAUUUUAUCUAUUAAUGGUUUUCACAUGUCUUGAGAGAGAAUAUGAUUGCUAGAUAUUACAAAAGGUUAAACAAAAAAGGUAGGCUAUAUUCUGUACUAGCUCUACAAGUUCAGAGUACAAAAACCACAAGCACUUCUAAUAAAUCAAAUUCUACAGGUCUCUAAUGGUCAGAACCAUUACUCAUUUAUCUUCAGAAAACAGGAGUGGCGAGUUGCAAAAAUCUAUACCUCAUCAACUUCCAUUGAGAGAUCAUUCACACUUUGCCUAAGUAAUCCUUUCAAUCUUCCUUUCUUGAAAUCUGAAAGCUCAGCACCAAUGUUGUUUUCAAAAAGUGAAUCAACAUCUUUAGGACUACAAUCCAUAGACUCUUUAUCAUUGACCACCAUAUACUUCCCUUGAGACAACUCAGAUGCAUUGGAAUUGGACAGAGUAUUUUUAUCUUCUGACAACAGGUCAGCUAUUUGACAAGCAUAGAAGCUAAAGAAAUCAGGUCCAGCUUUACAUUGCUUACUCGAACCAUCUGAAUUUCUCGGCAUCUCUGACAUGAUAGAAGUACUACUACUCUGCAUACGACAACUACAUAGAUAUGAAUCAGUCCAGACUCCAGAUAAAUAACUGAAGCAAAAGAGGAAGAAGCACCAUUAUAUAUACUAUACAAAUUUCUCUCUAAAGCUAUAUUUAGAAACAUGAAUUUGAACAUUUGGAUUUAAUUUCAUUUGUUAUAAAAAUCUACGGAUAAAUAAAUAUUGAUGAGCUAAGAUGAUGGAUCUCUAUAUCAAUGAAUCGUUAUAAUGCAGUAAUGUUGGAUAAAUAAAUAGGCACUUGAAGAUCAAACUCAUGUUUUGAAGAGAGGGCUUUAGCUGAUUCAGGUGGAACAAUAGUUUCAAGUGUUGUUCCGCAAUUCAGCCUUAGAAGCAAUCGGCUGACUUCCUGUUAAUAAACCAUAACAAAAUUCCAAAAGAUUGUUACUUUCACCAGCAAUAAGAUCAGUAGAUUUUGACUUUUAAUAGGCAAAACAUGUUACUUGUUAAUGAGAUAAACUGUUUACAAAUUCUAGGAUCGUCUGCAAUGAUUAUUUCAGUGGCAAAAACUGACUAAAAUGACAAUAACCAAUCAAUUCAUAAUAGACAAUAUGAAAUGGGUUUCCUUUUUCAUGAUCAAAUUUGCUUUUACAAUAUAUAUAUAUAUAUAUAUAUAUAAGCAAGAAAAAUAACAGGAAAGACAAAUAAAUUACAACCCGGAAAGUGGGAAAAAAGAAAAAGAAAAGACCUGGUAGAGUUGAGGCUUGAGAUUUGCGCUCAAGAGGUGGUGAAGCGAAUUAUACCCACAAAUUGAUCCAUAUUUGAAACUUUCUUUUUCUUCUGUGCUUCCAUUUUCUUUCCCAAUUCCAUCAGUUUUUUCAUUUUCUGAUUCCCUCAAUUAUUGCUCCGAAAUCAAAACAUAGAAAAAAGGUUGAUGAACGCCGGUGUCUAGUGUUAAGAAUCGAUGUUGGUUGAUGGCAAGCAGAAGAUCAGGUGUCAAGGAUAGGAGAAAGGGAAGGGCAAGGGAAAGGGAAAGGGAAAGGGAAGAUCGAUGUCUAAAAUUUUCUUGAAAAUGUCUUAUCGAAUUAGAAACGGUAAGAUAUUUUCCAAAAUUAAAGGCUUCUUUUUCCCGUAUUUGUAAUUGAUUUUACGUGAAGAAAAUAUUUUCAGCCAAACAAACACUGGAAAAGGCUGAAAACCUUUUCCGGAAAAUGUUUUACUACAAUCAAACAGAGCCUUAACAUAAAAUGUGUAUUUGCUUCAGUGGUUAAGUGUUCUGGGUGUGUGUAUGAGGUUUUGGGUUCAAGUCUUUAUUUUGGAAUUUUUUUUUAUUUUUUUAUCCAAGCCUUAUCUCUAUUAGGUGGGCUUAUGUUUUAUCUUUAGUAAACCCAAAUCAGAAUGAGCCUGUUGGUUCGAGCAAUAACGAGUUAGCUUGCUGAAGGUCCUGUGUUCGAUUCCCUGUGUGAGCGUGGAUGAUAUUUUUGUUUUAGUUGUGAGAUAGAGGUUAGGUGAAAGUAAAAUUCUAAGGUGGUGGAGAGUUAGUCGGUUAGUUAGUGGAAUAAUGGAAAGUUGAGAUAUUAGGGGUUUCAAAUUUUAUUUUAAUUUUUUUUCUUCUCAAAGUUUUUGACGUCAGUUUUAUUUUAUUUUUCCCUCUUUUAACAUUUUUACCUUCUCGGUAAAAUCCUUUUCAUUUCUCUUUGAUUCUAUUCGUGAAUCCCUCGUUCAAAUCAUUGCUACUGUGAUUUUUGGGUUCUUUAAUCGGUUGGUAAGUAGAACUUCGUAUCUCUUUAACAAUUGGUUUGAGAUAUUGGCAAUGUUAAGUUGUAGCGAUUAAUUAGUAGAUUCUGUGUUUAGGAGAAGAUUGUGAAGCAGAAAAUUCACUCCGACAGCCUAAUCCGUGUUAGUGGUGGUUUUCAUUAACGAUAAGUUUGUGAUCGUUGUUGAAUUUUUGUCACGAAUUUGUAAAUUGGUUGCUAAUCGGGGUUAGAGAUACUAUUUACAGGUUUUUAUGGUCUCGGGAUUGAUUAUACUACAAAAAUAAACCAGGUGUGUAACCCUAACGUGAGAAAAUGAGAUUCGACGAAAGUUAAAAUUUAGGUUUGUCGACGCCACACUAGCGUGUGCCCGGUCGUGUGCAAGACAUGGUCGUGUGACUUAUAAGGGUAUGGCCCUGCGUAAGACACGACCGUGUAACAGUGUUAGUGUGGCUGUGUGGACUUCACGGGCUGGGCGAGAUUGGCCGAAUGGGCCCAUACGGGCAAGCCACAUCGACGUGUGGGCCCAUAAUUCUAAAAUUUUCCCUAGGAUCUCACUGGUCGUUUUGAUUGAAUGUGAACCUAUUAUAGGGUCGGUAAGGGCUAAUCAAACUCUAAUUCAUGUGAUCUGAUAUUCUGAUAGUCUGAUUUGAGUAGGACAUUGAUAUGUAUGUAUGACUGUUCUGUUUGAGUAUAUAUAUAUGUGUUAUCUAUAUACGAACAUGUGUUAAUUAUGUUAAUUUUGUAUUAUGUAUUGUGUUUAGGGUGGGAUUUGUAUAUAUGGAGGAAGUGAUCUGUACGGUGACCUUUCGCCUAUAUUCUGGUAGCUUGGCUGCGUAUUAUCUAUUAUGUGUCGCAUCAAAACUCUAUGGUGUCUAGGGAUGGGUGGGUGUUUUUAACCCCCACAUGGUGUGAUGGGAUGGACGGAGAUGGUGUGUAGAGGAUGGGGGUAGGAUUUUGUAUAUUCGUUCUAUUUAUCUGAUAUGAUUUCUGUAACUGUUGUGGACUUAGGUUCGAAUCUGUUUCUGACUGUAUAUGAAACUUUGUGUAUGCUGCAUGUCUGUCUCUGUUGGGUUACACACUGAGUUUAUAUAAACUCACAUUUGUUUGACUUUUUUGUUCAGGUAACCUAUAGACAUAGGCGGGUCAGUGCGACGGAGGCUCAGCGGUGACCACUCGAUAGAAAACUGUUUCCAUUUAUUAUUUCAUGGUUUUUAUUUAAAUUUCUAAUUUUCGUGAGAGUUUUGUAAUUUUUGGACUCUCCAAACUUUUUGAACUGUUUGGUUUCAAUUUUUGGUUUGGUUGGGUUAUGAUUUCUAAACUACGACAAUUCGACAAAAUAUUGAUUUUACGUGAUCAAAUGUCAUCGAGCCUGGUUUCUAUUUAAACGACUUUUCAAACUUCCGCUGCUAAAUGAUUUGGUUAACCUUAAGGGAUAACAUGUAACUGUUUCAUUAAUAAAUAUAUAAGUGAAUACGUUUUACAAAACUUGGACGUUUUAUUGAAAUAUUAUUGGUUUUAAAACCUUUCUUCGUAACACUCCUGAAUUCGGCCAUAACGUCUAGGUCGAGUUUGGGAUAUUACAUUUAGUGGUAUCAGAGCCAGGUUGUAAAACUCGGGUUAUGAAUUUUGGAUUCCAAAAUUUUGUCUUGAAAAAAGACUAGUUUUUAAAUAAUUUAGAUCAUUCCUGAGUAAGUAUGUGAUACACCAAGUCUUCGGUGUCGAUUUUAUAAGUAUCUCUAAAUUUUGAAAAUACAAUAGAUAGUACUUUAUGAAAUUGUAAUAAGUUAGUUAAAGACUAAAACCUCUGAAAUACUUCUGAACUUUUGAUAUUUUAAGCAUAAAAUAUUUGUUAAUAAAAAUUGAAACUGAGGCAUAAAAUUUUAUAAUGUAAAUAAAAUUAAAAAUACGAUGAGUACUCAUGAAACUCAUGGUCAUAGUAAUCGUGGACGUGGCGGGCGCCGUAGUAGGGCUUGAGUUGAGUUUUCCUCUCUAGGCAGUAUGCCAAAUUUAGAUACGAGUGAGGCACCGGUUUUACUUACUACAAAGACUGGGUUUGAAAGCCGUUCGUCUGGGGACGAUGCACUGUCCUAAUCUAUGUUGAGAGUGUUGGAGAGGGUUGCUAGACCCUAUUCGGGAUCUGGAGGUCGUAGGUCGAUAACAAAAUGACUUCGAUCCAAUAGAGUUGAGUUGUUUAGAGGUGUCACUAGAGUCACCUUUACUGUGGACGAGUAUUGGUUAGAGGCCAAUAAGAGGAUUAUGAAUGACAUCUACUGCACUCCUGAGUAGAAAUUAAAAGGUGCAAUCUCUUUGUUUCACGACGAAGCUUAUCAGUAGUGGUUGUCAGUUGAGGAGGGUAUUCAACCGGAUCAUCUGAACUGAGACUACUUUAAGACCGCUUUCUAGGGAAAAUAUGUGGGUGCAAGCUCUGUGGAUGCUUGUAGGCGUGAGUUCACGAAUCUCACGCAAGGUGAUAAGUCUGUGGUCGAGUAUGAGGUCAAAUUUCUGAGACUGAGUCGCUACGCUCAAGGCAUUGUGGCAUCUGAGUAUGAGAAAUAUGUUUGUUUUAAGGACGGCUUGAGGGAUAGUCUGAGGGUAUUAAUUGCUUCACAGAGAGCGAGAGUUUGCUGUUCUUGUGGAUAAGGCGAAGAUCGCCGAGGAGGUUAAGGACGUAGAGUGCUAGAACAGAUAUCGUGAGAGAGGCAAGAAUAAGAAGGAUUCAGAGCCCUCUAGUUCUAUUCAGAGGCCUAAGAAAUUGCCCAGACCUGAUGGGCCUGUUAGGGUGGGAGUUAUUAUUGCUCUUACUAGGAUUCAGCCUUGUGGUGACUGUGGUAGGCUUCAUCUGGGUAAGUGUUGGAGGAGAUCGGGGCUUAUUUGCGGUAUGGGUCUUUAGAGUACCAGAUUAAAGAAUAUCCACAUCGUACCAAUUAGAUGCAAGCUACGGGACCAGGUUUUGUUCAGCCUCAGAGGACAGUACAACAGCCACCUAAGGGUCGUGGAUUGGCUAGGAGUGGUAAUGGUAUGAGUCAUGGACAGAGAGUACCAGACAAAGGUGUUAAUCAGACUGAGGCGAGACAACCUGCACUGGUUUAUACUGCUCGACGCCGAGAGGAUAGAGACGCUCCUGAUGUGAUCACGGAUACGUUUUUAAUUUUUGAUAUUUCAUAUAUUACUUUGAUAGACUUAGGUUCUACACACUCCUAUGUAGCUAGUGUUGCUUCUGAAAACUUGAGAAUUUCUAUUGAGUGUACUUGUGGUGAGAUUAUUGUACUGAGUCUGUUGGGACAGUCUGUUUGGGUAAAUAGACUUUAUAGGAAUGUUUCGUUGGAAGUAUAAUGGGUUAUCUUUUCGGUAAAUCUGAUGGAGCUAUCGUUUGGGGAGUUUGACUUAAUUCUAGGUAUGGACUGAUUAGUUGAACACCGAGUUAGUUUGGAUUGCGUAACUAAGAGGGUCAUUUUGAGGACCAAAGAUGAUAAGGAGGUGGUUGUGAUUGGUGAGUGUCGAGAUUACUAGUCUAAUAUAAUCUCCGCUCCAGUAGCUGAGAAAUUAGUUUGAAAAUUGUGAGGCGUAUUUAGCCUACGUCAAUAUUUCAGUUUAUGGGGACUCUGCUGUCGGGGAUAUCAGAACAGUGAGGGAAUUUUUGGAUGUUUUUCUUGAGGAAUUGCUGGGUUUACCUCUGAAUCAAAAAGUUGAGUUUGACAUUAAGCUUCUACCGGGUACAAAAUUGGUAUUUAUAGUUCUUUACUGUAUGGCACUGAAGGAGCUUACAGAGCUUAAGGUUUAACUUUAAGAGCUUCUGGUUUCAUCCAUUCUAACGUGUCUCCGUGGAGGGCACCAGUUCUAUUUGUGAAGAAAAAUGAUGGUACCAUAAGGAUGUGCAUCGAUUACUAGCAGUUGAAUAAACUGACUGUGAAGAAUAAGUACCUACUUUCGAGGAUCGAUGAUCUGUUUGAUCAAUUUUGAGGGGCUUCAGUAUUCUCAAAAAUAGAUAUCUGUUUUGGGUAUCAUCAACUUAGAGUUAAGGAAGCCGAUAUUUAUAAGACGGCUUUUAGGACUCGUUAUGGGCACUACGAGUUCCUAGUUAUGCCCUUUGGUUUGACAAAGGCUCCAACUGGAUUCGUAGAUCUGGUGAACCAAGUUUUUGGUGUACUCUAAGAUUGAGGAUAAGCAUGACGAUCAUCUUAGGGUAGUGCUUCAGAUACUUCGAGAGAAACAACUUUACGCUAAGUUGAGAAAAUAUGAAUUCUAGUUAUGAGAAAUAACAUUUUUGGGGCACGUGGUUUCUACUGAGGAGAUCCGAGUUGAUUCUAGAAAGAUUGAGGUUAUGCUUGACUGGAAACAACCUAAGAACGUAUCUGAGAUCCGUAGUUUUCUAGGACUUACAUGUUAUUAUUGGAGGUUUAUUGAGGGGUUCUCGUUGAUUGCAGCUCCUUUAACUAAGCUUCUGUGCAAGAGUGUUCCUUUCUUCUAGACUGAUGCGCAAUAAUCGAGCUUUGAGAAGCUCAAGUCUAUUUUGACUCAAGCUCUUAUUUUGAUAUAGCCUGAAUCUGGUAGGGAGUUUGUGGUGUACAGUGAUGCGUCGCACGUUGAUUUGGGAUGUGUACUGAUACAAGAUAGUAAGGUUAUGGCUUAUGCGUCUCAAUAGCUCAAGUCACGCGAGGGAAAUUAUCUGAUGCAUGAUCUCUAGUUGGCUACGGUAGUGUUUGUACUAAAGAUUUGUAGGCCCUAUCUGUAUAGUGAGAGGUGUAUUAUCUACACCGAUCACCAGAGCCUCAAGUACCUCCUUACUCAGAAGGAAAUCUUAGGCAACAUCGAUGGAUUGAGCUGCUAAAAGAUUAUAACUGCACAAUGGAGUAUCAUCCCAGUAAGACUAAUGUGGUGGCUGAUGCUCUCAGUUGUAAAGCGAUGACUGAUUUGAUAGUAGUGUUCGCUCUUCUUAGUCUGUUGGAUGAUGGAGGUCUGUUAGCCGAGUUGCAAGUUAAGCUGACUUGGAUUGGGCAGAUUUGGGAAAGGGGAUGAGUCACUGGUUCUGCGGUUUGUCAGGUUGGGAGUGGCUAUACUUUUGAUUUUAGACUGAAUAAGGAUGGAGUUCUGUGUUUUUGAGGACGGGUUUGUGUAUCAAAUGAUUUUGAUCUGUUCUGAGGGAAGCGUAUAGUAGUCCUUAUGCUAUACAUCCUAGUGGUAAUGGAUUUUCGUGAGCUGUACUAGUGGCCGAGGUUGAAACGAGAGGUAAUAGAUUUUUUUAUUCAUUGUCUGAUAUGCCAGCAAAUUAAAGUUGAGCAUUAGUUUCCUUCAAGUUUUCUCCAACCCGUUAGGAUUCUUUUAUAGAAAUGAAAACGAGUGAUGAUGGACUUCGUUAGUGGGUUGUCCUUGACACUCAUUAAGAAUAAUUUUGUUUGGGUCAUCAUGCAUCGAUUGACCAAAUCUGCCCAUUUGAUUCUGGUCCAGACGAACUUCUUUCUACAAAAGUUAGAGAAGCUCUAUAUCUCCGAGAUUGUAAGACUGCAUGGGGUUUCAGUUUCGAUAAUUUUUGAUAGGGAUCCUUGCUUCACUUCUCGUUUCUGGAUGAAACUUUAGGAAGCCCUAGGUUCGAGAUUGGACUUCAGUACUGCGUUUCAUCCUCAGACCAAUGGUCCAUCAGAGAGGGUGAUUCAGAUACUGGAGGAUAUGCUUCGGAGUUGUGUGAUUGAUUUUUGAGGUAAUUGAGAGGAUUUUCUGUUGUUAGCUGAAUUCACCUGUAAUAAUAGUUUCUAUUCUAGCAUUCAUAUGGCACCUUACGAGGCUUCGUAUGAUCAUAAGUGUCGUACUUCACUAUGUUAGACUAGUUAGGUGAGUGAUAGAUUUUGGGUCUUAAGUUGGUUUUCUAGACUGAAAAUAAGGUUAGAUUGAUUCGGGAUUGUCUGAAGGCGACUUUUGAUAGACAGAAGUCCUAUGCAGAUCUAAAAAGGAGGGAUAUUGAGUACUCUGUGGGUGAUUCUGUAUUCUUUAGGGUAUCACCGUGGAAGAAGGUUCUACGAUUCGAUCGUAAUGGCAAGUUAAGCCUUAUUCAUUGGGUCGUACCAGAUUCUGAAGCAUGUGGGACUGGUUACUUAUCAGUUAGAGUUACUUCUAGAGUUGGACUAUAUCCAUGAUGUGUUACACGUCUCGAUGUUGAGGCGGUACUAGUCUGAUCCAUCUCACGUUGUCUUUGUUGAGGAGAUCGAUGUUAGACCAGAUUUAACUUUUGAGGAGGAACCGGUUCAGAUUUUGGAUCGAGAUAUUAAGGUUUUGAGGAGGAAGUCCAUAUCGUUAGUGAAGGUUCUGUAGUGGAAUCAUGGCAUUGAGGAAGCCACGUGAGAACUUGAGGACUUGAUGCGUCAGCAGUAUCCUCAUCUGUUCGGAUCAGGUAAAUUUCGAGCCAAAAUUUCUUUUAGAGGGUAGAGUUGUAACGCCCUGAAUAAUUUAAGUAUGUUUUUAUUAAAUUUGACAUAAAAUGUGUAUCUGCUUCAGUGGUUAAGUGUUCUGGGUGUGUGUAUGAGGUCUUGGGUUCAAGUCUCCCUUUUAGCAAACUUUGUUAUUUUGAUCCAAGCCUUAUCUCUGUUAAGUGGGCUUAUGUUUUAUCUUUAGUAAACUUAUAUUAGAAUAAGCUUACGGGUUCGAGUUAUAAGGAGUUAGCUUGCUAGAAGUCCUGUGUUCGAUUCCCUGUGUGAGCGUGGAUGAUAUUUUUGUUUCGGAUGUGAGAUAGAGGUUGGGUGGAAGUAAAAUUCUGAGGUGGUGGGGAGUUAGUGGGUUAGUUAGUGAGAUAAUGGGAAGUUGAGAUAUUAGGGGUUUCAAAUUUUAUUUUAAUUUUAAUUUUAAUUCUUUGUCUUCUCAAAGUUUCUGACGUCAAUUUUUUUCUCUUUUUUCCCUCUUUCGACAUUGUUCCCUUCUCGGUAAAAUUCCUUUUCUUUUUUCUUUGAUUCUAUUUGUGAAUCCCUUGUUCAAAUCGUUGCUACUAUGAUUUUCGAGUUCUUUAAUCGGUUGGUAAGUAGAACUUCGCAUCUUUUUAACAAUUGGUUUGGGAUAUUGGCGAUGUUAAGCUAUAGCGAUUAAUUAGUGGAAUCUGUAUUUAGGAGAAGAUUGUAAAGUAGAAAAUUCACUCCGACGGCCUAAUCCGUGUUAGUGGUGGUUUUCAUCGACGGUAAGUUUGUGAGCGUUGUUGAAUUUUUGUUAUGAAUUUGUAAAUUUGUUGCUAAGCAGGGCUAGGGUUACUAUUUACAGGUUUCGGUGAUCUCGGGAUUGGUUAUACUACAAAAACGAAUCAGGUGUGUACCCUUAACGUGAGAAAAUGAGAUUCGAUGAAAGCUGAAAUUAGAGUCUGUUUAUGCCACACGGGUGUGUGCCUGACUGUGUGGCACGACACGACCGUGUGACUGACGAGGGUGUGGCCAUGCGCAAGACACGGCUGUGUGAUAGUGUGAUAGGAGUUUGGUUGAGUGUGGGUCUUAGCUUAUUUGGUACCUUAGUUUUUUUUGUUCAAUUUAAUUCCUGAACUUAAUAUUUUUUUCUUAAUUUAGUACUUAAGCUUCUUUUUUUUCCAAUUUGGUAUCUAACUUGUUAAAGGUUUUACAAAUUUCUCCAAUAUAAUAACAAUUUUAUUUUUAUAAGGUGCGAAAAUAAUCAAUGUAUGAUUAACGUAUGACAGAUGACAUGAGAUUGAUUUUUUGUAUUUUAAUGGUUAAAUUACUUUUAAUUAAUUAUUUUAUUUUACCUUUUUAAUUUAAUAAUGAAUUUCUUUUUAUUUUUGGGUUUUAAAACUUUUUUUUCAAUAUUCAUUCAUUAAGCGUAGCUCAAAGUACAAUCUUUUAACAUAAUUUUCCUCUAAUACUGACAAUAUUUUUGUGGGAUUUGAUGGCUUUAUGAAAACUAGGUCAUGCUUUAAGCAUGUGGUUCCUCUUGUAACAUUCUUGCCAUUAACUGUCAAAGUAAUCUUAGCCUUGAUGAAAUGUAAAUUUUGAACAUGUUGUUUAGAAAAAUAGAGAAAACUUUAAAUAAAUGUAAUCAUCCCUGUCAUUAAAUUCCAUAUCAUUGGUCACAUGACAACCAUACGUUAGCUACCUCAUAAAAAAAAUGAAGAUCAUUAGUGUUUUGAGGUAAUUUGUAUAAUAUUUAAAAGGUUUAAGUGUCAAAUUAAAUAAAAAAUGAUUAAGUAUCAAAUUAUAAGAAAAAUGUCAAAAUUAAGUACCAAAUGUUAAAUAAUUAUAACAAUAUAUUAUUAGUCGGCUUACAGUUUGAUUUCCUCUUUCCCAGUUGAUUGGAACAGUUUGUGGACAAAGGGUUUGAUAUUAGAGGCAGGAUUUAGGGUUUAACAUUUAAAAAUUUAUGGUUAAAAGUUUAUAAGGUUUAAAAUUUAGGAUUUGUGUUUUGUAAAAAUAAAAAUAGAAGUAUAUAUUUAUUUUACAAAGUCACAAAUUUGUAAAAAAAAAAAUUAAAUUAAAUUAGUUUCUAGAAUUACAUUAAGAAUAAACUUUCAACAUUCACUCAUUUUCUUCUAAGAUUUUAAGAUAAUGGAUUUAUCAUGCGAAGACUUGAACCCCACAAUAUACGAUAUAUGAAGAUAAUGGAUUUAUUUAACCCCACCAUGCAACAUAUAAGGAUAUAUGGUUAGGUAAACUCAUAUUUUCUUUUAUAAAGUUUUACAAUUAAUAAAGAUUAUUUUUUAGUAAAAUAUAAAUUCAAACUCACACACAAAUAAAUUUAUGAUUUCGACCCUAAUUUCAAAUAUAAAUGAACUUUUAAAUUAUGGGUAUCGUAUUAUGAAACGAUAAACUUGCCACAUUGAAAUUUUUUAUAUGGAGUGAAUCUCAUAAUUUUUGUUUUCUUAAUUUUGUUUUAAAGCAAUGAAAUAUAGAUCACGUGAAUGUUGAUAUAAAAUGGGAAAUGGAGACGAGUGAUAUUAAUUUGUAGAUAAAGUUAAUAUUACGUAGUCGCAUAAAGCGGCAUAGUACACAACCCACAACUCUGGAAUUUUAACAUCCAUAUUUAUUCUGUAGCUAUCGUUAUUUUGGCUUCCACUAGCUGGUGAACUUUCCAUGCCAAAACUUCACUUGACGCUGCAAAUGAAACAACAAAAAACACAACAUUAAAUGUUGAGCAAGUAAUAAGCAUAAGCAAUGAAACAACUCAUACGAACCUGUUGCAGUCAGUGCUAGGGCUGAUCUUGUAAGGGAUGUUGACACCGCACUUGCCUGGGAGUCCGCUUGCAAUACCAUAGUUGAUGCCAGAAAUGCCGGCGGCCGCACUUUUGAUGCAUUUGCAAGCUGCUUGCCGGUCUGGUGUUGUUUGGGCGGCGGAGUUGAGAGAUUUUAUGCCGCCGCAGCAACCUGGGGGAACGCCACCAGCACCAUUCCCUGUCAAGUAACCAAUGCAGGGUGCGAGGGAGCUUGUGACUUGACCACAGGUUACGGCCCCUUGAGCCAGGGGUGCACCCACCACCAUGCACAACACCGCCACACAUGCAAGCUUAAGGGACAUUGAGCUAGCCAUAUCGAUUAAUCACAAGAAAAACAAACUUGUAAGGAAAAUGCUUGCUUGGAGUAGUAGUACUAUUGCUGAUUGUCGUGGUUAGGGCUUGAGGGUAGGAGGGUUUUUAUAGCCAAAAGUAGUAGCGGGUGAUGUCUGAAUUUUACUUUCCUAGCUAUUAGGUAAGUUGAGAUUAUCCGAUCCAAACAUUAACACACCACAUUAAAAGUUGAGACCAUUCAAUUAGGUUCAACUGCCAACCUACGUGAUUAUUGUUUUCUUUCAAUACAAUUAAAACCAGCGUCCAUUUGAUUUCACUCAAUCAUGCCUCCACAGCUAGGACUCAAAUAUUGGUUUAACUUUUUUCUAGGUGUUUUCUUAUAAACAUGAGAUUUACAUUUGAUGUAUUUAUAAAUGCAUUUAUUGUCAGAAUGAUACCAUUUUAUUAAAAGUAAUUUGAUUUAUAAUUGUUUGUAUAUAUACUUUUAUAUAUUAAGUCUUUAAUUGAAUUGGUAUUACGAUUCACCCAAGCAUCUAUUUAAUUGAAAAUUUGUUAAAAUAUUCAUAUAACAAAUAUUAAUAUUAAUAUAAAUGUAUUUUUAUUUUUAUUAUAAAUAAAACUAUAAUAAGAUUUAAACUUAUGACUCAUAAAUUUUACUCUUUUUAACUUAACUAUUUCAACUAAAAUUUCAUUUAGUUUUAAUAUAAAUUUUUAUAAAUAUAUUAUUUACAUGAAUUUUCCUUUUCCAGGCGGUAUGCCAUGGAACUAAUAUAAAAUAUAAACAAAUGGUUAUUUUGUUAUUUUCAAUGGAAAAAAAAAACUUCACAAGAUUAGGACACAUGCAUGGUUUUUUUAAUAUAUAUAUAUAUAUAUCAUGCAACAUUCUAAAUCUAUUUAUAGAUUAUUUUGUUGAUUGAAUUUUUAUUUUUUUUUAUUUUGGUAAUUAUAUAAAACUAAAUAUUUUCUUCGCGCAAUGUUAAGAGCAGUUUGAAAUUUAAAAGAAGUGUGGAUUCUAAUAAUAAAUUUAGUUAUCUAAUGUUUACAUAUUUUAUUAAUUUGGUCUUAAAUAUAAAAAUUAAAUUCAACAAAAUUAGCCCUCAAUGUUUACAAAAUUUUUCAUUUUAAUUCAAAUUCUAAAAUAAUCCAAUAAAUUUAGCUCUCAACAUUUACAAAAUGAAAGGAUUUGAUUUUUAAAAUUUUAAUUUUUUUUUUUAAAAACCCAAAACACAAACCUAAAUAAACUGAAAAAGAAGAAGGAAUAAUUAUCAUCACCACGAUCUAAUCUCUCAACUUUAAAAUAAGACUUCAACUUCGGUUUAACCCCAAGACAAGGCGAAACAUUGAAAGUAAGUGCAGCGGAUGCCAUUGAUUCUCCUACCUUUUGGCUAAACACAUAAAUUUGAACAACUUCAUACAUAACUAGCAGCAGUACUAAAAAAUCAUUAAUACUAUAUUUUCAAGUACAAGAAAUUGAAAAAAGAAUCACGGGUAGAGUACAAAAAUGAAAUUUGGUGUGAACCUAGAUUAACAAAACAAGGUUCACGGUUUCUCAAAAACACAAUACUAAAUUUUUAGAAUUUCUUGUGAAGAUCAAGCAAUGAGACAAAUACUGAAAUUGGCAAUGCCUUAAUAGCAAAUAAUAAUUCAAACCAAUGUAGAAAAAAGAUGAAGAAGAAGAAGAUAGGAAAAGAAUUUUUAGUUUACAUUAAAAGCCUUGAAAAGGUAGACCGAUAGGAUUGAUUGUUUUGAAUAUUACUCAACUUUCUCAUUAAUUCUUGUACUAUUAUGGCUAAGUGUGUUUUUAGAUGGUAAUGAAUUUUUUUAAUUGUUAAUAAUUUUUACAAUUAUUACACUUGAUUUGGCAGUUGUUUUUCUUUUUAAUUUACAAAAUUUUAAAAAAUUAAAAAUUUCUAUUUUGUAAAUGCUAAGAGCUAAAUUUAUUAUUAUUUAUUUUAGAAUCUAAACUAAAGUGACAAAUUUUGUAAAUAUUUGGUGUUAAAUUUAUUGGAUUUUUAUAUUUAAAAUCAAAUUGAUAGAAUGUGUAAAGAAAGUUAAUUUUUUUAUUAGACAAAUAAAAAAUAACCCAUUUCAACACUUCCGAAAAAUUUUCAAACGGCCGUUAACAUUUAGUGAUGAAAAUAUUUGAUUUCAUAUAGUUUAAUAAUUAAAAUAAAAAUAAUUAAAAAUUUAGUAAUCAAAGUAAAACACAAGUGAUAUUAUUCUAGUGAUCAUUUCUGUACUUGACCCUAAUUUUUUUUUCAAAACACUGUUAAAAAACGAUUAAUUUCUCGUUUUGGCCGGAGUUAAAAUUUUUAAUAUAUUUGUUUUUAUUAAAUUUAAAAAUUAUAAUUUUACAUAAUAUAUUUUUGAUAGAAUACAUAUGAUAUAAUUUUAAUCAGUGACACCUGUUAAAGCUUGUUAGAUCUCCUGUAUCUCUUUCAAUCUGGUGGUAAAUGAAGCAAUCAAUGAGUAUUACAACCAGCCACAUGUCAUUCAAUUCACAUUAUAUCAAUCUUUUCCCUUUUCUCUCAUUUUGGUAGUUAAUUCCUUUUUUUGUCAUCGAAAUUAUAUUUUUUUCUCAAAUUGAUAAUUUCCUUAAUCCGUUAAGUUUGUUAAAAGAAACCUUAAUCUUAUUUAAAUUAUAUCUUUUUUUUUUUAUUUUGAUACUUAAACAUUUUUGUCACAUGUGGUAUGUAAUUUAUUUUUUCUUAAGUUGUUAGUUUAAUUAUUACUCAAAUAGUUAAGUCUAUUUAAAAAAAGAUAACUAUUUAAAAAUUACCAUAUUCGAACUAGCUAGGCCAUUAGUUCCUGGUUUAAUCAGUUUAUCUAGUUUGAUGAAAUCAAUUAUUAAAAAUUCAUAAAAAUAAAAAUGUUAAAAAAUAGAGAAAACUAGCUCAACUAGUUUUUUUUUUAAGCUCGACUCAAUCAAUCUGUAUCAGUUUGUAGGUUAAUCGGUUCAAGCCCUAUCUCCAAACUAGUAUCCCAGUUGGUUCCUAGUAUUAAGGGUGAGCAAAAUUUGAAUCGACUCGAAAAAAUUUAAAAAAGUUCAAAUUUUGAAUUAUUUGAAUCGAGUUAAUCGAAUCAACUCGAUUUUUUUUUAAUUUCAAGUUCGAGUCGAGUUGAGUUUUUGAAUUCAAAUGACUCGAAUAAUUCGAUUAAGCCGAAUACCAAACUAUAAUAUUUUACAUUUUACCUCAAACCCCAAACCCUUUUACUUUUCCCCCAAAACUUUACUCAUUCCUCCUUGUCUGCCCCUGUAACGCCCCAAAUUUUGAAUUGUUACUGUUAGUUUCUAUUUAUAAGUAAGUAUUUGCUUCAGUGGUUAAGUGUUAUGUGUUGGUGUUUGGAUCGGGGGUUCAAGUUACACUUUUAGAGAAUUUUAUUAUUCUUUUGUUUCAACUCUUAUCCUUGAAUGCUUGAAUUAAGUUUGUAUCUGCAUUAAUUUGUGUCAAGAAUGAGUCUUCUAGUUUAAUGGUUAAGUUUUGUAUUACCUAUGGUCUCGUGUUCGAGUCUCUGCGUAGGCAAUAAAGAAAUAUUUUGGCAUGCUAUCGGGAAAUCAGUUUUAUUUUAAUAAUUAUUUUUAUUUAAAACUUAUUUUUAGUUUUUUUUAUUUUGGUUCUUCUCCUUCCUUACUGUUCAUUUCCUUCUUCUUUUUUCUCCUUUUGUAACACCCCUAACUCGAAUCCGUCGCUGGAACAGGGUUAGGAGUAUUAUUGAAGUUUACAAUUUAAACAGGCAGAAAAAUUAAACAUUUCAUAACAUAUAGCAUUCAUGUUAGAAACCAAUCAUAAUUAUGCAUAUUGUCCCUAAUACGAGCCCUCGAGGCCCAAAAUACACCUUAGAAAUAAUUCGGGACUAAAUUGAAAAUUCGGAGCAUUUUUUAGAAACUUAUAAAAUUUUUAAAACUACAGGGGUCACAUGGCCGUGUGGCUAGGUUGUGUGACUCAUAUGGCCAACAGACACGCCCAUGUCUUAGACCGUGCGGGUAUUCGAAAUAGGGACACACGGUCGUGUCCCAGCCAGUGUCCAUGCCCGUGUAACUCACUAACUUGGGCCACACGGUCAAGCCAUACGCCCGUGUGCCAGGCAUUGUGAGCAUACUAACUUGCAUUCUUUAAAAGAUACAGGGGACACACGGCCAUGUCACCUGACCGUGUGUGACACACGCCCGUGUCUCUGCCCGUGUGGACAAAAAUAGGCUAUUUUUCAAGUCAUAAAUAUUCAUGUAUUCUUUAAAAGAUACAGGGGACACACGCCCGUGUCUCUGCCCGUGUCUCUGCCCAAUUUGGUACCAACCUAAACACAACAAUUUGCAUAUAACCAAGUCAUAAAUAGGCAUCCAAAACCAGCCAAAAUCAAGCUUAAAACAUGUAAUAUCAUCACAUACAACCAAUAUGCCCUUAGGCACCUCAAAUGACAACUUAUAAUAUUAAUAUUCAUGUAUUCAAUAUAGCCAAAUGUAUAACUCACUUAUAUGCAUAUUUUCAUCCAAAGUUUAUUAAGCAAAUUUACAUCAUUUCUUACCAAAUUACUUACCUUCCAAAACAUAUUAUUUGGUGCUAAAAUGUAUUUAACAUACUAACAUAUUUAACUUAUAUGCCUUACAUAUCCAGACACCAAUUCAUGAUCAAUUCUUCACAUUCCAAAACACAUAUAUGAAAUGCACAUUAGGUUACCUUUUUACCACUCUUUAUUCAAUCAUGAACCAAACUACAUGUCAACCAUAAUAAGCAAAAUAUGCACAUAUCCAAAAUUCCAUAACACAAACAAAACAAAUGGCUAAUCUCAACAAAACACAUAUAAGCCAACAUUGGCCAAACUAAUCUAUACAUGCCAUUAUAACCGAAAUUAAACAACCGAAUGUACCAAAAGAGCCAAUGGAUAGUGUGAUAUAGCUCCGACAAGCUUUCAACCAGAACGAGCUUUCGAAUCACUAAAAACACAGAAAAUAACACAGAGUAAGCAUUCAAGCUUAGUAAGUUCAUAUAGCAUAUAAUUUAACUUACCAUUUAGUCACAUUUAAGGUAAGCAUACAAAACAUAUCCAAACUCAAUUAGGAUAAAAGCCUCAACACAUAUCCUCAUCAACCAUGUUAGUCAUGUAAUUCAUAUAAAUAUCAAGAAACAUGUAUGAGCUCAACAAUAAUCAAACUUGCAUGUACAUAUAAUUUCCACAUCAUGUAUUUACAUAUCAUGUACAAAUCAUUUUCAUAUAUCUCAUGUAAAUACAUGUAGUAGUUUGUAUUGAACUCAUGUAAUAUCAUAACAGAACAGUGCCCGUUGAACCAUUUAGAUUAUUGUUGGAUACGCGGAUAGUACACAUGAGGUGUACUGAACUGUAAUUCAUCAAUUCAUGUACAUGUAUGCUCAUAUGAGCUAUAAACAGUAAGCUCCUCUGAGAUGAAUAACAAUAAGCUUGUACGAGCUGAAUAUCGGUAAGCUCAUAUGAGCUGAGUAUCGGUAAGCUCAUAAGAGCUGAAAUCGAUAACCCUAAUGACAUGUUUACCAAGCCAUGACAUUCCACUAACACAUUUAACCUUUAAAAUUAUUUCAAUUUACAAGUUUAAGAAAGAACAUAAAAGAUGAUACUUGGCUUUAUUUUACUAAAUUUUGUUAUUUACUUAAUUACUUAUUUAACCUUUAAAAUCAUUUCAAUUUACAAGUUUACUAAGCCAUGACAUUCCACUAACACAUUUAAGGGUUAUUUACCAUAUAAGGACCUCUACUUUAAAUUUUUAUAGCUAUUUAAUACCUUUAGCUAUUAGAACUUUACUUUUACACUUUACGCGAUUUAGUCAUUUUUAUCAAAUUGAACAUGUAAACGGUAAAAUUUCUUAACGAAAUUUUCAUAUGGUAAUAUUAUCAUGUUUUCGACCAUAAAAUAAUAAUAAAAUAAAAUUUUUUACUUCAUAUUUGUGGUCCCAAAACUACUAUUCUGAUUUCACUGAAAAUGGGUUGUUACACCUUUCUUGCUUGAUUGCUUCCGUAAGUUUGCUAUCGUGCUUAAUUGGGCAUUCUGUGUGGUUUCUUACAUUGAUUGCAAGGAUAUUGCGUAAGUUAUGUUGUUGUUUUUUACCUAUUUUUUCUAGACUUCGUCUGUUUCGUCGAGGUUAGAUAUUACUGUUAAUGGUUGUAAAAUCUCGUUAAUAGUUCCAAUGGAUCUUCUUUUAGGAAAAGGUUUCAAAAGUAACAUUUCCCUGUGAGAUUAGGUCCGAAUUGUUGUUGCUUGCUUGUCAGUAAUUGAAAAUUUCUAUUUUGGAUAGCUGCGUCGAAGUUUUCGACGAACGUUAGUUUUGAGUGCUAAUUUUGGCAUUUUGAGUUGAUUUAGUCAUUUAAUUCGUCAAUUAAUUGUCGUUUUAGGUUUCAGAUUCUUGUGUGUUGCUUCUACAUCGAAACUACAUCAAGUGUGUAACGAAAACUCAUUUUUCUAUGAUUUACGAAUGCUAGAAAACAUGGCUGUUAAUCACACGACCGUGUGUUAGGCCAUGUAACUUACUGUUUAUGUAUUAAAGUCACCGAGCCAAGGACGUGGGCGUGUGUCCUAGUCGUGUAACUUACUAUUUGUGGAUUGGAGUCACACAGGCUAGGGACACGUUUGUGUGUCCAGACUGUGUGAAGGAAAUUUUAUGAAUUGAGUCACACAAGCGUGUGCUUGACUAUGUCAUAGACCGUGUAACUCACUUUUUUGAGCCACACGAUCGUGUGCCAGGCCGUGUGAUAGAUCGUGUGCUACACGGGCCAGCCUUCCGGGACAUGUGAAUCCACACAAGUGUGUGGGUCAAAAUUUCAAAUUUUUUAUUAGGGCCGUAAACAUCAUUCCAGUCAAACGUAGGCCUACUGUAGGGUCUGGAUGAUCUGAUUUGGGUUAUAAAACCCAUUGACUAGUUAUCUGUUUCUGUAUAAACUGUUAUUUUAUAUACAUCAUAGAAUUGUAAACUAGAGAGUAGUUGUAUUCUGUAUUAAUUGAGUAUAACCUGAAAUUUGUAACAUCGUAUGCUUAUAUCUGUAUCUGUAACAUUGCAUCUGCAUUGGGGUUGGGAUUGAAUAAGGAGGAAGUUAUGGCAGUUAAAUAAUCUGCUAAGACUGGUGGCUAAGACACGUAAAUGUAUCUAAUUUUGGUGACUUUCGCAUUCUGUCCUAGCAAUUAGUCUGCAACCUUUUGAACGUGACAUAUGGUCACUAUGUGGUGUGUAGGGACGAUACCCUUUUUGGUGUGUAGGGUUGGAUGCAGAUGGUGUGUAAUUGACAUAUUCUACUCUAUUUCCGUAUAUAAUUCUGAGAACUGUUCUAACUUUAAGAAAUUGAAGAUCUAUUUUGUUGUUUCACUUAAUAAUAAUAUAAGUUAUACGCUAUGUAUAACACCCUUUACCCGAGACCGUGGUCGGAGUCGAGCAUGAGGUGUUACUUGACUUAACUUAAAAGUUCAGGGCAUAAAAAUUUACUUUCAAAAUUAAUUUCACCAUUCACAAUAAAGUUGUCCACCUGAGCAGCAGUCACUAAAUUAAUUAUAACUCAAGCUAAGAAACUCGAAAUUUAGAUUCGUAAAUUUUCCCUGAAACUAGACUCAUAUAUCUAUUCACAAAAAUUUUUCAGAAUUUUUUAUUUGACCAAUUAGUACAGUUUAUUAGUUGAAGUCUCCCCAGUUUCACUAAUCGACUAUCCUGACCUCUCGUCACUAAAAUUCAAUUAUCUCAUUAUACAGACUUGACAUGCUGAUUCCACUUAUUUAUACUUAAAAUAUACUCAUUAAGGAAUUUAAAAAUAUAAUUUAUAACUCAUAAUUCUAUUUGUACAAUUUUUAAUGAAUUUCUAAAGUCAGAACAGGGGACUUCAGAAUCAUUCUGACUCUGUCUCACUAAAAUUAAAAUAUCUAAAAGUAUAUAACUCUUUUGCUUACUCUAUUGCUUUCAUGUGAAAGUAGACUCAUUCAGAUUUAAUUUCAUCUCUCGCUAAACAUAUAAUUCUAUUUCUACAAUUUUUGGUAAUUUUUCAAAGUUACAUCAAUGCUGCUGCCCAAAAAUAGUUCCAUUGAAAUUUUUAAAAAAAAAUUCAAUAUAACCCCUUUAUAAUUAUCUAACCUUCCCUGCAAAUUUCAAAUCACAACCAAUUUCAGUAUUUCAACUACUUCACUUAAAUACUAAUGAAGUUCAACUAAUCAACCAUUUCAAACUAAAAACAUGUAUAGUUCAAUGUUUAACACAACCAUCACAUUCAAAUUUAUUCAUUCUAUUACUUUUUACUUCAAUUCCCUAUACAUGUCAUAUAAAUCCAAAAAGUUGUUUAACAAAAUCUACAGGAGUAAAUCUGGAUAGUGUGAUUCUUGGUGUAGAUCUGAUCCUCCGAAUGUAUAAAUACGUCAAUCUACAAGAAUCAAUAAACACACAAUUAAGCGUAUAGAAAGCUUAGUAAGUUCAUAGGCACCAAACAUAAAUCUUACCAAACAUUUAUACACUUAUACAUUAUACACCAUUACUAAGUUUACCUGUCAACCACAAUCUUUGGUGAGUUCCUUGGUAUAAACUCACUACUACUUAUUCUUUUACCAUAAUUCCUUUGGGCCCAUUUGUCACUUACCAUCCUUGAUCAAAAUUAAGGAACGGUUACGGAAAAUUGAGUACUUCACUUUCACUUUGCCAUAGUAUAACUAUGGUCUUACGUAUGAUCAAACAUCACUUGUCCUUGAUAAGAUAAGUGUAGCUAGGCAACCACUUAUCACUUUGUCACUUGAUCAGAUAAGUGCAGCUAAAGCUACCAUUUAUCACUUUAUCACCACUUAUCACUUGUUCUUGAUUAGAUAAGUGUAGCUAAAGUUACCACUUAUCACUUUGUCACCACUUAUCACUUGUUCCUAAUCAGAUAAGUGUAGCUAAAACUACCACUUAUCACUUUGUCACUUGAUCAGAUAAGUGUAGCUAAGCUAUCACUUAUCACUUUGUCACUUGAUCAGAAGUACUCAAAUCCGGUGUUCUGCUCAAUUUGAUCAUUUAUUCAGUUUUCACAUUUUUAUUUUAUUCUCAUUUCAUCAAUAAAUAUAUAUAUUUCAUCAUACAUUAUAUAAUUCAUGAAAUUAACAUUUAAUCAUUAAAUUUUAGCCAUAUGAACUUACCUGGGUUGAUUUGCUGAAUUUGUAAAAGUUUAGGGACUAAUCAGCUACUUUUUUUUUCCUCGACUUGUUUCGGGUUCUCAAUAUGAUUCAAAUAUAUGAAAAACCAACUUGGAGGGACUCUUCAAUGGUGUUUUUUGCUAAAAAAUAUGAGGAAUUGCCUAGAAACACUUUUAGUUAAGAUUUUUAUUUGUUAUUUUUUACAAAAUUUCCAAUUUUGCCCUUAUUACAUCACUUUUUCAAAUUUUUCUUCUCUUAUGUCGUCUCAACUAUUCCAUAUUGGCAUAUUUAUGCCUUAAGUCCCUCCUUAUUUACCACUUAAGCUAUUUAAUCACUUUUAACAAAUUUUACAUUAUUUUCAGUUUAAUCCUUUUUAAUUAAUUAACCACCCAAACGUUAGAAUUUUCUAACGAAAAUUUAAUACCAACUCAAUGACACUCCAUAAAUGUUUCUAAAAAUAUUUAUGGCUCGAUUUAUGAGGUUGAGGUUUCAAUACCUCAUUUUCGAUUCUAAUUAUUUUAAUAUUUAUUCUUAGUACAUUAUUCACUAUUUCAAAAAUUUUCCUAACUUCGCAUUUAACUUAUACUCACUAAAUUAAUAAUAUUUUCUACUCAUUUGUCAAAUUUAAUGAUCUCGAAUUACCAUUCCGACACCACUGAAAAUUCAGGCCAUUACAACUCUCCCCCCAUUUUGGAAAUUUCAUCACCGAAAUUUCGUACCUGAAAAUAAAUUCGGAUACUGAAAUCUCAGCAAUUCCUCUGUUUCCCAGGUUGCCUCCUCAGAUCCAUGUCGAUUCCAUAACACCUUAACUAGUGGUACAUGUUUAUUCCUCAACUCUUUAACCUUCUGAGCUAAAAUUUUCACCGGUUCCUCUGAAUAAGUCAUGUCAGGUUGAAGCUCUAUUUCCGUAUGAGGAAUUACAUGUGAUGGAUCUGAUCUGUACCGUCUCAACAUAGACACAUGAAACACAUUAUGAAUCUUUUCAAGUUCCGGGGGCAAAGCUAAUCUAUAGGUUACCGGACCGAUUCUUUCAAUGAUUUCAUACGGCCCGAUAAAUCGUGGGCUGAGUUUCCCCUUUUUGCUGAACCGCAAAACUUUCUUCCACGGUGACACUUUCAAAAAUACACGAUCACCCACAUUAAACUCUAUAUCCCUUCUCUUCAAAUUUGCAUAUGAUUUUUGCCGAUCGGAGGUAGCUUUUAAACAAUCUCGAAUAAUACGAACUUUUUCUUCAGUUUCCUGAGUCAAUUCCACUCCCACUAGUUUCGAUUCACUUAAUUCAGACCAAUAUAAUGGAGUUCUACACUUUCUUCCAUACAAAGCUUCAAACGGUGCCAUUUUAAUGCUAGUUUGAUAACUAUUAUUAUAAGCAAAUUCGGCUAAAGGUAAAUACCUUUCCCAGCUACCGCCGAACUCAAGUAUACAACACCUUAACAUAUCUUCUAAAAUCUGAAUCACUCGCUCUGACUGCCCAUCUGUCUAGGGAUGAAAAGCUGUGUUGAAAUUUAAUUUGGUGCCUAAAGCUUCCUGUAAUUUACUCUAAAAUCUCGAGGUAAAUCUCGGAUCUUGAUCUGAAAUAAUAGAUGUCGGUACCCCAUGUAACCUCACUAUCUCAGACACAUAUAACUCCGCUAACUUUUCAAGCUGAUAAUCUGCUCUGACUGGAAUAAAAUGUGCUGACUUAGUUAACCGAUCAACAAUCACCCAUAUUGAAUGUUUCUUCUUCAGAGUUACUAGUAAUCCAGAUACAAAAUCCAUCGUAACAUGUUCCCAUUUCCAAUCUGGAAUCAUAAUGGGCUGUAACAACCCUGUCGGCACUUGAUGCUCAGCUUUCACCUGUUGACAGAUCAAACAUCUUGCUACAUACUCAAAGAUUUCCCGUUUCAUUCCGGGCCACCAAUACAUUUUCUUCAAAUCACAAUACAUUUUUGUACUACCCGGGUAAAUAGAACACAUACUACUGUGAGCCUCUGAUAAAAUAUCAUUUUUCAAGUUUAAAUUAUUCGGAAUACAUAUUCUAUUACGAUAAUAUAACAUACCAUUUUCAUCAAUGGAGUAUUCUGAGCUUAACUUAUCUUGAACCAUCUGUCGCUUUAUCAUCAAUUUUGGGUCAUCAUCCUAUAACUCCCGAAUCCGUUGAAAGAACACGGGUUUAGCCUUUAAUUCUGCUAGUACAGAACCAUCCUCAUUAAUAGAUAAAUGAGCAUUCAAUGCCCGUAGUGCAAAUAAUGAUGAUUUCCGACUAAGCGCAUCUGCUGCGGCAUUUGCUUUCCCUGGGUGAUAGUCAAUGACAAGAUCAUAAUCUUUCAGCAACCCCAACCAUCGUCUCUGUGUCAAAUUUAACUCUUUCUGAGUCAUUAAAUACUUCAAGCUUUUAUGAUCAGUAUACACGUAACAUUUCUCACCAUAUAAGUACUCUCCAUAUCUUCAAAGCAAACACGAUCGCUGCCAAUUCCAAAUCAUGUGUAGGAUAAUUCUUGUCGUGCGGUUUCAGUUGCCAAGAAGCAUAUGCCACCACUUUGCCUGACUGAAUAAGUACACAGCCCAACCCAUUUACAGAUGCAUCACUAUAUACUACAAACGGUACACCCGAUUCUGGUUGAGUCAACACUGGAGCCUCUGUCAACAUCUUUUUCAACUGAUCGAAACUCCGCUGACAUUCAUCUAACCAUAUAAAUUCAACAUUCUUUUGUAGCAAUCGAGUUAACGGUAAGGUAAUCAUUGAGAAAUCUUUGACAAAUCGACGAUAAUAACCUGCCAAUCGUAGAAAACUCUGCACUUCAGUCACAUUCUUCGGAACUUUCCAAUUUAUCACUGCCGCUACCUUACUUGGAUCCACUCUUAUUCCAUCAGCUGAUACAAUAUGACCCAAAAAUGCAACUUCAUGGAGCCAAAAUUCACAUUUGCUGAAUUUGGCAUACAAUUGUUUCUCCCACAAAGUCUGUAAUACAAUCAUUAGAUGUUGUGCAUGUUCGGACUCUGUCUUUGAAUAAAUCAAUAUAUCGUCAAUGAACACAACCACAAAUCUAUCCAAAUAUGACUGAAAAAUUCUAUUCAUCAAAUCCAUAAAAGCAGCAGGGGCAUUGGUUAAACCAAAUGGCAUCACCAAAAAUUCAAAAUGACCAUAUCGAGUUCGAAAGGCAGUUUUCGGCACUUCACACUCUUUAACUUUCAACUGAUAAUACUCGGAUCGAAGAUCUAUCAUGGAAAAUACUGUAGCACCUUUCAACUGAUCAAACAAAUCAUCAAUAUGAGGCAAAGGAUUUUUAUUCUUUACUGUUACCUUAUUCAACUGUCUGUAAUCUAUACACAGUCUUAAAAAACCGUCCUUCAUUUUCACAAACAAGACAGGUGUACCCCAGGGCGACAUACUCGGUCUGAUGAACCCUUUAUCUAAUAACUCCUGCAGCUGCGCCUUCCGUUCUUUUAACUCGACUGGAGCCAUUCUGUAUGGUGUCAUUGAGAUAGGAGUUGUUCCGGGGAUCACAUCAAUUACAAAUUCAACUUCUCUAUCAGGUGGUAGACCGGGUAACUCUUCAGGGAACAUAUCAGGGAAUUCAUUCACCAUUGGCACUUGUUCGAGCUUCAAACCAGAACCCUGAGUAUCCAGGAUAUAGGCCAAGAAUGCUUCGUUGCCUUUGUGUAAUAACCUCUGAGCAGAGAGAGCUAAAAUAAUUCUGACUGUAUCACCCAGAUUUUCAGACCCAACUGAGAUUAUAUCUCCCGUUUGACAUUUCAAACUGAUUUGUUUAUCACGAUAAUUCACUACCGCAUCAUGUCUCAUUAACCAGUCCAUCCCCAGAAUAAUGUCAAAUUCCCGAAAAGGUAACAACAUCAAAUCAGCGAGGAAUUCAUAGCCUUUCACUUUCAGUGGACAAUUACGACAUAUCAAAUUAACCAUCACACUUUGACCUAAUGGGUUUGUGACUUGUAUAUCAAAUUCAGUGGACUCAACAGAUAAUUUCUUUUUAGAUGCUAACAUAGUGCAAAUAUAUGAAUGAGUAGAUCCAGGGUCUAUCAAUGCAUAAACAAUAACAUCAUAAAGAUAGAAAGUACCAGCAAUUACAUCAGGAGCCGUAGCCUCUUUCCUUGCUCGAAUGGCGUAGGUACGUGCUGGUGCUCUAUUCUCUGAUCGACCAACUGAUUCCCUCGUACCCGAACGGGUAGUCCCUGUAGCACUGCUCUGGCCCGAACGUCUACUUUUUUGGGGAAUGGUUCUCUGUAUUUCUUUCUGUUCCACUUCAUCUUUUUACAGUCGGGAACAAUCUCGAAUAAGAUGAUUAGUACCCUCACAUUUUUAACAAGCCCCUAUCUUGGUCCUGCAUUCUCUGAAAUGAUAUCUUCCACAAUAUUGACACUUAGGCCGGGGAGCAUUCUGAACACUGCUCACACUUGCUGGAGGUCUAUCGAAUACCCUGAAAUCAGAUUGUCUUGGUCUAUCUCUACCCGAUCUUCUCGACAGUGAUGUAGUUCGACUAAUUUCUUCUCUAGAUUUGUUCACUGGUAAAUCUAAAAAUGACUUAGAAGCACCUCUUUUGAAUGGCUCUUUACUUUUUCGAUCCCGCUACAUUUUUCUGUUGUAUACUUCUUCGAGCUUUUGAGCACGGUCUGACAGAACAGGGAACUCUCGUAUUUCAUUACCCCCAAUCAUCAUUCUAAUUUCAUCAUUUAACCCUUCUUCAAACCUGAUACACAUUUCUUCUUUAAUAAGUACAAUGUCUCGGGCAUAUUUGCUGAGGUAGACAAAUUCUCUUUCGUAUUCAGCCACUGAUUUAUCUCCCUGGCGUAGGUCGAGAAAUUCCCUUUUAUUUUUAUCCAAAUACCGUCUGCCCACAUAUUUCUUCUUAAAUUCAUUUUGGAAAAAUUCCCAAUAAAUUUUCUCUGUCGGAACCACAUCCUCAAUCGUCUCCCACCAACUAUAAGCUUCUUCUUUCAAUAGAGACACAACACAACUCAAAUAAUCAUCUAGUGAGCAAACCAUUUCUUUAAAAAUUCUUAUUAAACUCUGUAACCAAUAUUCAGCUUUGACGGGAUCUUUAUCAGUCCUUCCCCGAAAUUCUUCGGCUCCAAGUUUUUUAAGCCUUUCCAAUGGAGAACGCUUUCUGGAUUCAGUCGUUGUAAAAGGUGGAGGAGCAACCGGGUGUGCCACCGAUGGAGCAGUAGGGGGAGGAGGUGGUUCAGCCUGAUUUCUUUCUUGCCUCAUUUCAGUAUAUCAUUGAUUCAUAAUCCCAUAAAUCAUAUUCUUUAACUCUUGCUCUCGCAUUUGGGAGAUCGGAACAUCACUGCUUGUUCUUUGUUUAGAAUUAUGUAUUCUACUAUUAACUUCUUCUUUCUCAGUACGUUUAGGUAUAUCUGACAUCUCCAUAACCGGAGAAUAUCUACUAUUAACUUCUUCUUACUGGAUUCAGUCGUUGUAAGAGGUGGAGAAGCAACCGGGGGUACCACCGAUGGAGCAGUAGGCAGAGGAGGUGGUUCAGCCUGAUUUCUUUCUUGCCUCAUUUCAGUAUACCACUGAUUCAUAAUCCCAUAAAUCAUAUUCUUUAACUCUUGCUCCCGUAUUUGGGAGAUCAGAACACCACUGCUUGUUCUUUGUUCAGAAUUAUGUAUUCUACUAUUAACUUCUUCUUGCUCAGUACGUUCAGGUAUAUCUGACAUCUCUAUAACCGGAGAAUAUCUAUAAAAAUAACAAAGAUUAGAUCGCAUCAUACGCAUUACACUAUCACAGAUUUAUAUGGCAUGUAUUUCUAAACACUUUACACUUUACACAUAUUCCGAGAACCGGCUAAACCUGGAUCUGAUACCAAUAAAAUGUAACACCCUUUACCUGAGACCGUUUCCAGAGUCGAGCAUGAGGCGUUACUUGACUUAACUUAAAAGUUCAGGGCAUAAAAAAUUACUUUCAAAAUUAAUUUCACCAUUCACAAUAAAGCUGUCCACCCACGCAGCAAUCUCUAAAUUAAUUAUAACUCAAGAUGCGAAACUCGAAAUUUAGAUCUGUAUAUUUUACCUAAAACUAGACUCAUAUAUCUAUUCACUACAAAAUUUUCAGACUUUUUGGUUUGGCAAAUUAGUACAGUUUAUUAAUUGAAGUCUCCCCUGUUUCACUAAUAGACUAUCCUGACCUCUCGUCACUAAAAUUCAAUUAUCUCAUUAUACAAACUUGACUUGGUGCUUUCAAUUAUUUUUACUUAAAAUAGACUCAUUAAGGAAUUUAAACAUAUAAUUUAUAACUCAUAAUUCAUUUUGUACAAUUUUUAAUGAAUUUCUAAAGUCAAAAUAGGGGACUUCAAAAUCAUUCUGACUCUGUCUCACUAAAAUUCAAAUAUCUAAAAGUAUAUAACUCUUUUGCUUACUCUAUUGCUUUAAUGUGAAAGUAGGCUCAUUCAGCUUUAAUUUCAUCUCUCACUCAACUUAUAAUUCUAAGUCCACAUUUUUGGUGAUUUUUCAAAGUUACAUCAAUACUGCUGUCCAAAAACUGUUCCAUUGAAAUUUUUUUAAAAAAUUUCAAUAUAACCCUUUUAUAAUUAUCUAACCUUCCCUGCAAAUUUUAAAUCACAACCAAUUUCAGUAUUUCAACCACUUCACUUAAAUACUAAUGAAGUUCAACCAAUCAACCAUUUCAAACUAAAAACAUGCAUAGUUCAAUGUCUAACACAACCAUCACAUUCAAAUUUACUUUGCAUAUUUAGAUAUUCAUUCUUUUACUUUUUACUUCAAUUCCCUAUACAUGUCAUAUAAAUCCAAAAAGUUGUUUAACAAAAUCUACCGGAGUAAAUCUUGAUAGUGUGAUUCUUGGUGUAGAUCCGAUCCUCUGAAUGUAUAAAUACGUCAAUCUACAAGAAUCAAUAAACGCACAAGUAGGCUUAAUAAACACACAAGUAAGCUUAUAGAAAGCUUAGUAAGUUCAUAGGCACCAAACAUAAAACUUACCAAACAUUUAUACACUUAUACAUUAUACACCAUUACUAAGUUUACCUGUCAACCACAUUCUUUGGUGAGUUCCUUGGUAUAAACUCACUAAUACUUAUUCUUUUACCAUAAUUCCUUUGGGCCCAUUUGUCACUUACCAUCCUUGAUCAAAAUUAAGGAACGGUUACGGAAAAUUGAGUACUUCACUUUCACUUUGCCAUAGUAUAAAUAUGGUCUUACGUAUGAUCACUUAUCACUUGUCCUUGAUCAGGUUAGUGUAGCUAGGCUACCACUUAUCACUUGUUCCUGAUCAGAUAAGUGUAGCUAAGCUAUCACUUGUCACUUUGUCACUUGAUCAAAAGUACUCAAAUCCGGUGUUCCGCUCAAUUUGAUCACUUAUUCAGUUUGCGCAUUUUUAUUUUAUUCUCAUUUCAUCAAUAAAUAUAUAUAUAUAUUUCACCAUACAUUAUAUAAUUCAUGAAAUUAACAUUUAAUCAUUAAAUUUCAUCCAUAUGAACUUACCUAGGUCGAUUUUCUGAAUUUGUAAAAGUUCAAGGACUAAUCAGCUACUUUUUCUUUUCCUCGACUUGUUUCGGGUUCUCGAUAUGAUUCAAAUAUAUGAAAAACUAGCUUGGAGGGACUCUUCAAUGGCGUUUUUUGCUGAGAAAUAUGAUGAAUUGCCUAGAAACUCUUUUAGUUAAGAUUUUUAUUUGUUAACUUUUACAAAAUUUCUAAUUUUGCCCUUAUUACAUCACUUUUUCAGAUUUUUCUUCUCUUAUGCCGUCUCAACUAUUCCAUAUUAGCAUAUUUAUGCCUUAAGUCCCUCCUUAUUUACCACUUAAGCUGUUUAAUCACUUUUAACAAAUUUUACAUUAUUUUCAGUUUAGUCAUUUUUAAUUAAUUAACCACCAAAACGUUAGAAUUUUCUAACGAAACUUUAAUACCAACUCAAUGACACUCUAUAAAUGUUUCUAAAAAUAUUUAUGGCUCGAUUGAUGAGUUUGAGGUUUCGAUACCUCAUUUUCGACUCUAAUUAUUUUAAUAUUUAUUCUUAGUACACUAUUCACUAUUUCAAAAAUUUUCCUAACUUCGCAUUUAACUUAUACUCACUAAAUUAAUAAUAUUUUCUACUCAUUUGUCAAAUUUAAUGAUCUCGAAUUACCAUUCCGACACCACUGAAAAUUCAGGCCAUUACAACUCUCCCCCCAUUUUGGAAAUUUCGUCCCCGAAAUUUCGUACCUGAAAAUAAAUUCGAAUACUGAAAUCUCAUCAAUUCCUCUGUUUCCCAGGUUGCCUCCUCAGAUCCAUGUCGAUUCCAUAACACCUUAACUAGUGGUACAUGUUUAUUCCUCAACUCUUUAACAUCCCAAGCUAAAAUUUUCACCGGUUCCUCUGAAUAAGUCAUGUCAGGUUGAAGCUCUAUUUCCGUAUGAGGAAUUACAUGUGAUGGAUCUGAUUUGUACCGUCUCAACAUAGACACAUGAAACACAUUAUGAAUCUUUGCAAGUUCCGGGGGCAAAGCUAAUCUAUAGGUUACCAGACCGAUUCUUUCAAUGAUUUCAUACGGCCCGAUAAAUCGUGGGCUGAGUUUUCCCUUUUUGCUGAACCGCAAAACUUUCUUCCACGGUGACAGUUUCAAAAAUACACGAUCACCCACAUUAAACUCUCUAUCCCUUCUCUUCAAAUCUGCAUAUGAUUUUUGCUGAUCGGAGGCAGCUUUUAAGCAAUCUCGAAUAAUACGAACUUUUUCUUCAGUUUCCUGAGUCAAUUCCACUUCCACCAGUUUCAAUUCACUUAAUUUAGACCAAUAUAAUGAAGUUCUACACUUUCUUCCAUACAAAGCUUCAAACGGUGCCAUUUUAAUGCUAGUUUGAUAACUAUUAUUAUAAGCAAAUUCGGCUAAAGGUAAAUACCUUUCCCAGCUACCGCCGAACUCAAGUAUACAACACCUUAACAUAUCUUCUAAAAUCUGAAUCACUCGCUCUGACUGCCCAUCUGUCUGGGGAUGAAAAGCUGUGUUGAAAUUUAAUUUGGUGCCUAAAGCUUCCUGUAAUUUACUCUAAAAUCUCGAGGUAAAUCUCGGAUCUCGAUCUGAAAUAAUAGAUGUCGGUACCCCAUGUAACCUCACUAUCUCAGACACAUAUAACUCCGCUAACUUUUCAAGCUGAUAAUCUGCUCUGACUGGAAUAAAAUGUGCUGAUUUAGUUAACCGAUCAACAAUCACCCAUAUCGAAUCUUUCUUCUUCGAAGUUACUGGUAAUCCGGAUACAAAAUCCAUCGCAACAUGUUCCUAUUUCCACUCUGGAAUCAUAAUGGGCUGUAACAACCCUGUCGGCACUUGAUGCUCAGCUUUCACCUGUUGGCAGAUCAAACAUCUUGCUACAUACUCACAGAUUUCCCAUUUAAUUCCGGGCCACCAAUACAUUUUCUUCAAAUCACAAUACAUUUUUGUACUAACCCGGUGAAUAGAACACAUACUACUGUGAGCCUCUGAUAAAAUAUCAUUUUUCAAGUUUAAAUUAUUCGGAAUACAUAUUCUAUUACGAUAAUAUAACAUACCAUUUUCAUCAAUGGAGUAUUCUGAGCUUAACUUAUCUUGAACCAUCUGUCGUUUUAUCAUCAAUUUUGGGUCAUCAUCCUGUAACUCUUGAAUCCAUUGAAAGAACACGGGUUUAGCCUUUAAUUCUGCUAGUACAGAACCAUCCUCAUUAAUAGAUAAAUGAGCAUUCAAUGCCCGUAGUGCAAAUAAUGAUGAUUUCUGACUAAGUGCAUCUGCUGCGGCAUUUGCUUUCCCUGGGUGAUAGUCAAUGACAAGAUAAUAAUCUUUCUGCAACUCUAACCAUCGUCUCUAUCUCAAAUUUAACUCUUUCUGAGUCAUUAAAUACUUUAAGCUUUUAUGAUCAGUAUACACGUAACAUUUCUCACCAUAUAAGUAGUGUCUCCUUAUCUUCAAAGCAAACACGAUCGCUGCCAAUUCAAAAUCAUGUGUAGGAUAAUUCUUGUCGUGCGGUUUCAGUUGCCGAGAAGCAUAUGCCACCACUUUGCCUGACUGAAUAAGUACACAGCCCAACCCAUUUACAGAUGCAUCACUAUAUACUACAAAUGGUACACCCGAUUCUGGUUGAGUCAACAUUGGAGCCUCUGUCAACAUCUUUUUCAACUGAUCAAAACUCCGCUGACAUUUAUCUGACCAUAUAAAUUCAACAUUCUUUUGUAGAAAUCGAGUCAACUGUAAGGUAAUCAUUGAGAAAUCUUUGAUAAAUCGACAAUAAUAACAUGCCAAUCGUAGAAAACUCCACACUUCAAUAACAUUCUUCGGAACUUUCCAAUUUACCAUUGCCGCUACCUUACUUGGAUCGACUCUUAUUCCAUCAGCUGAUACAAUAUGACCCAAAAAUGCAACUUCAUGGAGCCAAAAUUCUCAUUUGCUAAAUUUGGCAUACAAUUGUUUCUCUCACAAAGUCUGUAAUACAAUCCUUAGAUGUUGUGCAUGUUCGGACUCUGUCUUUGAAUAAAUCAAUAUAUCGUCAAUGAACAACCACAAAUCUAUCCAAUUAUGACUGAAAAAUUCUAUUCAUCAAAUCCAUAAAAGCAGCAAGGGCAUUGGUUAAACCAAAUGGCAUCACCAAAAAUUCAUAAUGACCAUAUCGAGUUUGGAAGGCAGUUUUCGGCACAUCACACUCUUUAACUUUCAACUGAUAAUACCCAGAUUGAAGAUCUAUCUUGGAAAAUAUUGCAGCACCUUUCAACUGAUCAAAUAAAUCAUCAAUAUGAGGCAAAGGAUAUUUAUUCUUUACUGUUACCUUAUUCAACUGCCUGUAAUCUAUACACAGUCUUAGAGAACCGUCCUUUUUUUUCACAAACAAGACAGGUGCACCCCAGGGCGACAUACUCAGUCUGAUGAACCAUUUCUCUAAUAACUCCUGUAACUGCGCCUUCAACUCUUUUAACUCGGCUGGAGCCAUUCUGUACGGUGUCAUUGAGAUAGGAGUUGUUCCGGCGAUCACAUCAAUUACAAAUUCAACUUCUUUAUCAGGUGGUAGACCGGGUAACUCUUCAGGGAACACAUUAGGGAAUUCAUUCACUACUGGCACUUGUUUGAGCUUCAAACCAGAACCCUGAGUAUCCAUGAUAUAGGCCAAGAAUGCUUCGUUGCCUUUGCGUAAUAACCUCUGAGCAGGGAGAGCUGAAAUAAUUCUGACUGUAUCACCCAUAUUUUCAGACCCAACUGAGAUUAUAUCUCCCGUUUGACAUUUCAAAUUGAUCUGUUUAUCACGACAAUUCACUACCGCAUCAUGUCUCACUAACCAGACCAUCCCAAGAAUAAUGUCAAAUUCUCGAAAAGGUAACAACAUCAAAUCAGCGGGGAAUUCAUAGCCUUUCACUUUUAAUGGACAAUUACGACAUAUCAAAUUAACCAUCACACUUUGACCUAAUGGGUUUGUGACUUGUAUAUCAAAUUCAAUGGACUUAACAAAUAAUUUCUUUUCAGAUGCUAACAUAGUGCAAAUAUAUGAAUGAGUAGAUCUAGGGUCUAUCAAUGCAUAAACAAUAACAUCAUAAAGAUAGAAAGUACCAACAAUUACAUCAGGAGCCGUAGCCUCUUCCCUUGCUCGAAUGGCGUAGGUACGUGCUGGUGCUCUAUUCUUUGAUCGACCAACUGAUUCCCUCGUACCCGAACGGGUAGUCCCUGUAGCACUGCUCUGGCCCGAAUGUCUACUUCUUUGGGGAAUGGUUCUCUGUAUCUCUUUCUGUUCCACUUCAUCUUUUUACAGUCGGGGACAAUCUCGAAUAAGAUGAUUAGUAGCCCUACAUUUUUAACAAGCCCCCAUCUUGGUCCUGCAUUCUCCGAAAUGAUAUCUUCCACAAUAUUGACACUUAGGCCGGGGAGCAUUCUGAACACCGCUCACACUUGCUGCAGGUCUAUCGAAUACCCUGAAAUCAGAUUGUCUUGGUCUAUCUCUACCCGAUCUUCCCAACAUUAAUGUAGUUCGACUAAUUUCUUCUCUAGAUUUCUUCACUGGCAAAUCUAAAAAUGACUUAGAAGCACCUCUUUUGAAUGGCUCUUUACUUUUUCGAUCCCGCUGCAUUUUUCUGUUGUAUACUUCUUCGAGCUUUUGAGCACGGUCUGACAGAACAACGAACUCUCGUAUUUCAUUACCCCCAAUCAUCAUUCUAAUUUCAUCAUUUAACCCUUCUUCAAACCUGAUACACAUUUCUUCUUUAGUAGGUACAAUGUCUCGGGCAUAUUUGCUGAGGUAAACAAAUUCUCUUUCGUAUUCAGCCACUGAUUUAUUUCCCUGGCGUAGGUCGAGAAAUUCCCUUUUAUUUUUAUCCAAAUACCGUCUGCCCACAUAUUUCUUCUUAAAUUCAUUUUGGAAAAAUUCCCAAUAAAUUUUCUCUGCUGGAACCACAGCCUCAAUCGUCUCCCACCAACUAUAAGCUUCUUCUUUCAAUAGGGACACAGCACAUCUCAAAUAAUCAUCUGGUGAGCAAACCAUUUCUUUAAAAAUUCUUAUCAAACUUUGUAACCAAUAUUCAGCUUUGACGGGAUCUUCAUUAGUCCUUCCUGAAAUUCUUCGGCUCCAAGUUUUUUAAGCUUUUCCAAUAGAGAACGCUUACUAGAUUCAGUCGUUGUAGGAGGUGGAGGAGUAACCGGGGGUACCAUCGAUGGAGCAGUAGGGGGAGGAGGUGGUUCAGCAUGAUUUCUUUCUUGCCUCAUUUCAAUAUACCACUGAUUCAUAAUCUCAUAAAUCAUAUUCUUUAAUUCUUGCUCUCGCAUUUGGGAGAUCGGAACAUCACUGCUUGUUCUUUGUUCAGAAUUAUGUAUUCUACUAUUAACUUAUUCUUACUUAGUUCGUUCAGGUAUAUCUGACAUCUUUAUAACUGGAGAAUAUCUAUAAAAAUAACAAAGAUUAGAUCGGAUCAUACGCAUCACACUAUCACAGAUUUAUAUGGCAUGUAUUUCUAAACACUUUACACUUCACACAUAUUCCGAGAACCGGCUAAACCGGGAUCUGAUACCAAUAAAAUAUAACACCCUUUACCCAAGACCGUUGCCCGAGUCGAGCAUGAGGCGUUACUUGACUUAACUUAAAAGUUCAGGGCAUAAAAAUUUACUUUCAAAAUUAAUUUCACCAUUCACAAUAAAGCUGUCCACCUGCGCAGGAGUCACUAAAUCAAUUAUAACUCAAGCUACGAAACUCAAAAUUUAGAUCCGUAAAUUUUCCCUAAAACUAGACUCAUAUAAAUAUUCACCAUAAAUUUUUAAGAAUUUUUAGUUUAUCCAAUUAGUAUAGUUUAUUAGUUUAAGUCUCCCUUGUUUCACUAAUAGACUACCCUGACCUCUCGUCACUAAAAUUCAAUUAUCUCCUUAUACAGACUUGACAUGGUGCUUCCAAUUAUUUUUACUUAAAAUAUACUCAUUAAGGAAUUUAAAAAUAUAAUUUAUAACUCAUAAUUACUUUUUUACAAUUUUUAUUGAAUUUCUAAAUUCAGAACAGGGGACUUCAAAAUCAUUCUGACCCUGUCUCACUAAAAUUCAAAUAUCUAAAAGUAUAUAACUCUUUUGCUUACUCUAUUGCUUUCAUGUGAAAGUAUACUCAUUCAGAUUUAAUUUCAUAUCUCACUUAACUUAUAAUUCUAUUUCCACUAUUUUUGGUGAUUUUUCACAGUUACAUCAAUGCUGCUGUCCAAAAACUGUUCCAUUGAAAUUUUUAAAAAAAAUUCAAUAUAACCCCUUUAUAAUUAUCUAACCUUCCCUGCAAAUUUCAAAUCACAACCAAUUUCAGUAUUUCACCUACUUCACUUAAAUACUAAUGAAGUUCAACCAAUCAACCAUUUCAAACUAAAAACAUGUAUAGUUCAAUGUCUAACACAACCAUCAUAUUCAAAUUUACUUUGCAUACUUAGUCAUUCAUUCUAUUACUUUUUACUUCAAUUCCCUAUACAUGCCAUAUAAAUCCAAAAAGUUGUUUAACAAAAUCUACCAGAGUAAAUCUAGAUAGUGUGAUUCUUGGUGUAGAUCCGAUCCUCCGAAUGUAUAAAUACGUCAAUCUACAAGAAUCAAUAAACACAUAAUUAAGCUUAUAGAAAGCUUAGUAAGUUCAUAGGCACCAAACAUAAAUCUUACCAAACAUUUAUACACUUAUACAUUAUACACCAUUACUAAGUUUACCUGUCAACCACAAUCUUUGGUGAGUUCCUUGUUAUAAACUCACUACUACUUAUUCUUUUACCAUAAUUCCUUUGGGCCCAUUUGUCACUUACCAUCCUUGAUCAAAAUUAAGGAACGGUUACGGAAAAUUGAGUACUUCACUUUCACUUUGCCAUAGUAUAACUAUGGUCUUACAUAUGAUCACUUAUCACUUGUCCUUGAUAAGAUAAGUGUAGCUAGGCUACCACUUAUCACUUUGUCACUUGAUCAGAUAAUUGUAGCUAAAGCUACCACUUAUCACUUUAUCACCACUUAUCACUUGUUCCUGAUCAGAUAAGUGUAGCUAAAACUACCACUUAUCACUUUGUCACCACUUAUCACUUGUUCCUGAUCAGAUAAGUGUAGCUAAAGCUACCACUUAUCACUUUGUCACUUGAUCAGAUAAGUGUAGCUAAGCUAUCACUUAUCACUUUGUCACUUGAUCAGAAGUACUCAAAUUCGGUGUUCCGCUCAAUUUGAUCAUUUAUUCAGUUUUCACAUUUUUAUUUUAUUCUCAUUUCAUCAAUAAAUAUAUAUAUUUCAGCAUACAUUAUAUAAUUCAUGAAAUUAACAUUUAAUCAUUAAAUUUCAGCCAUAUGAACUUACCUGGGUCGAUUUAUUGAAUUUGUAAAAGUUCAGGGACUAAUCAGCUACUUUUUCUUUUCCUCGACUUGUUUCGGGUUCUCAAUAUGAUUCAAAUAUAUGAAAAACCAGCUUGGAUGGACUCUUCAAUGGCGUUUUUUGCUGAGAAAUAUGAUGAAUUGCCUAGAAACUCUUUUAGUUAAGAUUUUUAUUUGUUAACUUUUACAAAAUUUCCAAUUUUGCCCUUAUUACAUCACUUUUUCAGAUUUUUCUUCUCUUAUGCCGUCUCAACUAUUCCAUAUUAGCAUAUUUAUGCCUUAAGUCCCUCCUUAUUUGCCACUUAAGCUGUUUAAUCACUUUUAACAAAUUUUACAUUAUUUUCAGUUUAGUCCUUUUUAAUUAAUUAACCACCCAAACGUUAGAAUUUUCUAACGAAACUUUAAUAUCAAUUCAAUGACACUCUAUAAAUGUUUCUAAAAAUAUUUAUGGCUCGAUUGAUGAGUUUGAGGUUUCGAUACCUCAUUUUUUAUUCUAAUUAUUUUAAUAUUUAUUCUUAGUAUACUAUUCACUAUUUUAAAAAUUUUCCUAACUUCGCAUUUAACUUAUACUCACUAAAUUAAUAAUAUUUUCUACUCAUUUGUCAGAUUUAGUGAUCUAGAAUUACCAUUCCGACACCACCGAAAAUUCAGGCCAUUACAUUAUGUUUAUUGACUCAUUUUUUCUGUUGACUGAAUUUCAGGUAACUCAUCGACUUAGGCGGGUCGGCAUGGCGAGAGCUCGGUCAUCCUUAUUUAGUAAUUUUCUGUUUAAAUUAAACUUAUGCUAUAGUUGUUUUAUCUUGAAUUACAGAUUGCAAAUUUAUAUUUCUACACUAGUUCAACUAUUUAAACAUUUUCUGACAAUUAAACUUUAAUUAGUUAAAAGUGAGAAUUUCUUAAAUGAUUUGUUGUAGCUUUCCAAGCUUGGUCCUAACAUCUAGGUCGGGUUUGGGGUGUUACAACCCAAAACCCCCAAACUUUCCCCUCAAAACUUUUACUCCCCCACCCUUUCUCUUUCUCGCUCACCCUCCCAAACCCUUUUACUUUUCCCCCAAAACUUUUACUUCCCACUUUUACCCCCAAAUCAAAAAUCAAAAUCCUCCCAAAAAAAUCCUUAAACCUAAAUAGUAAUAAUUUUAUUUAUGGCCACUAUUUAUAUUAUAAAUUAAAUUUCACAUUUUCUAUUAUUUAUAUUAUUAAAUUGUUUAAUCAUUUUGAAUCUUUAUCAAUUUCUGUUAAAACUGUAUCAUUGAUGAUGUCAUACAUUAUUUGUGUUAAAAAUUUCUAUUGGUAUCAAUUUCACAUUUUAUCUUUAAAAUAAAUUUUAUUAAAAAAAUUACUUUUUUACAUUUAAUAUAUUUUUUAAUUUCAAAAUAUAUGGUGACAAGAAUUAGAAGAUAAUUGAAGCAACUAAGCAAGUAAAAAAGCUAACAUGUAUAUAAAAGAUUAAAUAAAUUAUGAAGGGAUGAAAGUUAAUAACACAUUUGAUUACGGUGGACAAAUUUGAUAAUGAUGGGUGACAGUGGCUACAAGGAUCCAAAGUAAUUUUUUCAAUUAACUGGAAACAAAUAUAUUCGAUUCGAUUCGAUAAAAUUUGAAAUCAUUUUAGGAUGAUAAAAUAAGAUUCGUCAACUCGAUUAACUCGAAGUUUUUUCAUUUGAUUCGAUUAGACGCUCACCCCUACAAAGUAUGACCGAUUGGUCUGAUUCUGAAAAAAAUUGGUUUUGAUCAAUGAAAGAACUUUUACGAUGGCGACAGGUCUAACAAACAGGUGAUAUUUUGAAAAGAAAAUUAAUCUCCAUAGUCUCAACCUUAGGAGGGUGAAUUUUGAGCAUUGCAUUUGUUGUCAUUGUUAGACAUUAUAAAGGAAGAAAAAAGAAAGAAAAAAGUUAAAAUGAGGGAAAUUAUUGAAAAAAAGAGAGAAGAGAAUAAUUAAUUUUUUUUAAAAUUUUACAUGUCAAUCUAUUAUUGAUUAGAUUUUUUUAAUGAGUGUAACAUUUUGGUGUUAAAUGGAUAAUAAAAAAAUAUUUUAAGUAUCAUUUAUGAUAAAAAUAUUUAGGUAUCAAUUUGAAAAAAAUAUGUAGCUUAGAUACUAAUUGAUGGGUUAAUUUUUUUAGCUUAAUAAUUUGAUUAAACCGAAAUACCAACUGAAAAAAAGUUUACUCGCCGCUUAUGAAAAAAAAUAAGUAUGAAUUUGUAAGUUAAAUCUCCCUAAAAGAAAAAAUAUAUCACAUUCAAUACGGGGUGAAUGAAGCAAUGAAUGCAAUGGGGUAUUACAACCAGCCACAUGUCAUUCAAUUCAUGUUAUAUCUACCUUGUUGGCCCCACAGGCGGUCUUUUCCAUUAUUUUCGAAGUGAACGACAUGAGUCGGACCUAUAUCGGCCCCAACAAACAACCUCAACCACUUGUUUUGUUAGGUUGUUGACUAAUUUGAAUAUGUCGGCUCAAAGCUUUUUGAAAAUUAAAUUAUUUUUUAUAUUAAUAUCAUAUAGGUAUAAAAAUUUAACGUUUUGUAAAAAAAAUAAAUUUAGUGUUAAAUUUAAAUAAUUAUAAAAAAUUAUACAAAAUACAAAGACAACUUAGAGUCAAUAAAAAAAAUAUGGAAAAUCAAUUCAUACAUGAAAUGGCAUAAAAAUAUUAUGAACACUAUACAAAUAUAUGAAUGUUUUUAUAUCUAUAUAAAAUAAGUUAUUAACGCUUAAAUUUCAACCAAUUAAAUAUUAAUUUAACUAUAAACUAUAAAAAAUUAAAAUUUCAUUUACCCUAAACAAUUAUUCUAAUUUCGCCCCUGUAUAAAAUAGUUGUAAUAUUAAAAAAAAAGUUAUACGAAUAUGGAGUGUUAAAAAAAAAGGCUUUCAACUUUUAAUAUUCCAAACAAAUAAAAGAAAUAAUAAUAACAGUUUACAAGUGCAAUAAAAGUAAUACAUAUUUGAUGAAUUAAAAAUAGAAUAAAUAUAACUAACUAUAACAGAAAUAUAUUUAGAUUUAAACCAAAUUUUUUUGAAGAUGAAAUUUGAACUCACAAAUAAUAUUUAUAAAUGAUGAUAUGUUUUAGAACAUGUAUAUUUUAAUUUCAUUUGAUAUUUAAAUUAAAUGAAUGAAAUGAGUAUAUUAGCAUAAAUAUAUUGAAUUUCUAGAUUUAUUAAAAAUCCAACUAAAUAGAGUAGAUCCAUAAAUUUAAAAAAUGAUUAUGGAUUUUGAAAUAUAAAUCUAAAAUUUAAAAUCUGAAACCCUCCUAAAUGUUUUCCAAAGUAAGGCGGGGAUAAAUGGUAUAGGGAAGACGGUGGGUAGAUAGAUGUACGGUUUAUUUAUAACUUCGUUUUUAUUAGUCGGCUUACAGUUUCAUAAAAAGCAUCCGUGCAAGGCAUGUUCAAAUGCUGCACUAGCAUACCACUACUAUAAAAAAAACACAUACAAGAGCACCACAAAUUUAUCCCAAAAUACAUUAAAUAAAUGACUCCUAAGGGUGCCAGAUUUAACUAGUGUGUCUGGGAUUGUAUUAGCCUCUCUGAGGCCAUGUGAAAAAAUUUAAUGUUAUUGUUAUAUUUCCAUCUCGAUACGUUGCAAGACAUGAAGCAAUCUGUAAACAACUCUCUUUUGGAAGCAGUUUGCAUACGACUCUUCGCUAAGAACCAUUUGUUGUGAUCUUUCGCUUAGGAUUGCUCACAAAUGACCCCCAUGCACCCUAUCUCUCUCCCUCCUUAACUCAUCAUCUUGAACUCUCAUCCUAUUAUAGGUGAAUCGAGACUCUUCUCCUCCACCCUUUCCUCGUUGGUUACUUGUAGCAAAAAAAAUUAAUUUCACCGAAAAUGUUGGAGAGAUCCCAUGGUCUAAGUGUGUUGUUAGAGCAAAGCUCGAUGGCAAAUUUGGAGUCAAAUUUUAGAAUCAACCCUUUAAAAUCCAUUACACCGUAAAGGAAAAUUUUUACAAUUACAUUAACAAUAAAUAUUCAAAAUUUACUCAUCUAUCUAUACUUAUAUUAAGCCUUAUUUGAGUUGGAGUCAAGAGUCAACUAGGUACUAACUCAGUUGAGAAUUUACUAAAUAAUUUUAAUAUAAAGUAAAAAAAAUAUUAAUACGAGGGUGUUUUUAUCUUUUCAUAUUUUUAAAUAAAAAUACUAUAAUAAGAUUUAAACUUAAGUUUAAAAUUUCAAUCAAAACAUCACUUAAAUUUAAAAUAACAUUUUUAUAUAAAAUGUGUUUAGAUUCUAAGAUAAUGAAAUUUAUGAUGAGGUAUUCAAAAUGUGUUUGAAUAUGCUAAUGAGAUAUUCAAAUUGGUAUGCACAUUCCUAAUCAGGGAGCAUUAAUGAUAAUUUAGUAAAAUAAAUUAUCUCAUUAGCAUAUAGUUUAUUAUAAAAUUAUUGUGUAAAAUAAACAAUUCACAAACUUAAGAAUUUAUAACACAAAAAUUAUACAUCAAUGUUGUUAGAAUUGUAUUAUAUCCAUCGGUUGAAUUUAAAUUUAAAAAUUUAAUCAGCGAUAAUAAUUAAAAUCGUUUCAAACUAGUAAAAUAUUGAAAAUUAAGAACUAAUAAAAUAGAUUCUAAUUAUUUUUAUUUAAAAAAUGUUACCUUCUUAUUCAGGUUACAUUAAGACAAACCCAUCUUAAUUAUAAGUAUCAUAUUGUGAAUGGUAAACUUCUUACACAACAUCCACCAUUUGUCCAAAUAUGUUAAAUUAGGUGCAACAUAGAAAUUUUAUUGUAAGGAGUGAAUCUCAUUGUUUUUAUUUUCAUCAAACAUACGUCUAACUUUAUUAUUACGGGAUUAGAACUUAAAUUUGAUAAAUUGUGUGGUUUUAGGUGAUUUCUUUUCGUUAAAUUUAUCUAAAUCAACCUAACACUCGAAAAGUGAGAAUUCUCCUAAAAAUUCUUUAUGUUAGCAAAAAAUAUAGUGGAAGUAACUUGAAACGAAAGAGCAAUGAGAGAAUUGAAAAGACACAAGAAAAUAAUGCAUACAAGGUGUUUGAGUAAAUGCUCUCAAUAAAUUCUUUAACUCAAGAAGGAAUGAAGUACAACCAGUAUCUAGCCCCCCUAAAAUAGAAAAUUUUCCAUUUAUAUACCUUUAUAAUUUAUAAAAUUUAAAAUUUUACUUUCCCAUAAAAUGAUAAAAAAUUGAUUUAUUUCUUUAAAAAUUAUAAAGAUGACUAUUAAAAUAGUAAAAUUGUAUUUUUAUUAUUGUAAAAAUAUACAAUUUAAUUCUGUCUCCCAAAUUUUUUUUUUUUGGUUUCAUCCCUAAGUACAAUGAUCGUUGUAGCAGGAUACAUAGGCAUUCUAGCACAGAAUGCAAAUAUGUUGCCAAUUAACUUCGAGUCAUGGCAUAAAGUGCCCGAGAGUAACAAGAACCAAGCUCUCGAUAACAUUAAGGUAACAAAAUGUGUAUAUCAUUUAUAAUACUUGAGUUUAAGUUUCGUUUACAUUUACUUUCUGAAGUUGUGUUUUUUGUAGGGGAGAUUUGCUCUAGAGGUCUCCGAUGCUUAUGUAAAGAAGGCAUUGGGAAAAAGAUGGAGAGACCAUAAGAGCACUUUAAAGAAAGACUAUUUUAAGACAAAAACAACACUCGACGAGAGAUUACAAAAUGUCACGCCGGGAAUGCUGAGGUACCAGUGGGAAGAAGUCGUUAGAUUUUGGACUUCGAAGAAAGGAGAGGUAUGUGUUACUACAAAAAUCUUGUAAUUAUUUUGGUUUAUAGUAUUUACUAAUUAACGUACUAAUAAUUUCAUAACGUAGGAUCGUGAACGAGUUGGAACAAGUAGUAGGCAGAAACAAAAAUUCACGCACACAGCUGGGUCGAGAAGUUUUGCGUGUGUAGCUCAGGCCGAGGUAUUUUGAAUUUUUUAAUACUGGCAGAUAUUUAUUACUUUCUAUCAAAUAAUAUUUUUACUAUUGUAUUGUAGGAAGUGUUGUCGGGUCAAAAAGUUGGACGCCUUCAACUUUUUGACAUUACACAUAGGAAGAAAGAUGGAAACCCUAUGACUCCUGAAGCUGCAGAAAUUAUGGUACGUUUGCUUAAUACAAUUUGACUUGUUUUAAUUAUUUAUGCUGUUUAUUUUCUAAUGUUUUUUAUUACAUUUCUUGUAAUGCAAAUAUUGUUAAGUUAUGUUGCAUUUGUUUUGUUAAUAUAUGUUGCGUUCUUAACUAUGUGAUUUAUUUUUUAGGAAAAACUGAAGGAUAAAAAGGCGGAGUACGAAGCGAUUGCUUCCAGUGAUAGUUCUGUUCAUAUUGACGACAUUGAUAACCGGAUUAUCACUGAAGUUUUGGGUCCUGAAAGGUAUGGUCGGGUUCGAUUUCAAGGAUCUUUUGUUAACCCAUCCCAAUAUUUUGGAUCCAGCUCGCAACAAUACAUGCAUUCGGGGAGUCAGGCUCAAGCUGAAGUUCAGAGGUUAAGAGACCAGAUAGCUCAGAUGCAAGCGGCAACGAGUGAGCAAAUUACACAACUUAAAGCGGAGGCAACAUCGAGAGAAGCUGAGGUUCAAAAAAGAUAUGAAGAACUCCAGCUACAACUUAAAGCAGAUGCGGCAGCGAGAGAAGCAGAGGUAGCAGCGAGAGAAGCUGAGGUUCAACGAAAGUAUGAGCAACUGCAGCAGCAGCUUAAAGAAGAUGCGGCAACGAGAGAAGCAGCGGCUGCAGCGAGGGAAGUAGAGGCUGCAGUGAGGGAAUCAGAACAGCAUAAAAAGUUCGAUGAACUCCAGCAGCAGCUUCAGAAUAUGAUGAAGAUGUUUCAGCAGUCGCAACCGCCGUCAUCUUAGACUAUCGUUUAAAUAUACUUCAAUUUUGACUUUGGUAUUAUUAUUUUAACUUUUACAAUUUCUGUCAGAAUAAUACGAAUUUUAUUUUAUUUAUUGACAUUUAUUUUAAAUAUUAUAUAGAUUUGGUUAGAUUUGGUUGGUUGGAUUUGGUUUCUUCUGAUUUGUUUUUAUAGGAGGGGGCUGAAAUUUUUUUUUUCAAAUCUGCAAAAAUUAGCGGCGUUUUUUUGGAUAAGCGCCGCUAAAGACCAUCGUCUAUAGUGGAAUUUUUUGGCUAAGCGCCGCUAAAGACCAUGGUCUAUAGUGGCAUUUUUCGGCUAAGCACCGCUAAAGACCAUGGUCUAUAGUGGCGUUUUUUGUCUAAGCGCCGCUAAAGACCAUGGUGUAUAGUGGCAUUUUAUGGCUAAGCGCCGCUAAAGACCAUGGUGUAUAGUGGCGUUUUUUGGCUAAGCGCCGCUAAAGACCAUGGUCUAUAGUGGCGUUUUUUGUCUAAGCCCCGCUGAAAACCAUGGUCUAUAGUGGCGUUUUUUGGCUAAGCGUCGCUAAAGACCAUGGUCUAUAGUGGCGUUUUGUGGCUAAGCGCCGCUAAAGACCAUGAUCUAUAGUGGCAUUUUUCGGCUAAGCGCCGCUAAAGACCAUGGUCUAUAGUGGUGUUUUUUAGGCUAAGCGCCGCUAAAGACCAUGGUCUAUAGCGGCGUUGCAAAGAAAACGCCGCUAAAGACCAUGGUCUAUAGUGGCGUUUUUUAGGCUAAGCGCCGCUAAAGACCAUGGUCUAUAGCGGCGUUGCAAAGAAAAUGCUGCGAAAGGUCUUGAUCUUUAGCGGUGUUUAUUAUAAAAAGCGCCGCUAAAGUUACCGACGCUGUCAUUAGCGGCGAUCCUUGCGGCGCUUCGUAAAGCGCCGCUAAAAGUAUUUGCGGCGCUAAAAAAUGCCGCUAUAGACCUAAAAAAGCGCCGCUAAAACCCUGUUUUGGUGUAGUGUGAGAUGAUUACAAAUGAAGGGGGAGAUCUCUAUUUAUAGUUGAGCUCCCCUAGAUCCAAUAGUAUAGAUUGAAUUACAUCAACGAUUGAGAUUAGUACUUAUCUACAAGAUGAGUCUUAAGGAUUUUAAACUCUAUACAUCUUUAUCCCUUAGGAUUUACAUUAAUUACUCUGGUAACUCUAGUUUUACUGGAGAGUUUCACUGAACCACCAAAGGUUUAAGUAGAUGAGCUUCUCCAUAUGUUCCACGAGUUGGACAAGUUCAAGCGGAUCAAAUGAGCCCAAUUUAAUUAGUUAAUCUCAAUAAAACGUUCUAUGCACAAUGAUCAUGAACUUUGAUCCACAUCUCAAAAUGAUCAGAUGAAUAAUCUCUCUUAAUUAUAUUUUUAUAAAACUUGAUAUUUUCAUUUAAAAAGAAACACAAUCACAUAUAAUAAUGUCUCCAAAAGAGUCGUCCACUUCAAAGAUUUAAAGUAAUGUAAGAAUGAACCCAACAUUUUUCAAUUAAAAAUAUGUCGAUAGAUAUAGCAAGUUGUAUAACCUUUCAAUUACAAAACAGAUUUCAAUGGGGAUUGCAUCCGGUACAUGCAACUAAAGAACAGAACCGGUGCAUAAAUUGAUUUAAUUAAACUUUGGGUUGAGUAAUCAUGAUUUUCAUUAUUAUUAGACUACGUGAAUGUUGAUAUAAAAUGCUUGAGAGAAGGGUAUAGAAGAAACACAAAAUAAUGAGUGAUAUUAAUUUGUAGAUAAAGAUAAUAUUACAUAGUCGCAAAAAGCGACCUAGUACACAACGCACAACUCUAAAUUAGGAUAACUCCUCUGCUAUCCCUAUGGAUGGAUUUUAACAUCCAUAUUUAUUCUGUAGCUAUCGUUAUUUUGGCUUCCACUAGCUGGUGAACUUUCCAUGCCAAAACUUCACUUAACCCUGCAAAUGAAACAACAAAAAACACAACAUUAAAUGUUGAGCAAUUAAUAAGCAUAAGCAAUGAAACAACUCAUACGAACCUGCUGCAGUCAGUGCUAGGGCUGAUCUUGUAAGGGAUGUUGACACCGCACUUGCCUGGGAGUCCGCUUGCAAUACCAUAGUUGAUGCCAGGAAUGCCGGCGGCCGCACUUUUGAUGCAUUUGCAAGCUGCUUGCCGGUCUGGUGUUGUUUGGGCGGCGGAGUUGAGAGAUUUGAUGCCGCUGCAGCAACCUUGGGGAACGGCACCAGCACCAUUCCCUCUCAAGUAAUUAAUGCAGGGUGCGAGGGAGCCUGUGACUUGACCACAGGUUACGGUCCCUUGAGCCAGGGGUGCACCCACCACCAUGCACAACACCACCACACAUGCAAGCUUAAGGGACAUUGAGCUAGCCAUAUCGAUUAAUUACAAGAAAAACAAACUUGUAAGGAAAAUGCUUGCUUGGAGUAGUAGUAGUAUUGCUGAUUGUUGCGUGGUUAGGGCCCGAGGGUAGGAGGGUUUUUAUAGCCAAAAGUUUUGUGAAGGGAUAUGGAACGAACUGAGAAACACGUACGAAUAGAAUAUGGUUAGGCGUUGGUAGUUGUCCCAAUUCAAUGCCAAGGUUUCUUUUUUUCUUUUUCAUGUUUCAGCUUAUGGUUGAGUGUGUUUAAUGCUUUGAAAAAGGUUUGUAUCUACCACUUUCAUCUUCAUCACUAAUGCUGAAUUACUCCGUUGAUUAAUGCAUCAUAUUAGCCUUGUCCUAGUGUUACCGGUUUUCUGAUAUUAGUAGCUUUACCAAUAAAAGAUGCUAUCAAAUAUAGUUUUCAGGAUGAUAUUAAAAAUUAAGGUUUUUUAGUUACAAAUAAAAUUGUCACAUUAUCAAAUUUUAAAGAUAUGAAAUUAUUAUUAUAAACUCAUCUAUAGAGAAAUUAUUUUAUGAGCCCUUUCCACCACAUUAUUCACAGUCCAUUUUCAAUUAUUUAAUAAUAUUUCAACAAUAUUUUUCAUGUCAUUGACACAUAAUUUUAAUAAAUUUUUUACCCUGAACCUUGAGUCUAGAAUCCCAAACCCUAAAUAAAAAACUUAAAACCCCAAACUAUAACCCCAAACACUUGCAUCAUAAACUCGAACCGCGAACCUCAAACUCAUAAUCUGUAACCUUGAACCCAAACUUGUAAUCUCGAACCCUUGAACCCUUGAACCCUGAACCUAAACCUUGAACCCUGAACUCAAAGCCCAAAACCAAAACUGAACCCUGAACCUUAAAUCUCAAACCCAAACCUUAAACCUCGAGGUUUGGGUUCAAGGUUCAAGGUUCAGGGUUUGAGUUCAAGGUUCGAGGUUUAGGAUAAAAUAAUUACCAAAAUUUGUAACAGAAUAAAAGAGUUCGUUUAUAAUUUAAAAAGCAAUUAUUUUAAGUAAUUUAAUUAAAGUGAAAUUAAGUUAGAGAAAAUAUUAGAUAUAGAUGAGUGUAUAAUAAUACUUUAUUGUCUUUAAAAUUUAAUGACGUGGUACUAUUUUAUUGGUGCCUCAAACUAUACUUUUUAGAAUAAUCCUAAUACAAUUUAUUCCCAUAUUAAAUACGUAUGCUUUCUAUAUUUUUUCGAAAAAAUAAAUUUUAUUCAUAAACUUUCUAUAUAUAAAUAUAUGUUUUAUUUAAAAUUUAUAAAUACAGAAAAAUUAAAAUAUAAAUAUAUGUCAAAGUAGCUAUUAAGUGUAGAAUUAAACAAUUAUAACAUAUAAAUAGAUUAAAAAUUAGGACAAAAAAUCAAUCUAUUACAUAAAAUAUAAAUUAUGAAUGAAAACAAUCUAAAUUAUAGUCUGGCUAAUCAAACUAAAACUUACAUAUAACCAUAUGACUUUAAGGGUCUUGAAUAUGGUUACUUAAAAGCUUAUAGUUCAGCUUUUACCCACUACGUCAAGGCUUCAUUUACGUUUUUUUUAACCAUAUAUUUUUCAUAUAAUUAUAUAUAUAUAUUUUGCAUAAAAAAUCCCCAAGACGUUAAUUACUUCUAUAUAAUGUAGCGAUUAAGUCCUCAAACAAAAAUUGCUCAACAUCAAUGCAUGUAUAGAUCAAUUUUAUAUAUCAAAGACCAAUACUAUCUUUUUCUUAAAAAAAAAAAAAAACCAAUAUGUUGUGAUUGCUUAGCUAUUGUUCCUAAGUCUUCCUGAAAAAGGUUUCACAGCGAGAGGAGAAAAAAAAAAGUUGAACUUGUCUUGGUUUGCCCCAUAAUGAUUGAAGCAUAGACAAGAUUAUAAAUGUUAAUUUAGUAUACGACAUAAUAAUAUAAUAUAAUAUAUUUAAAUGUAUAUCUCCUCACCUCCUAGACGCUGUCAGUUAUUUUAUUUUUUGGGAUUCUUUUAACAAAAGGUUGAGCUUUUUAUUAGGUUUUAUUUGAUUUUUCAUUUAUUAAUAUAAUUUUUUUAUUUUUAUAUAUUUUAGUUAUUAUUAAUUUUUGUUGGAAAUUUGUACGGUCUUGUUCUAACAACAAUUACAACAAGCUUUUUGGAACAAUCAAAAGUUUUGGGUGUUGGCAUGUUUGACUUUUAAUGGCUUAUGUUUUAAUAUUAGUUAACAACAAAUGAUAAGAGAAUUUCAUGGUAAAUUAGAAUAUAAUUAUCAUCCAUUUGAUUAGUCUUGAAGAGGAAGGAGAGGAGUUUUAACUUUGGUGGACACCCAUCCUUAUCCUUGUCUUUUAGAGUGUUUGAAGCUAUUGGAGAACUUGGUUUUAAAGAUUUUAUUUGAUAAAUAUUCAAAAUAAUUAAUUUGAUAAUUUCAACUUUUAAAGGAGAGUUUAAAACUUAUCAAAAUAUUAUUUGAUAAACACUUGUAGAGGCGUAUAAAUAGGCAACAGUGUGGUGUAACUUUGUUUGUUGUUUUGGAGUGUCUUAAACUUUUAUUUUUUUGCUAUUCCAUUGGGUAACUUUAUGACACUCUCUUUUUAGGUAUUAUUUGGAGAUGUUUAGUAAUUGUAUUGUGAGGAAUUUGAGUGAGUGAUUGCAUUGAAGAAAUGCGACCUAAAUGUAUAUGUUAAACUCUUAUCUAGGACAUAAAUUCCAUGAACAAGGUACCCAUGUUAAUAACAUGUCACCACUUCGCAUCUUUAUGGUAUUGACCCUAUGUAGUUAGACCCUAUAUGACGUAAACAACACUUAUAGUGUGCACGAUAUCGUAGGCUUGAACGUUGAUUGAAUGCAACCUAUAUUUUGGUGCCUUUGUCGGAAAUGAUGUAUGCAUCGGGUUGCGGUACAAAUGCCUUCUCAGGUUAGUUAAGAAGAAAUCCCAUUCAUCAUUGGAUUCUUCAGGAGUUAUUACAAAAGCUAUUGGCAGGAUUUUUAGGUUACCAUCUUAUGCAACAACUACUAACAACCGAUGGUCGCAUAUUCUAUACAGGAAUGUGCCGUUAAUUUGGAAAAGUGGCUUACAGUACCAAAAUGUAGUUCUGCAUUGCUUAAAAGUCCAAAAGCAACGGUGGAAAACUCCUUUUCCAGGGACCAAGCAAUCGUCAUAAUACGCAGGCUCCAUUUUUAACUUGGUUACAGAACCUAGUAUGUACCACUCUAGUAUCUAACACCAUUGCCACAAUUUAUAGUAGGAUUUCUCCCACCCUCUAUUCAUUUUCUCCAAUGCCUUCUAUUUUUGCAACUAUGUCUUAUGCUAGGACAUGGUGUAAUCGGAUUCUCUACAGAUGUGUGCGAUCAAAAUUGGGACCAGAAUCGUAGGACUUGCUUUUGCCAUGGGUAAUAGAAUUUUAGAUAUCAUGUCUAAAUCUAAUUUUGGAUGAUCAUUCGAUAUGCUUGAAAAACAAGAAAUCAAGUCACUAUGUGUAAUAGAAUGUAAAAAAAGGCUAGGAUUCGAGUCGAUGUUGUUAGCCAUAUUACAUACCAGCUACAACACAUGUAUGUGGCACGAUAAAUUUCCUACGUUUAAAAUGCCAACUUCUUCGUCAUAAAUGCCAUGAUUUUCCAUAGACAUCUUGUUGCACGCAUUGUGCGCAUCGCCUUAUAUUUCUCGGAUUGAGAGCAUGUAAUAGUGAAGUUGACACCAAGUUGUAUGCUAUACUACUUGAUUGUAGCUACAAAAGCAUAUUUGGAGUCAAAUUCCAUCCCAACCUCUAAGUGGUCGAAAUUUGUUGAUGAAGUCGCAUACCUUAGUCUUCUACGGGGGAGGUCUGGGAAUUCUAAAACCACUUUCACUAGUAAGACUGAGAGUACGCAUAUGGGGUGGGGGUUUGUAUUUCGUGAAACUUAGGUCAUCCCCUCGAGCGAUGUCUAAAGCUUGACCAUUAGAUCCAUCGUCUUCUAGUUCAGUAGGAAUGGGAUCUAGUUCUAAAAUUACUACAAUUUCGCACCAUCCAGUCCAACCACCUCUCCUGGGUCAUUAUCUGAUUUAGACCCCUCUUUGACCACUUUGUUCUCUUGUCCCUCUUUGUUAUCAACCCUGGUUGUAAGUCCAGGGUUGGAUGUACCCUCUCUGGUCAAAGUUGUCAAGAGUAGAUCAUUCAUUCUUGUAAAUCCGAUGUCAAUCCCAAAAUCAAUUCUGUUUGGCCUACCCAGUAACUUGAUGGUGUACCAUAUGAGUGUUAUCGAGGUUGAACAUAGGUGUGUCAAAGUUGAAACCAAAGGCACUGAUAGAAUGUUGUGCGGCUGUGUUGUAGGCCUGGUGACCGAAUACGUCUAACUAUCCCCCGAAGUUGAAAUCGAGGGAUGAAAUCGAUGAAUGCCUCACCAUUGAUGAUGUUAAUAAUGUGUCUUUGUAUAAGCUUUGUAGAAAUGAUCUGAAUCCACAACAAAACCGUGUGGCCAGACUUUUUGCUUCUUGAUUUGGCUAGAAAUUUGGCGGACACGGUAUAAUCGAGCUUGGGCCACCUUUUUCCUCUUCAGCAAAGACUGUAUAUUCUCACUAGAGUAAUGAGUUUCGAUCACUGUCUUCAAACCGUUGUCCCCUGUGAUCUGAAAAAUGGAAUAUCUAACGGGGUUAAAUGAUGUUAGAUAUCUACAUUUCAGGCUCAAAAUUCUUCUUCAGAUCCCUACUUUAUGCCUAAACCUUGUUCAAAGCUCUUUUAACGUUAUGCUCUAGUUGAAUGUCAGAUCUUUAGAUUGGGUUGAUACAAAAAUGGGCUCAAUUUCAGCCUCACAAUUUUGACCGUUGUAAUGGACAAUAGCUCUGGCUCGUCUCCUCAUCUUGAACCAAAUAUUCUAUUCCACAUGUUUAAAAUCGAGAAAAUUGUAAAAAUAUAGUUCUCAUCACCCAAAUCCCUAAAUUUACACUUACUUUAAUGAAAUACCUUUGCUUCGACAAUAUUGUCAGUAUAAAAUUUUUGUUUUUUACUACAACAUCGAUAACUCCUAAUGCCAACAAUCUGCUUCAAACAUCUGUAUGGAAAAUCCAAGAAUUAUAUUGAGUUUUUUUAUAGAGCCUUUUCCUCGACGCACAUGAAACGAUUCUAGCAACAACACAUGUCAAGGCAUUAGUUGUUUUUGAGGUAUACACUAAAAAUUAAAAUUUGUGGGGGAGAAAACGUUCCCCGCAACGAUGUUUUUCAGCACCUAGACAUAGCAUUGAAAUUUAUCCUAGGAAUCCCGGGUUGUAGGGGCUUAGAGGUUGAAGCAAUCAAGUUGGCUUGGGUAUUGAAAGACCAUAAAGAAAAUGCCUAUUGCAGGAAGCAUUUCCACCUGACUUGGCAAUCAAAAUGCCUCCUGCAGGACGCGUUUUCCAGCCACAUCUCUGAUAUGUUAGUCGAAAACGCAUCUUGCAAGAGGCGUUUGUACUGCCAUGUUAGGUAAAAACACUUCCUGCAGGGAACAUUUUCUUUAUGGCCAUUUCAACACCCAGGCCAACUUAAUUGCUUCUGCCUCUGAGCCCUUACAACACGGGAUUCUCGGGAUAAAAAAAUUUCCCUUUUUACCCCACCCCAUCCCUUAUAUAAAUGCAUGUUCUCAUCCCCUACUCACCCAUAUCUCAGUCUCCUUUAAAUUAUUUUUUUCUUUUUCUUCCGUGUUGAAAUUUUCAAGUUUAAAGAUUUAUUUCUCUCACACUUUGAGGGGGAUGUAAUCAUAGUUUUAAGUUGUGUUUGAGUUCACAAUAAUGUCGUGGCGCUUGAUAACUUACAAAUUUCACUUGUCGUGUGAGUAUGGAGCCAUCACUUGAGAAAUCGAGAUCGCUUUGCAACUCGAGGUCCAAGUUGACGGUGUAAAUAAGGCUUCAAGUUUACAAAGGUUAUGCUAUUAAAAGGAUGGAGCAAAACCGGGACUGUAGUUGAUGAUGGUGAUGCAAGCACAAGAACUAGUUUUUCCUCAUUGGAAGAGCAUACUUUAUAAAAUCCAUAUACAAGUACGAGGGAGAAAAUCACAGGGGUCUUCCAGUAUAAUCAAGUAAUUCAUUUUAUCCUUUUCCAGCAAAGGCAAUGACCCUGUUACUAAAACCUAUUACAUCCCAAUUCUAUCAUAGGUAAUAGUAACGGUGUCACUGUCUUUGGUGGAGAUGGAUAAAAAAAUUUACUUAAUUAUACUGAGAUACCAUUGCAUUUUUCUUCCUCGUACUUGUGUAUGAGUUUUAUAAAGCAUCAUUUUCUAAUGAAAAAAGUUUUUUGUCGUGCCCGCAUAACCAUUGUAAAUUACAGCUCCAAUCAUACUCCGUCCUUUGAUAGCGUAACAUUUUGUAAACUUGAAGCUCUAGUUACACUUCAAUUUCAGACCGUAUAAUCACCCUUAACUGGGACCAUGAGUUGCAAUGCGAUCUGGCUUCUCGGGUGAUGGCUCCAUACUCACAUGACAAAUGAAAUUUGUAGGUCACCUAACUCCACGACACCACCAUAAAUUCAAACAUUCCUUAAAACUAUAACAGUGUCUAUCUCAAACAAGAAUGAAAAUAAAUGUUCAAACUUCUAAUUUCAAAUUGCAAGAAAAAAAAAAGAAAAAAAUAAAUUUUAGCAAAGUAAAAAUGGGUCCUACCGGCACAUUUUCAUUGCCACAUCAAUGAAAAUACACCUCGUACGACACGUUAUUCUUUCUUCGUAAACAAUGUAAAUCAAUAAAUUUAAAAAAAAAUUAUACAUUCUCAAAUAACUCUUUUUUUCAGCAUUUUUGUUAAAUUUAUCCCAUAAUACUGCUACUUCUUGUUUCCUGGGUUAUUUUUAUUACUGCUGGUUGUACCACCCUCCUACUGUGCGCCGGUUAUAGCAACUCACUCAAGAUUCUAAAUACUAAUAUAAACACCAUUUCUUUUAUUCUUAGUUUUUUUAGUGAUUAACGUGGUUUUAAUUAUCGUUAGAUCACGUGGGUGUUUAUAUGAAAUGCUUGAAAUCGUCACGCAGGACAAAAAAAAAAAAGAAAAAGAAAAGGAAAUGAAGAGUAUAUAUAUAGAGGAAACAACUAGUGAGAGUGAUAUUAAUAUUUAGAGUAGGUAAAGAUAGUAUUAUAUAGUCGCAUAUGCGACCUUGUACAUUACCACUAACUCUAAAACUAGGAUAACUCCAACAAUGAAUAGUACCGCUAUGGAUUUUUAACAUUCAUUUUUAUUCUGUCGACAUCACUAUUUCCCUUCCAUUAGCUGAUCCCAACUUCCAUGACCACACUUCACUUAAUGCUGCAAAUGCAACCACACCAAACAAAACAUUCAUAAAUUAAUAAAUCAAUUGCCAUAAGCGAUAAACUUUGGGUCAUUUUCUUUUUCCGUAAUUUCAAAGAAACCUAGUUUAAAUUAGAUACGAACCUUUUGCAGUCAGUGGAAGGGCUGAUCUUGUAAGGGAUGUUGAUACCGCACUUGCCUGGGAGUCCGGCUGCAGUGCUAUAGUUGAUGCCAGAAAUGCCGGUGGCCGCACUUUUGAUGCAGCUGCAAGCUGCUUGCCGGUCUGGUGUUGUUUUGGCGGCAGAGUUGAGAGAUCUGAUGCCGUUGCAGCAAGCUGGGGGAGCAGAACCAGCACCAUUCCCUUUCAAGUAAGCAAUGCAGGGUGCGAGGGCGCUUGUGAUUUGACCACAACUUAUGGCCCCUUGAGCCAGGGGUGCACCCACCACCAUGCAAAACACCACCACACAUGUAAGCUUAAGGGACAUUGAGCUAGCCAUAUCAAUUAGUCACAAGAAAACAAACUUGUAAGGAAAAUGCUCGCUUGGAGUAGUAGUACUAUUGCUGAUUGUUGCGUGGAUAAGGAUUGAAGGUAGGAGGGUUAUUAUAGCCAAAAGUCGAGUGAAGGGAUUUGGAAAGAACCGAGAAACACGUACGAAUAGAAUAUGGUUAGGCGCUGGUAGCUGGCCCAAUUUAAUGCCAAGGUUUCUUUCUUUCUUUUUCAUGUUUCAGCUUAUGGUUGAGUGUGUUUAAUGCUUUGGAAAAGGUUUGUAUCGACCACUUUCAUCUUCAUCACUAAUGCUGAAUUACUCCCUUGAUUAAUGCAUAAUAUUAGCAUUGUCUUAGUGUUUCCGGGUUUUUUCUUUUUUUAUAAUAGUAGUUUUUCCGGUUUUCUGAUAUUAGUAGCUUUACCAAUCAAAGAUGCUAUCAAAUAUAG
rnacentral:lncRNA from 1 species